UCCACAACUCCAUCCAGUAAGGAAGUUGGUUGCAGCCUGGGUUGCUUUCCCUUGGAGGUUGCAGCUUGAGACAAAAUCUCAUUCAACCCCAAACUACUUCUUCGUGUAGUCAAACUAUUCAGUGUAUCAGUGAUGUCUUUCACCUUCGUGAUCAUGGAAUUCUUAAACUGAAAAGAAGUGGGAGGCAAAAUACUACGAAUAAUCCUUUCAGGAAUGAAUUUCCGUAUCUUACUAGGUCUGGCUUGAGCUUGAGUGUCUUGGAGAUUGAGGCGUAACUCUUCAUAAGCGAACUCGUCCAGGAUGUCAUCCACAUCGUAAGCCAAGUCCUGGAGAUCCUCCAACCAUUUCUUCACACCCAUGUUCUUGAUCUGCUUCUCCUCUGCAUCGUCCAACACUGCUUGGAUAUCAGGCAAUAUGGACUGCCACUGCUUGAGCUGCUCGUGGAGUUGGUAGUGAUCAGCAACAAAGUUGAGUGCAGAGUCAAGCGAUUUGCCCACCAACAGGUCCAGGAACCCAGAAAGAGCAGCCUCUCCAAUGACAGACAUGGUGGAAUUGUGAGAAAUAAGGUGACAAGAGAAAUGAGCAAAGACAAAAUGGAAAGUCAGGAACAAAAAAGAAAGAAAGGGAAAUGGAAUAUGCAAAAUUAGAGAAAGUUGAAGAAAUUAGCACAAUAUCCUUGAAGCAUGUAAUAUAAUAAUUCAGACUAUGAAGCAAUGAGUUGGAAGUCAUUGGGUACAGAUAAAGAAGCUGCUUUUCGUGUUAAUGGGAAAUGAUGGGACCUUUGCUUUUGAAUUUUGAUGCUCUUCUUUUCACUUGCUUUUGGUCUUUGCUUUUGCUUUUUGCUCUUCUUUUCACAACUUUGUCGCCAAAAUAUAGCAAACACCAAUACUCAAAAUUUUUGAAUCACAAAUAUUUACAGUAUUUAGCAUAUAAAAAAAUCAGAAAUUAAAUGAUAAUUUUUACUUUUUUAUAAUUUUAAUAGUAUAUAUCUUUAUAAAAUUUAAAAAAUUAAAUAAUAUUUUUAUCAUUUUUAAGGGAGUAAAGUAUAAUUUUAUAUUUAUUAAUUUAAAAUUUUAAAAUAUUUAAAUAGCCUAAAUGAAAGUUUUUCUAUUUUAGAGGACUUUGUCAACCCCUAAUUACGCCCGAGAUUGAUUGUAGUUAUAUUGUUAAUUGACUUACUAUUUUACUAUUUAUACUAUUAUUUAAGUUUAUGACUAGUUGAUGUUAAGAGUUUAUCGAGUAUCAACUUAGUUAAAGAAAAUAUGAAAAUGUCACUCUAGUCUUUUUAUGAUAAAAAAAUAAAAAUAUGUGCAUAUAAUGGGAUUUUGAACCCAUACUAAUUACAUUAAUAAAAUUAUUAAUUUACCACUCAACUAAAAUUUUAAUUUUUUUAUACAUUUUAAUUUUAUUGUACACACUUUAUUGUUAAUUAAUUUCAAACCUUAUGCUUUAAUUAUUUAUUGUAUGUUAUAUUCUAAAUAUAUGAUUUCCAAACAUACGUGUGUGAUAAGUAUACUAAUUAUAACCUAUAUUACUAAUUGUUGUACUAAUUUAUGAUUUGCUUUCUUACUAGAUCCGUUAGCCAAAUUCAAAUUACCUUCCUUUUAGAUCAAUUAAUUGACUUAAACCUAACUCAAUUAUAUUUCUUUCUAGAGUUAUUAACCAAAAUAAUCGACCGAACCGAUUAAACGAGAUUGUUUCUAUUAUUAUAUUUAUGAAAUCAUGAUCGUUUAGUUAUUGGUAUAUUUUUGUUGGGGUUAGGUUAAUUUAAUUUUCAAUUUUCUAAACUAAAAUUUACAUCUAGAUUUGAUGAUGAUUGCUUGUCCACAGUUCAUGGGUUUCAAUUAUACCAACCUAUUCUAUCUUCUUUUUUCCCUAAUGCAUGUGAGAUCUCUUUUUCUUUUCCUUAGCAAAGUAUUUAGGGUCUCUCUUUUUUGGUCAAAGUAAUCUUUAUCUUUAAUAAAAUAAUUUAAAAACCCUAAUCACUUCUCCAUAAUUGAUGGAACUUACAAGUAUAAUUAACAAAAAUAAAAAUACAAUUAUAAAUAAUUUAUGUCUCACCAAUUAUAACUAGAAUCAACUUAAUAUAGAAUACAAUAAGACUAAAAUCUAAUUAAAUACAAACAAAUAACAUUAAGAGUGAAAUAUAGGAAAGAACCCACACAUAAUAUUUACGUAUUAUGAAACUCAAACUUGGGCUCUCGAGGCCCAACAAAUCUCAUUGGCUCAUAAGCAAAUAUUUUAAUGUAUCACAAAUUCAUUACUGAAUCAGUACUCUAGAAAUUAGUUAUUCUUAAGUUGAAAGAUUUGUAUGUAUAACAAAUUUAUAUAGUUUUAGAGAAGAAGAUGGAAGAUGGCCAAAUAGAAAGGGCCAUUGCAAGGAUGAUAGUGAAGUUCCAGUUCCUACUGAGUUUCUGGUAUUAAAGAUGAUAGACAAUGUGGAAGGGAAACUAUUGAACUGGUCAUAUUGAAGAAAUAGUAGGGUGAUUAUAACCAAAGUGUAUUAAGGGUGGGACCUUGGCUUUUGAAUUUGAUGAAAUCUCUCUGCCAUUUCUGAAAUUCCAAUUUUCCUUUAAGGAAAACGAUGACGACGAUGCCAAUCUAAUUCCCAUUCAAUUAAACCCUGAUCUCGAUCACAAUGCCAUCUAAUGCCUAUAUAUCAAGUUAUUAUUUCCAUUCACUUUAAAGCCUAUUGUAGUUUUGGUUCAAUUUAAUAUUGCCAUUAAACAUCAUGAUUAAUUGACACAAUAUAGCAACCACACACGUCCUACUUUCUUUUGGGGUUGAAAACAUCACUGUAAAUGCAAAAGGAGAGAAGGUGAAGCCUUUCAAAUUCUCCACAUGCCAAAUGGUGCUGACAUGUCAGAUGGGCUGAUGUGGCAUACUAUGUUAGAAAAAUUAUAAAAAUAUUUUAAAAUUAAUAAAACAUAUAUAUACAUUUAGAAUGAAUCUGGACAUAUGGUUAUCCAAAUUCAAAUGAAUUUGGACAAAACAAAUAUAGCCUUUAUACCAAAGCAAUUAGUUUUAUAUUAGAGGUAUUAGAGUUUAGGUUCUAUUUUGUUAAUCUACUUAUACAUGUUAUCUAAUAUGUUAAUUUUGUCUCAAAUUUGAAAAUAAUUGGUGCUCAAAAUGAUUCAAAUCCAAGAUGACAUAAAUUUGAGAUGACCCUAUUUGAAAAACUUAUAUGGUCGUAAUCCAAAAUGGCUCAAACAUGAAACAACUUAAACCCAAAAUUGACCCGAACCAUAAUGACUCUCUAUUUAUAGCAGUAACAGAAAGGAAAAAUAGUAAAUAUGAAAGGGAAAAAGAGUAAAAAUCGUAGGGUUACCAUUUCCGUGCAACAGUAAAAAAUAUAUUUUGUUGCCAAAAUUUUCGCAACUGUCAAAAAUCGAAAAAUGUUUUAAAGAAAUUAUUUUUUGAAAAAUAAUAUUGAUUAAAAUUAGAGAUAAAUUAUGGACGAAAAUAUUGAAUUAUUUCAAAUGAUGAAGAGCAACUUUAAUAAUGUAGAGGGACUGGGUCGGUGUACCGAGGAUGAUACUUCGAAGGCUACUCUCAGAAGAGUCGAUCUGUAGCUCAAGUGGUACCAUAUACCUCAACAAUUGACCUAUAUUCAAUAGGUUAAGGGUUCGAAUCUCAUCAAGGGUGAGACUCUCAUGUCGCCUCUUAGUGGUGAUUGCAAGUCCACAUACGGUCAAGGCACCCCUUUUUGUGAGUAGUACAUGGCUCUCCACGGAGUGGGGGACAAAACCCUCUCACAGGGGAUAAUACCUUCUGUUAUUGAGACACUGGAUCGGCAUCCUCAAAGACGGCACUUCAAAAACUUCUCUCGAAUAAGCCGUCCCCAUUAACAAAUAAAUAAUUACUCUACACAACCCUAUUCUAUCUUUUAAAAUUAUUAUUUUGUCCCUUAAGAUAUCCAUUAAUCUUUUUAUGUAUUUCUAAUAUACAUGCUAUAUAUAUAGUAAAAUGAUAUAUAUAUAAUCUACACUAAAUAUGAGAAGAUUAUAAAUAUAAUAAUCUAUAAUUACUAAUGAAAAUUUUGGUUUGUACCGUUCACAUUGGCCGGAACAUGGUACACCUACUACUGCUGCAUGAAUAAUGUUAAAAAAUAUAAAUAGUUUAACUAUUUUCUAUUAGACUAAAUAUUUAAUUGAAAUGUAUUGACCAAUAAAAAAAAUAUUACACUAGAAAGUAAAAUUUAACAUUUUAAAUUUUUUUUGGAGCAUACUUUUUCAUUUAAAAUAUAAAAAUUAAAAUAUAAUAGAAAAAAAACCGACUCACCUCAUUAUCAUACAGCUUUUCUUAUUGAAAAAACCCCCACAUCCUUCAAUUUCUUUUUUUCUUCUUAAUUUUGAAUUUAUUGAAUGAUGAGUUUUUACUUGUCGAGUUUAUUAAUCAAUAUUUUAUGUAAUUGAUUAAUAGUUUUAUAUUAGAAAUUUAUUUAUAAUAAUUUAUUUGAUAUUUGUAUAUUUAUUUAUAUAAAUAUAUUAAACAUUUUAGAAAAUAUCAAUAAAUUCAAAAUGGUAUAUAAAAUAGACCAGUACCAAUACAUACCAGUUCUCAUAGAAAAGUGGUGCUUCCACCAAUGUGGUAAUGGCUACCUUGAAAGCAACUAUGUGGCAUAGUUAUUUGCAAAGAAAUGGGUUAAAGCAUGUUAAGUUAGUAUUGUGCUGAUCUUUGAGUGUAACCAUUGGGAUAUAUAUGGCUAUCUGAAUUUUUAUGAUUUGCUAUGCAUUGAUUGUGGUUGUUUUAGAUUGAGAAAAAAAAUAAAAAAUUCGAAACACAAAAAAGAAAGUAGAGAAAGUAAACCCAAUGAUAUACGUGGUUCGGGAAUAUUCCAUACAUCCACGGGCAGAACUAAAAACGAAAUUGACUACUAAAAAUUAGAGAUUACAAUGGAAUUACAUCAUAAAAUAAAAUACCUCGCCAAUAACUAUCCACAAACUUUGAAUGGAUUCAUGGUCUGAGAAAUUCGGAAAACUAAGAUGGACAUCUUUGAGAUUGGACAGAACAAUACUUUGGGAACUCUGUCGUCAUACAUGUGUUAAUUUGAGCUCUCUAAUGCCAUGUUGUAACGUGUACUGUAUCCCUCCAUUAAUCCUGGAAGGAUCAAACUAUCACGUAAAAGACUUGUUCUUUUGAAAAACCAUUGGUUAAUAGUACUACGAAAUGUCAAAUAUUUUUAACUAAAAUCCCAUUCUCAUAUACCAAAAUAGGUUAGAAAUUAGAAGAUGCAAAUGAAAACAGAACAUUCAAUUUGCUGAAUAAAUGUUGCAGAGAAUUGACUAACCGCUUUACUAAAUCAAAUAAGCUGAAGCAGAUGAGUUGAAGUUCACUAUUUUCUGCCAAUUUAGCCUUCAAUGCCUGCAAAAAUUGAAUACAAAAUAUCUAAGACUCAUUUAUGUUACCAUGUUGUUCAUGAGGACAAUCAGAUAUAUAUAAAAAAAAGUUAUGAAAUUUAUAAAUGUUUAAAAUGCGGUUUCACACCUGUGGUUUGAGUGUAGAGAAAUCGAUACCAGAUUUUGCUGCUUAAAUUUCAAUACCUCGGGAUGACUAAUUCAAAAUCAAUUUGAACAAAAGGUAUGUGGGAAAUCUUGGACCACUCUUGUCCUUUACCCCUACUGCACCCUUCUAGCAACGGGCAACGCUGAAUAUCAAGACGCUCAAGCGAGAGAAGCUCAUUAAAUUUAUAUAUUUUUUAAAUCACUUCAAAAUAUAUAGAAAACUUAAAGUACAUACAAUAUCAGUUAAAAACAUUAAUUUUUAUUUAUUUUGAGGUGAUAUAAUAAAAAAAAUACAAAUUUAAAAGCUAAUUAUUUUUCAUAAAGUUAGAUAGCUAAAUCUUUAUGUAUUUCUUUUACGAGACCAAAGUGGAUUAAAGUGUCUGUAACUCUAAAAUGAAUGUACCUUCUUAUGGCUUCAUGCACUAUUAGUCAGAAUGCAUCAAACACAAAUCUUAAGAUUAAAUUAAAUUCUGUAAAAUACUAAUACAAAUAAAAAUAUUGAAAUUCAGAAUAAAAAUACUGAUGUGACAUUAAAUUAUUGAAAAUAGAUACAAAUGUCAUUGUAUCUUUUUACAUCAUGUUUUUAUAAUAUAUGAUGUGAUCAUAAAUUAAACUCUUAAUUAUAGUGAUUAAUGUUCCAUUUUUGCAACUAAAAUCAAUAAAAAAUGAAAUUUAAUAAAUUGUAUUUUUUAUUGGAAAACAUCUUUAUAUUAAUUAAUUAUGAGAACACCUUUUUUAUGGAGAAGUGUUUGAUAAUAGGCCCAAUUGAUAUAUUUAUUGGGCUUAAUUUUGAUAAGUUCUUUAAUAAGAUGUGAUUAAUUUUAGAUUUAUUAUUUGAUUUCUGAUUUGGUGUAAAAAUAAACUCAAAAAGUGGAAAAGAAUCGGAAAUACAAGUUAUCGUAAAAGUUUUGGAUUGAAGAACUAGUUGGACCAUGAUCUAUUAUACUUUUUUAUAAAUAUUAUUUUGAGUUUUAAUAAUAUUUUUUAUGUAUAUUAUACUUUUUGGUUUUGGGCAGAAUUGGAUUGCAAAUGGAAUUUCUUUUCUUCUAUAUUUCUAAUUAUGUUCUUUCUUUUUCUCUUGUAUAAUAUUUCGCCGCCACGCCACCUUCCCAUUUUCCCCUUCUUUUAUUUAAUUCUUGUUGAAUUAUUAGGGGUGUGUAAAUUUCGGGUAAAACCGAAUUAAUUCGGUUAACGGAUUGAAUUCGGUUAAUCAAACGGUUAAUCGAAUUAAUUCAGUCAGAAGUCAAUUAAUAAUUUUUUGAAAGUUUAGUUAAUGAUUAAUUAGAUAAUUAUUGAAGUGAACAAAGACAAAAUGGAAACCCAGGGACCAAAAUAGAAAGAAAGAGAGAUGGACUCUGUAUAAUUAGUGAAAGUUGAAGAAGUUGGCACAAAGGUUUUUUUUAGCAUCCAAUAAUUCAGGCUAUCACUUGGAAGACAUUGGAUUAUAGUUUUUUAUUUUUAAAAUUUAAAAAAUUAAUUAAGUGAACGUUAAUAAAGUAAAAAAAAAAGUUACAAAUUUAAGGGCUAAAAAAUAAAAAUUUAAAUAGAGAACUAAAAUGAUUUUUUUAAAGUUAAAAAGUCAAAUAAACUAUUAUGUCUUUCUUUUAUUGAACCAAAAUGAAUUAAAGUGUCUGCAAUUCUGAAAUGGAUGGACUUAGUAUUUAGAUGCAUUAUUAUUUUUACUGGAGAUCGGGAAUAUAUGGACUUUCUAUGGGCCCAUUUAACUGAUAGAUUUUAUUACCACUUUAGCAACUUUGGCGAUUUAAUCAGUUACUCGAGAUUCGCAAUUAUUUUAUUUCUUGAUGCUAGCAAUAUACAGUGAUCAAAUAGGAUCAUUUCUUCUGAAGACCUUUUAUUUUUUUCAUCAUGUGGGAGUUUGAAUUAAUUCUCAUUUAUCUACUUCUAUCCAUGAUGGGGAAGAACCAAAUAUUGCAAAUUCAAGCAAUUCCGAAUCCACAGCUCUUUUAAAGCAGGAGGAAAGUUACUCUCUGCAAAACAAACCAAGCGUGAACAGCUUUCAAGUUGCAUGCUUGUAAUGAAUGGGAAAGCAUGUAAGGCUUCUGGUAGUCUAUUGAGCCUUUCACAAUCAUUUAUGUUCAGAUAUUCAACACCUGGAAUCUUUUCAAGUUGCAAUCUCUCCUCCUCUGUUUCCAAAGAGACCAAUUUGGGACAACCCGAAAUCCUAAUAAAACGAUGCCCGACUAAUCUUAACCCAAUUUGCGAUAAAGAUCCCAACUCCUUCCAACCAAAGAUGUAGAAUGUUUCGGGGUUUGCAAAUCUCAACAUUAUCCUCUCUGCUGAAAUAUUAAAAUUUGAAAUAUUUGAAAGAGACACAUCUUUCAAGGAGGUAACCUUCUGUACAGAUAAAGAACCUUCAUCCACCAAUUCUUCACAUCCAUUAAUUCUUAAUUCACAUAAUGAUGAAAAACUUGAAAUUGAAACUGCCAGCCUCUUACACUCACAGAUUUCAAGUGUCUGCAAGGAUUGAAGGAUGGUUGGCAACCUUCCCAACAAUACAGAACAACUUUUAAUUGAAAGCUUACGAAGGCUGGGAAAUUUCGAAACUUGCUCAUCGUCUUCACAUAGGUUCCACUCCUCCCAAUUCAGCAUAUUGUCAAAACACAGAGACUCUAAUGAUGCAAAAGCAUUUGAUUGAUUUUCUCCAAACAACUCAGCACCAAUCUUGUGUACUUGAUCCAAUCCACUAAUUGAAAGAUCUUUUAACAACAACAACCUUCCAAUCGAUGGUAGAGAUUUGCCAUUUUUACAGUCGUGAAGCUCCAAUGACAACAUAUUUUUGAAGGAAGGAUCUGCAAUCCAAGUAGAGAAUUUUGCACCACCAUAAUUAUGAAUGGCGAGAUGCUCAAGCUUUUUUGGAGGACGAAGAGAGUCCAACACCCAUUCUUCAACUUCCUUAUUCCUUGAAGCCUUUUCAAACUUUUCACUCCAAUGCAAUACCAAUCGAUGAAUCCCCUGCUUCUCAUUUAACUUGGCUUCCCCUGCAUCUUCACCAUUAACAUUCUCCAACCCAGAAAGACGGAAAUCACCUUUGAGGUUUGACAAAUAUUUCAAACCUCUAAUAUAACAACCAUCACCUUCCCCUAUUAUAAGAUCAGUUAACCUUUGAAGUUUCGUUAGCUUAUCAAUUCUAAAAGGCAUCCUUUCUAUUAAGCGGGCACCUCUGAUAUCAAGAUAAUGCAAGUUGACAAGAUUUUCCAUCUUUGAAGGUAACCUUUGAAGCUUCCAACACCGUCUCAAUAAUAAAGUUUCCAAAUGGUAAAGAGUGCACAAAGAAUCAGGUAAGCAUUUGAUAGGGGUGUUGGAAAAAUUCAAGUAGCGAAGAUGUUUUAAAUUUUCAAAAACAUCAGGCAACUCAGUGAUUUUAUACCCACUCAAAGAAAGCAUCCUUAAGUAGCCAAGUCUUGGUAACAAAUCAACCAAAACAACAUUAGUUAAAAAAGGCCCCCGAUAAUAAUCACUAGAAAACAUUAAGGGUAAAAAAGAACGUAAAGAAUUCACUUGAUCAAAUGCUUCAAACUUCUUCACUGUGUCAUAUCUUCCAGCAAUAUAAGAAGAAUGUCGAGUGCGAUUUGAGAACUUCCAUUUCUUAUCACCCUCUAAUUUUGAGCAUACUUCCCCUGCAACUACUUGAGCUAAAUCAUUGAUAAGGUCAUGCAUUACGAAGCGGGACUUAUCUUCACUGGAUGUCUGAAAAAAUGACCUGGACACUAGAUCUUGAAAAUAUUGAUUUCCGAGAUCUUUAAUUUGAGGCAUAGCUUUUUGUUGCAAGAGACCUUCUGCUUUCCAUAACAAGAUAAUUUCUUCUUCCUCAAAUUCAUAAUCUUUAGGAAGUAUGGAGCAAUAUGCAAAACAUCGUUUCAAGUAUGACGGAAGAUGAUGGUAGCUUAAUCGCAAAGCUGGAAUUAUGCCACACUGCUCUUCUGGUAAGUUCCAUAUCUCACUCUCAUAUAUUCUUUCCCAUUUUCCAUGAUAUUCAACCGUGCGAAGCAAGCUUCCAAUGGCUUUUGCAGCCAAAGGUAAGCCAUUGCACCUUCUAACAAUUUUCUCUCCAAUUUCUUUAAACUGGAGAUGUCCAUCGAAAUUUCUUGCUUUUAAUGCAUGCUGUGUAAAUAUGGAUAAACAAUCAUCAUCCGGUAGUUUAUCCAAAUGAAAAGCUUUGAGCGGAUCCACAAUAGAUGAAACAAUUUGAAGACGAGUGGUUACAAUGAUAUGGGUCCCUGCUCCAAACGGAGACCGUAAGAUGGUCCAGUCAUUAUAAUUCUCGUUCCAAAUGUCAUCUAAAACAAGCAAGAAUCUUUUCCCAGACAACUUCUCCUUUAACUUAACUUGAAGUAAAUCCAAGUUACUGUAAUCACAUGACUCAGAAGUGAUGGACUGUAAAAUUGCCUUUGUUAUAGCAAUUGCAUCAAAAUUAUCAGAAACGCAUACCCAGGCCUUGAGAUCAAAAGACUCGUUGAUGGUGGCGUCAUUGUAAACAAGCUGAGCAAGAGUUGUUUUACCCAUCCCUCCCAUGCCGACAAUGGAAAGGACUGAAACUCCGUUGGAGUUAUCACCUUUGAGAAACUCAAUCAUUUCUGUCUUCUCCUUUUGUGCCAACAUACUCCACAACACCAUCCAGUACGGAAGUUGGUUGCAGCCUAGGUUGCGUUCCCUUGGAGGUUGGAGCUUGAGACAAGAUCUCACUCAACCCCAGACUACUUCUUCUAGUAGUCAAACUAUUCAGUCGAGCAGUGAUGUCUUUCACCUUGGGAAUCAUGGAAUUCUUAAACAGGAAAGAAGUGGGAGUGAAAUUACUGCUGGUACAGCAGGUAGGAAUGAGUUUCCGUACCUUGCUAGUGCUGACUUGAGCUUGCGAUUUGUUGAGCUUGAGACUUAACUCUUCAUAAGCGAACUCAUCCAGGAUGUCAUCCACAUCGUAAGCCAAGUCCUGGAGAUCCUCCAACCUUUUCUUCACGCCCUCGUUCUUGAUCUGCUUCUCCUCUGCAUCGUCCAACACUGCUUGGAUAUCGGGCAAUAUGGACUGCCACUGCUUGAGCUGUGGGCGGAGUUGCUUAUGAUCAGCAACAAAGUUGAGCGCAGAGUCGAGCAACUUGCCCCCCAACAGCUCCAGAAACACAGACAGAGUAGCCUCUCCAAUGACAGACAUGGUGAAAUUAUGCGAAGGAAGCAGAAGAGAGAAUUGAAGAAGCCAAAUGGAAUUUCAGGAACGGAAUGGAGAUUGUGUAUAAUCAGUGAAAGUUGAAAAAAUCAGAGGAGGAGGCAGUGAGCUGAUAGUCUGAUAAAUAAAAUAGAGCCCAACUGGUUUUUGGGCAGUGAAACUAACAAAGAAGGCGGAAAAAUACAUUGGCUGAGCCGGCCACCCACGUUGUUUAUGAAUUUUGAUGCUUUUCUCCAUUAUCCCAAUUUCCAAGUAAAUGAACGUUCAGUUCCAUGGCAAUGGCAUCUAAUGUCCAUAUUUAUACUUUAAUUAACUGCCACAUUUCAGUCUUUGUUUUUGGGAAUGAAGACAAAUUCAUCCCUUUUUUUUUUUUUAAUUUCCAAAAUUUCAUCCCAUUUUAAUUCUUUUUAAAAUGUAUAUUAUUUUUAAUUUAAUAUUUUCUUUUAAUUUUUUGUAAAUUUUUUUUAUUAAAAUUUAAAUGUAUCUUUUAAUGUUUAUAUUAUAAUACUAUAUAUUUAAUUUAAUUUUAUAUAAAUUACAUUCUAUAUAUAUGAUAAAGUAGAAAAUGGGUUGGGCUUGGACAUUUUAAUUUUGAAGCCCAGCUGAUUUUAAAUAAGUUUUUUUUUUUUACUUAAACUUAUUUUUCAAGCUUUAUUCUUUUUAUUUAAACCUUUUUAUAUUUUAAGCGCAUCUAGAACAAAAGAAAAGCUUGUGGAAAGCACAUGAUUAGCAAUUAGAAUUUGUCACAUGUAAAAGUAUAAUAUAUUAUAUAUAAAUUUAAAUUUUAAAAAUAAUAUUUCAAAUAUAAAUUUUAUAUUUUUGAGAAAUAAUAAUAUUUUUAAAAAGAUGGGUAGAUUUUUUUAAUAAUUAAAAAUUAGUGAAUAAUAAUGAGUAGUUUAGUUUUUGAGAAAAAAAAUAAAGAAAUAGUUUUAAUUGAGAAAAUAAUUUUUUAAGAAGUUAGUUUAAGAGUAGUGAAAUAAUUUAAUUUAUUUUAUAAAAUGUUGAAAUGAUAUAAUAAUAUUAGAUUUUUCAUGCUUUUACUAAUUGAGUUUGUGUCACUCGAUUUGAUGUAUCAAAUUUAAUUAGACAUUUUAUCAUAGUAUAAAUAAUUAUCUUGUAAUUAUAUGUAUUCAAACUAACUUAAUUUUUAAAUCCGUCACCAAUCUUUAUAUUUUUUCUCUCUUAUAAUUAUAUUUUUACAUAAUGUUUUUAUAAUAUAUGAUAUGAUCAUAAAUUAAACUUGCAUUUUAAUAUAUGAUAUAAUUAAGUGGUUGAUGUAAAUAGUACUUAAACAAAUAACUACAUGGAUGGUGAGGAUGAGUAAAAACUUUUAAUAUCUUUUGUAUGUGGUGUAUUACUCUGUAGUAUACACUUAAUGGGUUGGCCUAUAUGAGUGUGUUGUGAGGCCGCUUCUAUGAGAUCUUUGGCAAUCUUUAGAGCACUCAUAAAAACUAGGCACGCGCAUGACCUAUUAGCACACAAUCGCAUUGAAGAAUGAAUCAUAAAUAUAAUGUGAUAAGUGAGAAAAUUAAUUUGGAAAUUAAAUAAUUAGUUCAAAAACUUAUUUCAUCAAUUAUUUAAGUAAAUCAUGUCUCAUUUGUUAAAAAAUUAUGUAUUCUCUUUAGAAAAACCUUCCUCCUACAAUCUCAAUUGAGUGUUUAAUUGGUCCGCUCUUUAGAAAAGCCUUCAAGGAUAAUGAUAUUCACGCCUCAAGUCGUGAUUCUAAUUUUCUAAACCUCCGAUUUCUUAAGAGAACGUCAAGGGCAACAACCAGUCAAAUUUUAAGUUCAAUUAAAUGAAUUCACAAACUUAUAGAGUUUAUUAUUAUUAUUUUCAAUGCAAGCUUGAAUUAUAAUCGAGCUUGAAUUAUAAGUCAAAUUUUAAUUUUGUUAUUCAAGCUUUAUCUCAAAUCAAGCUCAAGCUUUAAAAGGGAAAUUUAAUUGAGUUUGAGCUAAAUUUUAAGUAUCGAAUUUUAAGUUAGCUCAAAAUUUUCAAGUUAAGCUUUGACUUGAUUACACGGUAAGUGUAAAUCGUACAAAUAUAAAGUAUAAUAUAAUUAUAUAUGUACAAGCCCAAUUUUUGACCUGGGGCCCAACAAGCCCAAAUACAACCAAACCAAAAUUAAUUAACAAUCCAAUUACAUUCAACAACAUGCCCAAAUUCCAUUUUAACCCAAUUACAAGCCCAAACACUACAACCCAAUACCUCAGCCCAAAACCCAAAACCUAAACACCUAACAGAAACCCUAGCCCCCAAACCACUUGCUGCUGCUGCCGCCACUCCUCUACCACCUGCUCUCUGCCACCCCACAACCACCAUCACCACCUGCAAGGAAAAGAAAGAAAAGACAGAAACCAAACGAGCAGUUGAAACAGUAGAAGAAAGUAAAAAUGUAAACCGGCUAUAAAGGCCAUGAAACUAAAUGUAAUGAGGGAUUUUUUUUGAAGAUUUUUUCUUCUUCUCUUUCGGCAAAGGCCAAACAAUGUAAAAGGGGAAUUCUCUUUUUCUUUCUUUUGUAACAUUUCACAAAACAAGCAAUAUAAAAAUCAAAGGUGAUUGUCGUUUUGCAUUUUUUCUUUUCUUUUCUAUCUCCUUUUUAUUGUUGUUUACUUUUAUUUUUAUUUUUUUAAAAAACACAGUUUACAUUUGCAAAAAAAAAAAUAAAAAGAAAAAAUAUAAAGAGAAAAAAAAUACCUUUUAUGAUUCGGUGGCCGGCGCAGUGGCGCUACGGUGGUGGCCCAUGGCCGGACCUUAGGCCGGAGUUUGGACUGAAAGAGGGGAGGGGGAGAGAACUUUAAGUUUGUUUUUCUGAAAUAACAAGGCAAAUGAAAUUUUUUUAUUGAAAAUUGGCUUAAAUAGGCUACCAAAAUGACGUCGUUUUGGGUAGCCUUCUCAGGCACCAAAACGGCGCCGUUUUUCCUUGGAUCAGACCGACCCGACCCGAACCGCCUAGGAUCCGCGUGGUUCUGGAUAAAAGGGGUUAUUUGCGCCCCUGGUCCUUACACUUUUGAGGCUGUUUACAAUUGGAUCCUAUUUUGUUUUUAAUUUUUCAAUUUUGCCACAAAAUUCCAUUUUUUCUCGAUUUCGUCCUCAAUGAAGCUGUGCGUUUUAGAGGAGAAGGGAAAUUUUCCCUUCCAUCCCCUCUAUGUUAUUCGCGCAUUUAAAUCAAUCCCUUCUUUUUUAUUUAUUUCGAAUCUGCCCCAAAUUUCUGCCUUUUAAUUCGAUUUAGCCCUUUAAGCUUGCUAUUUUAUUUUUAAUUAAUUAAUAAUAAUAUUAUUAUAUUAUUAUUGAUAUUACAAUCAAAUAUUUGUACAUUAUAUAUUUAUAUUCUAUAUGUUGUAUCCUAUAUACGUAUUAAUGUAUGUUGUUAUUACAUACAUAUUUUAAAACAUAUACAUAUAUAUAUACAUAUCUAUAUUUUAUGAUCUAUGUAUAUAUGCAUGCAUUUUAUUAUCUGAAUAUACAUACAUAUUUUAGGAUAUAUAUAAGCAUACAUUUAUCCCUUUAUUAUUAUUUAUGUACAUAUUUAUGUAUUUGUAUACUUCCCUAAUAUAUAUUAUAUUUUAUACUUUAUAUUAUGUAUGUCCUAUAUAUACGUUUUAAUUUUCAUAUAUACAUACUUACAUAAUUUUUCAUCUAUAAUAAUUUGCAUAUAUUUUCCAUAUUUUCAUAAUUUUAUACAUAUAUGUACGUAUUUAUAUAUCUUUUGUAUUUUUAUGAUUGUGUUAAUUUUGUUCAUUUUUUCAUAUGUCUAUUAUUGUUUAUUUUCUUACUUUAGUUUCAUAUUAUUUGUUAUUUUGCUCGUAUGAUUAUUUUUUAUUGUUUAUUGUUUAUUUGUUUCAUUUUAUUUACAUUGCAUCAUUAUUGUUAUUUUACACCUACUUUUACUCGGAUUUAUCAAAAACGGAAAAUUUUAAAAAUGUAAGUAAUACUCGGUAUUUGGGAUCUUCGAGAGAAUUGAGCCCUAACGUAUUGGGUUCCGAUUUUCUUCGUUGAACCUAAAUAAUCGAGAUUACUCUUUUAAAAAAAAUGAUAAAAAGCUCGUUAUCAAGAAUUCAAUACGUUGUAACCUAACGCAUUGGAUGUGACACGUUGUUUUCUCGAGACGAGAAUUUUUCGAAAUAAAUGCAAUAUUUAAUGUUUAAUAUUUUGAGAAAUUGUGCCCUAACGUAUUGGGUUGCGAUUUCUUCAUUUGAUUUAAACAAUUGAAUAUUCUUUUAAACUUUAUUAUACAAUUUUUUUUAAAAUUCAAGUUUUAAACAAUAUCGGGAAUUAAAAAAAGGAUUGUGUCCUAACUUACUGGUCGUGAUCCCUUUUUAAAUCCAAGAUAAUUAAAUAUCUUUUAAAUAAGCAUUUUUUAUUCGCGUAUCGAGAAUUCGAGACAUUGUGUCCCAACUUACUGGAUAUGAUUUUUUUCUCGAAUAACGUGAAAUAUCCCCUUUUUCUUGAAAAUUUUCAACGUUUUAAUAAAAUGAUCGUAUUUUUAAAAUUCUCCAAAGUUCUCAAUUUUCGACAUUAAGACAUUAAGUAAUCAACUAGGUACCAAUUUUGGGCGUAUCGAGGGUGCUAAUCCUUCCUCGUGCGUAACCGACUCCCGAACCCGUUUUUUCUGAAUUUCGUGGACCAAACUUGUUGUUUUAAUAAAAUCAAACCGUUUAUUAAAAAUAACCACUUUUCGAGGUGAUCCAAUCACACCUCAUAAAAAAGAAUUGGUAGCGACUCCCGUUUUAUUUUUUAAAACCCAAGUCAACCCCGUUUUCCAUCUAAAAAAUGGUGUCAACAAUAUAAAUUUUGAUACUAUAAUAAUUUCAAUUUUAAAAUUUUAACACAACUAUGGUCUAGAAUGUCCCAUUAUCAAGAAGCUUAGAAAUUAGAAGAUGCAGAUGAAAACAAAUCAUUCAAUUUGCUGAAUAAAUGUUGCAGAGAAUUAAGUUAUAGCAAAUCAGUUGAAUAUAGCUUUCAGUGCCUGCAAAAUUAAAUACAAAAUAUAUACGAUUGAUUGCUAUUAUCAUCUUGUUCCUGAGGACAGUCAGAUACAUGGAACGAAAACAGCCAAUGUUUAAAACGGUUUCAUACCAGUGAUACAACAUAAGGUAUGUGGGAAAUCUUGGACCACUCUCGUCCUUUACCCCUAAAAGUGGACAUAAUUAAGAAGGAAAACUUGUCUGUGAUAGAAAAUGAGGGGCUUUAGUUAAAUUACAACUAACCAGGAUGAACUCUGUUUCUGGAUUGAAAUAUUGGAAUUGGUAAUCAGUGACUUAUUCACUAAGAACUAACUAUUCUGUCACCUUAUAUUCUUCCUAUAAUUUCAGGUUUAAUCCUGUUGAUUUAUACAUUCAGUCCACUGCAAUAUGAACCCAUGAAAACCACACUAAAUGAAACUGACUGUUUAAGGAUCCCAUUCAUAUGAUGCAGCACUGUAAUGGGUAAUUAAACUGACUGUUUAAUCCUGUUUCUGUACACUAUGCUUCUUCAAAAUCAUGCCUAGCCGAACUCUCUGACAUUGUGGACCGCAAGCGCACUCAAGGACAUAUUGUUCUUCCCAUCUUUUACCAUGUUGAUCCCUCUGAGGUUCAGCAUCUUAGUGGGGGUAUCAAGACAUUCUUUGAUAACCAUGAAUCAAAGAGGCCUGUUGAUUAAGUCUGUAAAUUAAUUGGGUGUUCUUGAGAAUGAUCUUCUUCCAUUCCUUUGUUGUAUCUCGAAAGAGUGUGUUCCACGCUACAUUCAUAAAAUGUCAUGUUUAAAAAAAUAACAAUAAAUUAAAAAUAAAAUUCACAAUAAAUUAAAAAUAAAAUUCUAACUCAUUAUUAGGGUUUAGGUUUUUUUUUUACCUAUAUUGUUUGGACUUGAGCCGAUCAAAUUAUGACAAGUUAUUCUUAGCUUAUCGUAACUAUUUAUGUAUCAUUUUUGUUUUAAUAUGAGUGUUGACACCAUUUUUUUGACGAAAACGGGUCGACUUGGGUUUUGAAAAAAAGAAACAGGAGUCGCCACCAAUCCUUUUUAAUGAGGUGUGAUUGGAUCACCUCGAAAAGUGGUUGUUUUUAAUAAACGGUUUUAAUUUUAUUAAAACAACGAUUUUGGUCCACGAAAUCUAGAAAAACGGGUUCGGGAGUCGAUUACGUACGAGGAAGGAUUAGCACCCUCGUAACGCCCAGAAAUUGGUACCUAGUUGAUUAGUCAAAGUCUUAAUAUCGAAAAUUAGAAAAUUUAAAAAUUUAAAAUACGAUCCUUUGUCUUAAAAUGACUUGUAUAAAAUAGGUUGCUUAUAUUAAAAAAAAAACUCCUACAACAAAAUUAAAAAAGGGUAUUCAAUUGUUCGAGUCAGAUGAGGAAAUCGCAACCCAAUACGUUAGGGAACAAUUUUUUAACAUUUCGAACAUUGAACAUUGCCUUAGUUGUUUUUAAGAAAAUCCUUAUCUCGAAAAAGCAACGUGUUACAUCCAAUGCGUUAGGACACGACAUAUUGAAUUCCCGAUAAUGAGCUUUUUAUUUGUAUUUUUUUUAUAAAAGAGAAAUCUCGAUUAUUUUGAUUCAACAAAGAAAAUCGAAACCCAAUACGUUAGGGCUCGAUUCUCUCGAAGAUCUCAAAUACCGAGUAUUGCUUUUAUUUUGAAAUUUUCAUUUUUUGACAAAUCUGAGUAAAAAGAUGCAACAUAACAACAAUGAUGAUAAUGUGAGUAAAAUGAUACAAGCAAGAGCUACAAAAUAAAAUAAAUACAAGGACAAACUAAUAUAGUACACAAUUGCAAGCAUAUAAGCAAUAAAAUUAAAAACAUUCUUUCAAAACAAAUAAUGAAAAUGUACAUAAAGAAAUAAACAAAGUAAAUGUAUAAAGCUAUAAAAAUAUAAAAGAUACAUAUAUGUGUAUAUACAUAAAAUUAUGAAAAUAUGAAAAAUAUAUGUAUGUACAUAUGAAUUAUAAACUAUAGAAAUCACAUACGAAAAUAUAGAUUUUUUUAAAUAUAAGAGUAUAUAUAAAUACGUAUGUGCAUAUUUAUGAAAAAAAAACAGAUACAUGUAAGUAAGUAUAUACAUAAAAACUUUAAAAUGCAAAUAUAAAUACAUUCAUGUGUAUAAAUUAUAAAAUAAUAAAAAAAGGUGUAUAUAUGCAUGUAAAUUAAAUAUGUACACAUGAAUGUAUAUAUAGAAGCAAUUAUAUUAAUAUAAUAAUAGUAAUAAUAAUAUUAAUAAUGACAACGCUAAUAAUAAUAAUAACAUUAAAAUAAUUAACUAAAAUAAUAAAAGUGCUAAAAUAUGAACUAAAUCGAAAUAAAAAUGAAAACAUUGGGCGAAUUUAGAAUAAAAAGGAUUAGAUUGCAACACGCUCAAAAAGGGGAGGGCCAAAUAGGUAAUAAACCCGAUUUUAGGCCACGCGUCCCUCCCUCAGGUGUCCAAUCGAAUUGAGGACUAAAUUAAAAAAAGGGACAAAUCCGUGGUCCAAAUUAAAGGAGGAGAAAAAACAAAUGGUCCAAAUUGAAACAGAUCGAAAAUACGGAAGGGCUUGAAGCGCAAAUAACCCCUUGAAGGCUAAAACAUGCGGACCCUGUUUGGACGGGUCGGGUCGCCCGCGGGUUGCGCUAAACGGCGCCGUUUUGGCCGAUAGGCUCGCCCUAAAACGACGUCGUUUUAGGGGCCUAUAAAAGCCCACUUUUAGAAAAAAAAAUCAUUUGCCUUUUGUUUCAGAAAAAAAAGCUUUAAGUUCUCUCUCAACCUUCCCCUUAGCCGGCCAUGGCUCCGGUCAUCGGCCACCGCACCGGCCGCCGGAUGUCGGUGACGGCGCCGCCGUCCGCGGUGGCCGGAAAACCAAAAUACUCCCUUUUGUUCCUUUUUUCGAAUAGAGCCCAGAUCUGGGGUCAAAACUACCAGAAAAACCCGGCGACAAGGGAUAAAAUCGGAAGAGACCUUUCGGUUCUUCCUCCUCACAUCCGCCGAAAUCAGGUAAGACUCUCCCCUUUAUUUUAUUUUAUUAUCUUGUUAUAUUGAUUAAAUGAAAAUGAAAAGAGAAAGAAACAAUGUAGAAAAACUGAAAUAGAACGAAAAUAAGAAAAAAAGAAGUCGGAAAAAUCACUGUAAAUCACCUUCUAAAAACCUUUUUUUAUUUCUUCCAAUUUUUUUCAAAAAAAGCCCUUUACAUGUUUUUAGUUUCGGCUUUUAUAGCGGAUUGUUUUACAUUAUUUUAUUCCUAUUUUGUUGCUUUUCUCUGUUGUUGCGUGUCCUUGCAGGUACUUUGAUGGGAGUGGUUGGUGGUGGUUGCGGCGGUGGCAGGGAGUUGGUGGCUGAAAACCCUAGGUGCGGCGCACCUAAGGUUGCUGCUACUUGCUCUUUUUUCUUUUCUGAACAUGGGCUAGGGUUAGGUAGAUUGGGUUUGGGCUUGUUGGGCUAUUUUGAUUUGGGUUAAACUGUUAAUUGAUUUAGGUUAUGGUGUUUGGGUUUUUUUGGGCUGUUUGGGUUUAAUUUGUUUUAGGUUUGGGCCCGGGAAAAAUUUGGGUCUUACAAUGAGUAUGUGUUGUUGAGUUUUAGUAUAUAGUUUCGUAUUUAUCAUUUUUUAAAAUAUUAUAUAUAUAAUAUACUCGCAAAUAUUUCUUAAUUAUAAUAUGUAAAUAUAAAUUUUAAAAUUAUUAAUUAAGUUCAAUAAUUUAAUAAAUGGUUAUAUAUUAUUUUUAAAGCAAUUAUAUAAAAAAGUAGUUAAGAAAGAAAAGGGAAAUAUUAAAAAUUCCUUUAUAGGAAUUAAUACUCACCGGUACAAGCAUAUAUUAAUUGAAAUGAAUCAAAACUCAAUGAAAUUUUAAUUGAAGUGAAACUUAAACUAUUUUAUUCUAGUUCAAUAUCGAGACAAUUCGUAAUGAUUGAUACAACCAGUAUCGAAACUACCGACUAUCAUGCUACAAAGCGAAAAGAAAAAUAAUGGAAAUCAAUCAAAUUACAACUCAACUUACUUUCAUGCUUAAAAAAAGAAAACAGUUCUAAAAAAUAAUCAUCCAAGAAAAUAAAUAUAUAUAAGUUUUAUAGACCGUUGCAAAUUAAUAUACACUCAUAUAAGUCGAUAUUAACUAAAACAAAUCAAAACACAAUGAAAUUUUAACUGAAACGAAACUUAAAAUACUUUAUAUUAAUUCAAUAUUGAGAGGAUAGCCAAUUAUUAAGAAAAGAAAAAUUAUGAAAAUCAAUCAAAUUAUAGGUCAACUUACUUCCAUGCUUACAAAAAAAAUUGCUAAAAUUUAAAAUUGAAAAAAACCCAGAUUUCGAUUAUUAAAAAUCAUCUAUAAUAUAUAUAUAUUAUAUAUAUAAGUAUUAUACUAUAUUAUAUACCUAGUGCUGGACCAUUGAUAGACCUUGCCGGUGCUUGAAAAAGUAAUAACCCCAACCUCUGCAUCACAUAAAAUGGACAAUUCUUUAGCUUUCUUCAACAACCCAUUUCGCCUCUUUGAAAAUGUUACUUGCCUGCUAUUCAAAUUUUCAAUCUUUUUUAUUUCAAUUUUCCCUCUACCCAUCUGAAAAUUUUCUUCUUUCCUUUACUUUUUCCCGGAAAAUUUUUAAAAGAAAAGAUAAACCCCAGAUUUUUUUUUCUUAAAAUUUGAAAAGAACCGAAGGUUUUUAUAACAACAAACAGAUCAAAGAAAAUAAGGAAAAAAAUUUAGGGGAUUGUAAAAGGAUUCUUUUUUGAAGAGAAAAGAAAAUAAGUAAGUAAUGUUUAUAUAUAACAAUGGUUUUCUUAAAUGGAAAUGGAAAAUGAUAUGGAAAAAGAAAAUAUGUGACCAAAAUUAGGGUGAAAUCUUGAAAGGUGACAGAUUUGAUACUAUAUCUACCAAUUAUCCAACUAUGGAAACUCUAUUUAUUAUAGCUUUAGUUUUUUUUCUAUUUAUCUUACUUUCUCUACCUUUUUACUCUGCUGUUUUUGGUAUUUCAACUCAAAAUGGAUUUGAUUUUUGCUUUGGGUUUCUUUUUUUAAAUAUAAAAAGUGGUUUUUAAUUAUUUAUAUAUUAUUAAUGUGUUUUAACAAUUUUUGUUAGUGAAUAUUGAUUUUUUUUUCUGUGAAUUACAAUAGGAGGGCAAAACCCUAAUAACAAUACAACUAGAGCAAUUCGAAUUUAGGCCACACUUGAGACGUUGAACACAAGUAUUUUAGGAGGACAUAUAACACAUGUUUUUUUUUUUAAAAUUCAUGGCUAAAAUAAUAAAAAUAACCUCUUUAUUUUAUUGUAUUCAAAUAAUAAAAAAAAAAACCAUGAUUUUAGUCGUACCGGCCGGUGCCACCGCUCUACUGUUAUAGCACAACAAGCAACACCCUUUUCCUUUGUACAGUUCGCAUUGGCCGGAACAUGGUACACCUACUGCUGCAUGAAUAAUGUUAAAAAAUAUAAAACUUUUAACUAUCUAAAUAUUUAAUUGAAAUGUAUUGACCAAUAAAAAAAUAUUACACUAGAAAGUAAAGCUUAACAUUUAAAAUUUUUUUAGAGCAUACUUUUUCAUUUAAAAUAUAAAAAUUAAAAUAUAAUAAAAAAAACUCACUCACCUCGUUAUCAUAGAAAAAUAUUCACUCACAUCUGUUACCAUGUUGUUCAUGAGGACAAUUAGAUAUAUAUAUAUAUAUAAAGUUAUGAAAUUUAUAAAUGUUUAAAAUGCGGUUUCACACCUGUGGUUUGAGUGUCGAGAAAUCGAUACCAGAUUUUACUGCUUAAAUUUCAAUACCUCGGGAUGACUAAUUUAAAAUCAAUUUCAACAUAAGGUAUGUGGGAAAUCUUGGACCACUCUCGUCCUUUACCCCUACUGCACCCUUCUUCUAGCAACGGGCAACGCUGAAUAUCAAGACGCUCAAGCGAGAGAAGCACAUCUUUUUCUGGAAGAGAGGCGAGCUUAGGACAAUCAUAGAUGCCCAAUUGUUGAAGAGAGGUGAGGUAUUGUAAGCCCUUGGAGCACAUGAAUUCCAAAUUUUCAAAUCUACGGAUGCUGAUAUCGGUGAGAGAAGGAGGCAGCAUCAUUCCUAUAGCUUCUUCUGGAAAUGACACCACACGUGAGCAUCCUUCACCGCUGAUGUUGAGUUCUUGAAGAGAGGUGAGUCUGUUAAAUCCCCAUUCAACUAGUGAUGUAUAAAUUCUGGGUGCGUUUGAGAUUUCAAGUGAUGUGAGGUUGGUAGGGAAACCCUCUUCUGGAAAGGAUAUGUCAGCCGAACACUCCCACACUGAUAAUUCUCGAAGGCAGGUGAAGUUGUUGAUGCACUUGGGAAGGGCUCUAAAAUUUUCACAAUAAUUAAUUGAGAGAACUCUGAGAUUUGUGGUGGGCAACUCACUUCCUUCAAAUGAAACCAGAUUUGGACACCUAGAUAAUUGAAUCUCCUGAAGAUGGCUCCGCGGUAAUGAUUUAAUUUUUUCAGCACCACAAAUGUCAAUGCUUUCGGGAUCAAUGGUUUCAAGGAAGUCUUGGGCUAUGCAUUCCAACACUGGACAAUCCCAAAUAGAUAGCUUUUUAAGCAUUACGGGUAACUUGGCGUUUAAAAAUAAGCUACUUAGCUUUGAACAAUCCCUAAUUUCGAGAUGUUGAAGCCGAUUGCAUAUAUCGCCCCUUGAUGAUAACCAUAUUAGAGAUGGACAGCACCUUAUUUCCAAGUGCAGAAGAAGACAAGUGUUGCUACUCAUACUCUUAUUAUUAUUUUCUUUUUCAUCAACCAAAUAUUGCAAAUUCACGCAAUUCCCAAUCCUCAGCUCUUUUAAAGCAGGAGGAAAGUUACUCUCUGCAAAACAAACCAAGCCGGAACAGUUUUCAAGUUGUAUUCUUGUAAUCAAUGGGAAAGCAUGUAAGGCUUCUGGUAGUCUAUUGAGCCUUUCACAAUCCCCUAUGUUCAGAGAUUCAACACCUGGAAUCUUGUCAAGUUGCAAUCUCUCCUCUGUUUCCAAAGAGACCAAUCGGGGACAACCCACAAUCGUAAUAAAACGAUGCCCGACUAAUCUUAACCCAAUUUGCGAUAAAGAUCCCAACUCCUUACAACCAGAGAUGCAGAAUGUUUCGGAGUUUGCAAAUCUCAACAUUAUCCUCUCUGCUGAAAUAUUAAAAUUUGAAAUAUUUGAAAGAGACAUCUUUCAAGGAGGUAACCUUCUGUACAGACAAAGAACCUUCAUCCACCAAUUCUUCACACCCUUCAACCCUUAAUUCACACAGAAAGGGAAAACUUGAAAUUGAAACUACCAGUCUCUUACACUCAUAGAUUUCAAGUGUCUGCAAGGUUUGAAGGAUGGUUGGCAACCUUCCCAGCAAUAGAGGACAUUCUCUGAUUGAAAGAAAACGAAGGCUGGGGAAUUUCGAUACUUGCUCAUCAUCUUCACAUAGGUCCCACUCCUCCCAAUUCAGCAUAUUGUCAAAAUACAGAGACUCUAAUGAUGCAAAAGCAUUUGAUUGAUUUUCUCCAAACAACUCAGCACCAAUCUUGUGCACUUGAUCCAAACCACUAAUUGAAAGAUCUUUUAACAGCAACAACCUUCCAAUCGAUGGUAGGGAUUUGCAAUUUUUACAAUUGUGAAGCUUCAAUGACAACAUAUUUUUGAAGGAAGGAUCUGCAAUCCAAGUAGAGAAUUUUGCACCACCAUAAUUCUCAAUGACGAGUUGCUCAAGCUUUUUUGGAGGACACAGAGAGUCCAACACCCGUUCUUCAACUUCUUUAUUCCUUGAAGCAUUUUCAAACUUUUUCCUCCAAUGCAAUACCAGUCGAUCAAUUCCCUGCUUCUCAUAUAACUUGCUUUCCCCUGCAUCUUUACCAUUAACAUUCUCCAACCCAGAAAGACGGAAAUCACCUUCGAGGUUUGACAAAUAUUUCAAAUAUCUAAUAUGACAACCAUCACUUUCCGCUAUGAUAAAAUCAGAUAACCUUUGAAGAUUCUUUAGCUUAUCAAUUCUAAAAGGAAUCCUUUCUAUUGAGCUCGCACCUCUGAUAUCAAGAUAAUGUAAGUUGACAAGAUUUCCCAUCUUUGAAGGUAACCUUUGAAGCCUGUAACACCUUCUUAAUAAUAAGGUUUCUAAAUGGUAAAGAGUGCACAAAGAAUCUGGUAGGCAUUUGAUUAAUGUGCGCGAAAAAUUUAAGUAGCGAAGAUGUUUUAAAUUUUCAAAAACAUCAGGCAACUCAGUGAUUUUAUACCCACUCAAAGAAAGCAUCCUUAAGUAGCCAAGUCUUGGUAACAAAUCAACCAAAACAACAUUAGUUAAACAAGCCCCCUGAUGAUUAAUAGAAAACAUUAAGGGUAAAAAAGUACGUAAAGAAUUCACUUGAUCAAAUGCUUCAAACUUCUUCACUGUGUCAUAUCUUCCAGCAAUAUAAGAAGAAUGUCGAGUGCGAUUUGAGAACUUCCAUUUCUUAUCACCCUCUAAUUUUGAGCAUAUUUCCCCUGCAACUACUUGAGCUAAAUCAUUGAUAAGGUCAUGCAUUACCGAUCGGGACUUAUCUUUACUGGAUGUCUGAAAAAAUGACCUGGACACUAGAUCUUGAAAAUAUUGAUUUCCGAGAUCUUUAAUUUGAGGCACAGCUUUUUGUUGCAAGAGACCUUCUGCUCUCCAUAACAAGAUAAUUUCUUCUUCCUCAAAUUCAUAAUCUUUAGGAAGUAUGGAGCAAUAUGCAAAACAUCGUUUCAAGUAUGACGGAAGAUGAUGGUAGCUUAACCGCAAAGCUGGAAUUAUGCCACACUGCUCUUCUGGUAAGUUCCAUAUCUCACUCUCAUAUAUUCUUUCCCAUUUUCCAUGAUAUUUAACCGUGCGAAGCAAGCUUCCAAUGGCUUUUGCAGCCAAAGGUAAGCCACUGCACCUUCUAACAAUUUUCUCUCCAAUUUCUUUAAACUGGAGAUGUUCAUCGAAAUUUCUUGCUUUUAAUGCAUGCUGUGUAAAUAUGGAUAAACAAUCAUCAUCCGAUAGUUUAUCCAAAUGAAAAGCUUUGAGCGGAUCCACAAUAGAUGAAACAAUUUGAAGACGAGUGGUUACAAUGAUAUGGGUCCCUGUUCCAAACGGAGACCGUAAGAUGGUCCAAUCAUCAUAAUUCUCGUUCCAAAUGUCAUCUAAAACAAGCAAGAAUCUUUUCCCAGACAACUUCUCCUUCAACUUAACUUGAAGUAAAUUCAAGUCAUUCUCGUCACGAGAGUCAGGAUCGAUGGAUUUUAAAAUUGUCCUGGUUAUAUUAACUGCGUCAAAAUUAUCAGAGACGCAUACCCAGGCCUUGUGGUGGAAAGACUGGUUGAUGGUGGCAUCAUUAUAAACAAACUGAGCAAGAGUUGUUUUACCCAUCCCUCCCAUGCCGACGAUGGAAAGGACUGAAACUCCGUUGGAGUUAUCACCUUUGAGAAACUCAAUCAUUUCUGUCUUCUCCUUGUGUCUGCCAACAUACUCCACAACUCCAUCCAGUACGGAAGUUGGGUGCAGCCUAGGUUGCUUUCCCUUGGAGGUUGGAGCUUGAGACAAGAUCUCACUCAACCCCAAACUACUUCUUCGAGUAGUCAAACUAUUCAGUCUAGCAGUGAUCUCUUUCACCUUGGGAAUCAUGGAAUUCUUAAACAGGAAAGAAGUGGGAGCAAAAUUACUACUGGUACAGCAGGUAGGAAUGAGUUUCCGUACCUUGCUAGUGCUGGCUUGAGCUUGCGAUUUGUUGAGCCUGAGACGUAACUCUUCAUAAGCGAACUCAUCCAAGAUGUCAUCCACAUCGUAAGCCAAGUCCUGGAGAUCCUCCAACCAUUUCUUCACGCCCUCGUUCUUGAUCUGCUUCUCCUCUGCAUCGUCCAACACUGCUUGGAUAUCGGGCAAUAUGGACUGCCACUGCUUGAGCUGUGGGCGGAGUUGCUUAUGAUCAGCAACGAAGUUGAGCGCAGAGUCGAGCAACUUGCCCCCCAACAGCUCCAGAAACACAGACAGAGCAGCCUCUCCAAUGACAGACAUGGUGAAAUUAUGAGAAGGAAGCAGAAGGGAGAAAUGAAGAAGCCAAAUGGAAGUUGAGGAACAGAGUGGAGAUUGUGUAUAAUCAGUGAAAGUUGAAAAAAUCAGAGGAGGAGGCAGUGAGCUGAUAGUCUGAUAAAUAAAAUAAAGCCCAAUUGGCUUUUUGGGCAGUGAAACGAAUAAAGAAGGCGGAAAAGACAAUGGCUGAACCACCCACCCACAUUGUUUAUGAAUUUUGAUGCUUUUCUCUUGCUUUUCUCCAUUAUCCCAAUUUCGAAGUAAAUGAAUGUUCAGUUCCAUGGCAAUGGCAUCCAAUGCCCAUAUUUGUACUUUAAUUAACAGCCAAUAUAGCAAGCACAUGUCAGUCUUUGUUUUUGGGAAUGAAAAAAAAAAAUUCAUCCCAUUUUUUUUAAAAUUUCCAAAAUUUCAUCCCAUUUUAAUUGAAUAUUUUCUUUUAUUUUGUUGGUGAAUUUUUUUAUUAAAAUUUAAAUAUAUUUUUAAUGUUACAUUAUAAUAUUAUAUAUUUAAUUUAAUUUUAUAUAAAUUACAUUCUAUACAUAUAUGAUAAAGUAGAAAAUGAGUUGGACUUAGUCAUUUUAAUUUUAGAGUCCAAGCAUGGCUCAUUUUAAGCAAGCUUAAUUUUUUUUUUGUCUAAACUUAUAUUUCAAGCCUUAUUCUUUUUAUCUAAACCCUUUUAUAUUUUAAGCUCAUUUAGAACGAGUCUAUCUACAAAAGAAAAGCUUGUGAAAAGCGCAUAAUUAAUAAUUAGAAAUUGUCACACAUGUAAAAAUAUAAUAUAUUAUAUAUAAAUUUAAAUUUUAAAAAUACUAUUUCAUAUAUAAAUUUUAUAUUUUUGAGAAAUAAUAAUAUUUUAAAAAAGAUGGAUAAAUUUUUUUUUUCUAAUAAUUAGAAAUUAGUGAAUAAUAAUGAGUAGUUUAGUUUUUGAAGAAAAAAAAAAGAAAUAGUUUUAAUUGAGGAAAUAAUUUUUUAAGAAGUUAGUUUAAGAGUAGUGAAAUAAUUUAAUUUAUUUUAUAAAAUGUUGAAAUGAUAUAAUCAUCUCUAUAUUUAACAAAAUAAUAAUAUUAGAUUUUUCAUGCUUUUACCAAUUGAGUUUGUGUUGCUCGAUUUGAUGUACCAAAUUUAAUAAGACAUUUUAUCGUAGUAUAAAUAAUUAUCUUGUAAUUAUAUGUGUUCAAAUUAACUUAAUUUUUAAAUCCGUCACUAAUCUUUAUAUUUUUUCUCUCGUAUAAUUAUAUUUUUACAUAAUGUUUUUAUAAUAUAUGGUAUGAUCAUGAAUUAAACCUUAAUUAUAGUUAUUAAGCUUACAUUUUUUCCACUAAAGUCAAGAAAUUAAUUUUUUUAUUGAGAAAACAUUUUUAUAUUAGUUAAUCAUGAGAAAACAUUUUUAUGUGAAAGUGUGUUUAACUAAUUAUAUUAAAGAAAAGUAUAUUUGAUAAUAGGCUCAAUUUACAUAUUUAUUGUGCUUAAAUUUGAUAAAUUCUUUAAUGAGAUAUCAUUAAUUUUAGGUUUAUUAUUUGAUUUUUGAUUAGGUGCAAAAGGCAAACAUAAAAAGUAAAAAAGAGUGGGAAAUGCAAGUUGUCGCAAAAGUUUUAGGCCAUGAUCUAUCUUCUUCUUCUUUUGGUACAAUAACAUGACAAAACCUAAACAAUAAACACAACUAACGUGACUCAAACUCAAACCACACCUGAGACAGUGAACACCUUUGACUAUCAAGCUAUCAUAUAAGGUUCGGAAAAGAAAGAGAGUACUUUUAAUUUUUAAUUAGGAUAAUAUUUUAAUUUUCUAGUAUUUUAUUUUUUGAUAUAUUUUUAGAUAACACUCUAAUAUUGGAUUAGAUUAAAGAAUUUAAGUAGGAUUAGGUAUAUUCUAAAAGGGACAGCAAUUCAAUUGCUUUCUUUUCUUCUCUGUUUCUAAUUCUGUUCUUUCUUUCUCUUGCACAAUAUUGUGCCGCCACGCCACCCUCCCCCUUUUUUUUUUUCCUUUCUUUUAUUUGUUUAUUUCUUUUAUUUAAUUUUUGUUGAACCCUUUAUACUAGUAUGCUUGAUUUCAUGAGUAAUUAAACUUCCCAUCUAGCUUUUAAGUCAAGAGUCAAUUUGGGAGAGAGUUCUACGAUUCGAAAUUGUACUUUAAAACUUUUAUUUCAGUAUUAUUUCUCUGGUUUAGGAGACUGUCUCGUAAAGUUAUUUUGGCACCAAAUGAGUUCAUUGCGUUGGUUUUAAUAAAGAAUCAAUAUUAUUGAUUGUCGUAUUCGAUCUACCAAAAAACAAAUUGGCAUGUCCAAUUAAGUGGUUGAUGUAAAUAGUACUUAAACAAAUAACUACAUGGAUGGUGAGGAUGAGUAAAAACUUUUAAUAUCAUCCAUAUCUUUUAUAGGUGGUGUAUUGCUCUGGAGUAUGCACUUAAUGGGUUGGCCUAUAUGAGUGUGUAGUGAUGCUGCUUGAGUGUAAAAAAAAAAAAAGCACGGGCUUAAUUGCCAAUUUUUUUAAAGGUUUAAGGGGUCUUUUGAUGUAUUUUGAAAGUUGAAGUGCUCAAUUGAAUACAAAAAUCAUAGGUAAAGAAUAGAGAUUAUAAUAAACUCACAUCGUAAAAUAAAAUACCUCACCAUGAUAACUAUCCACAAACUUCGAGCAAGGUUGUAAAUGUUCAUCAACUAUAUACUUUCCACAUUUUGGAAAAGACCUAGCCAUAAUAAAUAACAUAUGAGCAACAUUUUCUCAAUCUCAAAAUGUAAGAAGCAAUACUGUAAUAUCCUUUGAAGUUUGUUCUAAGAACAUUAGAAUGCUAAUCAUUAGAGUUUCAACUUAAGAUUGAACACAAAAAAUAUUGAAAAGUUUCAGGUACUAGGUGUAUUUUGAAAGAGUUGCUCCUACGACAUUUUCUCACCAUUCUUUUUCUUCCAUGGAUCCAAAUGCCUGUAAAAGAAAAACAAGGAAUAAAAAAGCAUAUCUACAACUCCAACAGAAGAGGGGAACCGGAAGAACAACCUCUACUUACCCUAUCAUAAACACUGAUAACAUCACUGUUGAAGCCUUUCAAAGUAGGGAAUCUUCAUAUAAAGAAUGAUCGAUAACCCACUGUGACACAUUUAGCUUUGAAGCUUCAGAUAGCUAGCCUGUCAAAAAUGAUCAAAUAACAUAUCACAACUACCAUACAUGUGGUCUGAGCAUGAGAAAAUAAGGGAUGCUCUGAAAAUUUAGUGAUGAUCCAUCCAUCCAUAAUCACAACGAUUACGCUCAAGCGAUGCAUAAAUAAGAGAAGUGCACACAUAAACGUACAAAUACCGAGGAAAGCCAACCAAACAUCCUUCAAUAGUACAAUGAAAUGUCAAAUGUUUUUAACUAAAUCCCAUUCCCAUAUACAUAAGGCAUAACAAUUGCAGUUGAGCGAUUGCUCUAAGCCCAUGCCAUAUAGUACAAAGCAAAGGAUCCUUAAGGACGAGGACAAUAUAAGAGUUAAGCAAACAUAUACGCAAAAAAAAGCUUAGAAAUGUUGGAUAAAUGACAGCAAACAAGACACAACAAAUGAAACUUUGUUUUGCAUAAGCUCACAAAACAGGAAGUCAAAGCAAAAGAAAAAAAAAAUGAAAACAAAGAUCAGCAAGUAACCGAUGAAGCCAAUUCAAAAAUUUCAUUAAAAGGUUUGAAAUAUAUUUGUUACAAAAGUAGUAUGACAGUUACCUAACUUAUGUAACUGCUUCCAUCAGUUUUAGCAACUUCCAAUACAAAAAUAAUACAAAUUCAAAAGCUGAUUGAUUUAGCUGUACAUCUAUCAAAUUCAUAUCUUACUAACUAUGAAAUCAAGUUACAUGUCAACUUGUUCCAUUUACAAAAGGAUUACAAAAUCAAUUAAACAAAUGAAAUGCUCCCAGUCUUGUUAGAAUGCUGGUCUGCUAUGUUGGACAGCACCAUGGUCGACUGUUGCAUUGCAGUCCAUGCUUAACACUUCUCCUUGGACUGUAGGCAACAAACACCAAUCAAUUCCCUCAGAAGUCCAAACCUCAUUGCACCAAGAGGCUUUGUCAAAAUGUCAGCCAAUUGGUCAUGUGAGUUACAAUAUGCAAGACUUACAUCCUUUGCUUGCACUGCCUCUCGAACAAAAUAGAAUUUAAGUUUAAAAUGUUUUGUUUUUCCAUGAAAAACAGCAUUCUUUGAGAUAGCAAUUGCUGAUUAAUUAUCAACCAUAAUCUCAGUAGGUUCAAAAUGUUCCUCAUUCAAAUCGCAUAGCAAUUUUCUAAGCCAAAUAGCCAAGAAGGCUGACUUGACAUCAAACUGGUGAACCUUCCAGUGCUUCUGUGCAGCCAAGGCAAACAGUAAUUUGAUAGUAUCCAGCCUUGAUACUGGAGCAAAAGUCUCCUCAAAAUCAAUGACAGCCUGUUGACUAUAUCUUUUCACCACAAGCCUUGCCUUGUGCUUGUUCAAAGAGCCAUCUGCAUUGAACUUUACCUUGUAAACCCACCUGACACCAAUGACUUUUCUCUGUUCAGGUCUGUCUACUAGAUCCCAAGUAUCAUUCUUGUGGAUCAUUUCAAUUUCAGCCUCCAUAGCUUCCCUCCAGCUCUUGCUUCUAGCAGCCUCUUCAUAAUUUGAGGGUUCAAUAAUGGCCACAUUGCAUCUCUGAUAGAUGUCAGCAAUGGACCUGGUCCCUCUCACAGGAGCAUUAUCAACAUUGGCAGUACUAAGAUCACUUUCUGCCAAUUCUAAGUUGCUAUCACCUUCCACUUCUUCAAACUGACUGGUAUCUGAAUCAUCAAAGUUCCAAAACCUUGUUUCAUCAAAUUUAACAGCUGCUGUAGCCAAUAAAUAUGCCAGCAAAUAACCUCUUCUCAAGUUUGGUCCUCCUUUCUGUUGGUACAAGCACAUAACAUAUGCAGCCAAACAAUUUUAAAUGUGAAACAACAGGUUUGAGACCAUACCAUGCUUCAAAAGGGGUUUUGUCCUUCACAGCAUGUGUAGGCAGCCUAUUGAGCAAAUAAACUGAGGUAUUGACACCCUCAGCCCAAAAGAUGCCUGGAAGCUUGCUUUGGAACAGCAAACACCUUGUCAUGUUCAUCACAGUCCUGUUCUUCCUCUCACUCACUCUAUUUUGUUGGGGAGUGUAGACUGUAGUCAACUGAUGAUGAAUUCCAGCUUGCUCACACAGCUUCUGGUAUUUUUUAGACAAGUACUCUGUACCAUUGUCUAUCCUCAAGGCCUUGAUCUUGCAGCCUGCUUGAUUUUCUGCCCAAGCCUUGAACUUCACAAACAUGUCAAACACCUCUAACUUCUAUUUCAUAAAGUACACCCAACAAAAUCUGGUCAAAUCAUCAAUAAACAAAACAAAGUACUUACUGCCAUUCAGUGAAGGUGCCUUCAUUGGUCCACAGACAUCUGAGUGCACCAACUCAAGUCUGUCUCGAGGCCUCCAUGCCUGGUUUGCUGAAAAUGGUAGCCUGAUCUGCUUACCAAGCUGACACACCUCACAAACACCUUCACUUGUAUCAACCUUUACCAUAUCCUUUGUCAUGUUCAUUUUGUGCAGCAAAUCAAGUGAUUUGAGGUUAACAUGGCCAAACCUCUUGUGCCAAAGAUCAGUAUCAUCCACUGAGCUUGUAUAGGCUCUUUUCUCAAGCUGACUCACAUCCAGCAUGAAGCAUUUGUCUGCCAUAGGUGCUGUGACUAUCUCCCUACCAUAAGCAUCACUUAUAACACAAGAAUCAUUCUUGAAAACUAGAGAAUAUCCUUUCUUGACUAACUGGCCUACACUAAGCAGAUUCUGAUAAAUUUCAGGCACAUAAAACACAUCUGAGAUAAUUUUGUUACCUGAACCAGUGUGAAUCACCACAUCACCUCUGCCUUUUGCUUCAAUCAAGUUGCCAUUGCCAAUCCUGACCCUUGAGACAUAGCUCCUGUCAAGAUCCUUGAACAACCUCUCAUCAGCAGCCAUGUGGUGCGAGCAGCCACUGUCCACAAGCCAACUGCAUUUGCUGUCAACUGCAAAACAUGAAGCAGUGAACACAUGCUCCUCUUGAGCUUGUAUAUCCUCAGCAGUCUUGGCUUGUGCUGGUUGAGCUUGAGCCUUCUCAUGACUUCUACAAAUCUUCUCAUGAUGGCCAUAUUGCUUACAGCUUUUGCACUGUAUGUCUGGUCUAGUCCAGCAAAACUUCUCCAAGUGAUUAGUUUUCUUGCAAUAAAUGCAUGGUGGAAACCUCCUUCUGCCUGCUUCUCUGUUAGUUUCUUUCUUUGCUUUAUCUCUUCUCUCAAACCAAGGUUUCUUAGCUCUCUGGUUUGAGCUAGAACCUUCUCUGGUUCUUGCUUGAAAGGCUCAUUCAGGGUUCUCCUCCUGUCUGUGUCUGCUAGCUCUCCUCUGCUCGAGUGCAUAGAGAGAAUUAACCAAUUCAGACAAGGAAAUGGUUGUAAGAUCCCUUGAGUCCUCCAGUGAGGAGAUUUUUGAUCCAAACCUCUCUGGAAGAGUGGUGAUCACCUUCUCAACCACUCUACUGUCACUAAAGUCCUCUCCUAGGAGUCUUAUGUUGUUCAUAGUUGCCAUAAUUCUAUCAGAAUAUUACUUAAUAGUUUCUGACUCCUUCAUUUUUAAGUUUUCAAACUCCCUUCUCAAGUUAAUGACCUGUUGCUGCCUGGUCUUAUCCGAUCCCAUGAACUCCUCUUUCAGCCUGUCCCAUGCUUGCUUGGGAGAGUCACAGGCCAUAAUGCAAGUGAAAAUAACAUCUGACACACCAUUUUGCAAACAGGCCAUGGCUUUGUGCUUCUUGGCUCGUUCCUCACCAUGUUGCCUGAUCUGCGCAAUAGUGGGAUUUGCUCUUAAAAGUGGUGGCUCGGAAUCAUUUUCAACUGCACUCCAGAGGUCAAGUGCUUGGACAUAUGUCCUCAUCUUAACUACCCAAAUGUGGUAGUUAUCUCCAGCAAAAACUGGUGGUGGAGGAGGUGCAAAACUCAUGCUGCUGAAACUGACUUUGCAAGCACGAUACUGACUUUGUUUUGAAAACUAAAACAUAAACAACAGAGGUCCUCAAAGAUAGGAGGCUCUGAUUACCAUUUGUUGGAUAAAUGACAGCAAAUAAGACACAACAAAUGAAACUUUGUUUUGCAUAAGCUCACCAAACAGCAAGUCAAAGCAAAAGAAAACAAAAAUGAAAACAAAGAUCAGCAAGUAACCGAUGAAGCCAAUUCAAAAAUUUCAUUAAAAGCUUUGAAAUAUAUUUGUUACAAAAGUAGUAUGACAGUUACCUAACUUAUGUAACUGCUCCCAUCAGUUUUAGCAACUUCCAAUACAAAAAUAAUACAAAUUCAAAAGCUGAUUGAUUCAGCUGUACAUCUAUCAAAUUCAUAUCUUACUAACUAUGAAAUCAAGUUACAUGUCAACUUGUUCCAUUUACAAAAGGAUUACAAAAUGAAUUAAACAAAAGAAAUGCUCCCGGUCUUGUUAGAAUGCUGGUCUGCUAUGUUGGACAGCACCAUGGUCGACUGUUGCAUUGCAGUCCAUGCUUAACAAGAAAUCAGAAGCAGCCGAUGAAAACAGAACAUUCAAAUUGCUUAAUAAAUGAUGCCGAUGAAAAAUAUAUGAAUAUACGCAUAAAUUUAGUAUUGUCAUUAAAUAUCAUGAGCACUGCACAAAUUUAUCCCAAUUUAAAGAAAAAAAUUCUCUAAAUUUCCAUUUUAUUUGACAUAUCUAGAUUUGUAAUUUGAAACUUUGUUCUUAUUCACUUGAAUUAAAAUUGAUCUAGUCUGAUUUUAUCAUUAAAAAGAGCCAACAACCUAAAUCUUAAUUAAGACGAAUAAAAGCCUAAUCAUGUGGUUUUGUAAGAAAUUAACACUAAGGUAAUCUAAAAUCAAACACCUGAUGAUCUCUCGACUCUCUUAGCUUCUUGCUAGGGAAUUAGAUUACUCUCACACACUAACUAACACAUUUCCCCUAAGGUAGCUACGCUAAUUUUCUUGAAUUCCCCUCUUAAUCACAGCUCUCAUUUCUAGUGAUUUUAUCCCUACACAUUGAUCGACCAAUCAUGCUAAAUCGCUUAAUAAAAUAUCAUACUGGCUGUGUGAAAUGCUGCCAUCGGGGGCAUCCUUCCAAUCAUAAUAGAACUUCUUUGCUGAUUUUUUCUAAGGCCAUUAGAAAAGAAAAUAAAACAAGAGAACACAAUGUGGUUCAAGAAUAUUAUUCCUUAGAACAACAGGUAGAACCAAGAAUGAAAAUUACAUCAUAAAAUAAAAUACCUCACCACAAUAACCAUUCACAAACUUUGAGCAAGGUUCUAAAAGGUCAUCGACGGUAGACUUUGCAACUCCGGUACCAUUUGACUUUCAACCCCUCAUCAAAUUUUGUGGUUCUCAAAGCUGAGUGAAUGUAGAAGGCUAAAUAAAUAACAUAUUUGGAUCCUCCACUUUUUUUUAUGAAGGUUUCCUUGAAGUGCCCUAUAAGAGUAUGAUAAUGCUAAUCAUUAGAGUUUCGGAUUAUAGAUUAAACAAAAAAUGAAAAGUUUCAAGUAGCAUUGGUAUUUUGAAAGGGUUAAUUCAAGGCCAUUUUCUCACCAAUUUUUCUACCUUGAUUCCACACAAUCCACAUGAUCAAAAAUGUAAAUUCUCAUCAAGUGAAUUGAUGCAGCUCAAAAGUAGCCUUCUAAUGAUUUCGUUGUGUUAAUGCCUAAAUUGAGCUCUCUAAUGCCAUGCCGUAGUGUGUAGUGUAUCCUUCCUGUAAGGAUCAAUACCAUGUUUAUAGUGGUUAUGAAAUCUGUUGACACUGAUAUCCUUACUCAAUAACCACGAAGAUCUGUAAACUAUUACGUAAAGACUUGUUCUUCUAGAAAACCUUUGGGUAAUAUUUGACAUAGAUAUGUAAAACAGUUUAUAAAAUUUUGCAUAUAUUUAAAAGGUCAUAUCUUUUAUACUCAUCAAGGUGAAAGUAAGAGACAUGAUUUAAAUAGUUCAUUUGCACUCACUUUUAAAGGUGGAUUCUUGAGGUUUUAGCUAAAGUUAAAAAAAGCUUGAAUUCAAUUUAACAACUGGGACUCGAAGCUUGACUCAAGUUAGAUCGAGUUUCAGUUUUAAUGUAGAGCUCAAUUUUGAUAUAAAAAAUUACUUAAGUUCGUUAUAUUAGAUUCGUUUACCAAAUAAAAUGAAAAAAAAAGGGUCAAAUUCUAUUAUAAUAUAUGAUAGGAUCAUAAAUUAAAUCCUUAAUUAUAGUUAUUAAGCUUGCAUUUUUUCCACUAAUGUCAAGAAAUUAAUUUUUUAUUGGGAAACAUUUUUAUAUUAGUUAAUUAUGAGAAACCAUUUUUAUGUGAAAGUGUGUUUAACUAAUUAUAUUAUAGAAAAGUAUAUUUGAUAAUAGGCUCAAUUUACAUGUUUAUUGUGCUUAAAUUUGUUAAAUUCUUUAAUGAGAUAUCAUUAAUUUUGGGUUUAUUAUUUGAUUUUUGAUUAGGUGCAAAAGCAAACUUAGAAAGUAAAAAAGAGUCAGAAAUGCAAGUUGUCGUAAAAGUUUUGGGCCAUACCUAGAACAGUGAACAACAAACACGACUAACGUGACUCAAACCCAAACCAUGCCUCGGACAGUGAACACUCUUGAUCAUCUGGCCAUCAUAUAGAGUUCGGAAAAGAAAGAGAGUACUUUUAAUUUUUUAUUAGGAUAAUAUUUUAAUUUUCUAGCAUUUUAUCUUUUGAUAUAUUUUUAGAUAACACUUUAAUAUUGGAUUAGAUUAAAGAAUUUAAGUAGGAUUAGGUAUAUUCUAAAAGGGACAGCAAUUCAAUUGCUUUCUUUUCUUCUCUGUUUCUAAUUCUGUUCUUUCUUUCUCUGGCACAAUAUUGUGCCGCCACGCCACCCUCCCCUAUUUUUUUUCCUUUCUUUUAUUUAAUUUUUGUUGAACCCUUUAUACGAGUAUGCUUAAUUUCAUGAGUAAUUAAACUUCCCAUCUAGCUUUAAGUCGAGAGUCGUAAGAUUUGUACUUUAAAACCUUCAUUUCAAUAUUUGUUAUUUCUCUGGUUUAGAAGAUAAAUAUUAUCGUCUCAUACAAUUGUUUUGGCACUAAAUGAGAUCAUUGCUUUGGUUUUAAUAAAGAAUCAAUACUAUCAAUUGUCGUAUUCGAUCUACCAAAAAAUAUAUUGGUGUGUCCAAUUAAGUGGUUGAUGUAAAUAGUACUUAAACAAAUAACUACACGGAUGGUAAGGAUGAGUAAAAACUUUUAAUAUCAUCCAUAUCUUUUAUAGGUGGUGUAUUGCUAUGUAGUAUACACUUAAUGGGUUGGCCUAUAUGAGUGUGUAGUGAGGCCGCUUCUAUGAGAUCUUUGGCAAUCGUUAAAGCACUCAUAAAAACUAGGCACGUGCAUGACCUAUUAGCACACAAUCGCAUUGAAGAAUGAAUCAUAAAUAUAAUGUGAUAAGUGUGAAAGUUAAUUUGGAAAUUAAAUAAUUAGUUCAAAAACUUAUUUCAUCAAUUAUUUAAGUAAAUCAUGUCUCAUUUGUUAAAAAUUCUGGUUCGCAGUACAAAUGACAAUAUGAUUAUUCAAUAUAUUGAAACACUCACUUAAAAUUAUAAAUUAAAUCUUUGAAAUAUGUGGGAAAUUAUUGGAAGUUUUCAUGUAUCUCAAAGAACUACAAACAUCUCACAUUGCUAAAAAAAGAUCUGAGUCAUUAUUUAUUAAGUCAUUAUACUUCUUUGAACUUAAUAAGAAUCAAAUUGACAGAGUAGACUCGUGCCCAUUCAAGCCUUUUUGUUUUUGGGCUUAUUUUUUAUUGAAGUUUUGAGAGUCAAAGAAAAGUGAACUUGUAACACCUAUAUUUAAUCAUGCUAAAUAUAAUUUAAUCGAUUGAAGCUAUUUUUAAUUAAGUCCAAAUUCAUUGAACUAUUUUCAAACUAGUUUUAGCUAAUUCAAUCAACUUACCUUUGCUAUAUUAAGCCAAUGAAAUCCCUAUAAAUACAAUGCAUGGCAGUUUUCAAAGUUACUCAUUAGCUUUCACGUUCUCAUCUAAAUUUCUUCUGUAUUCUCUUUAGAAAAACCUUCCUCCUACAAUCUCAAUUGAGUGUUUAAUUGGUCGGCUCUUUAGAAAAGCCUUCAAGGAUAAUGAUAUUCACGCCUCAAGUCGUGAUUCUAAUUUUCUAAACCUCUGAUUUCUUAAGAGAACGUCAAAGGCAACAACCAGUCAAAUUUUAAGUUCAAUUACAUGAAUUCACAAACUUAUAGAGUUUAUUAUUAUUAUUUUAUUUUGAAUCAAAAGUUUUCAAUUCAAGCUUGAAUUAUAAGUCCAAUUUUAAUUUUGUUAUUCAAGCUUUAUCUCAAAUCAAGCUCAAGCUUUUAAAAGUGAAAUUUAUUAUUCAAGUUAAGUUUUGACUUGAUUACACGGUUAGUGUAAAUCGUACAAAUGUAAAGUAUAAUAUAAUUAUAUAAAUUUUGAUACUAUAAUAAUUUCAAUUUUAAAAUUUUAACACAACUAUGGUCUAAAAUAUCCCAUUAUCAAGAAGCUUAGAAAUUAGAAGAUGCAGAUGAAAACAGAGCAUUCAAUUUGCUGAAUAAAUGUUGCAGAGAAUUAAGCUAUAGCAAAUCAGUUGAAUAUAGCUUUUAGUGCCUGCAAAAUUGAAUACAAAAUAUAUACGAUUGAUUGCUAUUAUCAUCUUGUUCCUGAGGACAGUCAGAUACGUGGAACUAAAACAGCCAAUGUUUAAAACGGUUUCAUACCUGUGAUACAACAUAAGGUAUGUGGGAAAUCUUGGACCACUCUCGUCCUUUACCCCUAAAAGUGGACAUAAUUAAAAAGGAAAACUUGUCUGUGGUAGAAAAUGAGGGGCUUUAAUUAAAUUACAACCAACCAGGAUGAACUCUGUUUCUGGAUUGAAAUAUUGGAAUUGGUAAUCAGUGACUUAUUCACUAAAAACUAACUAUUCUGUCACCUUAUAUUCUUCCUAUAAUUUCAGGUUUAAUCCUGUUGAUUUAUACAUUCAGUCCACUGCAAUAUGAACCCAUGAAAACCACACUAAACGAAACUGACUGUUUAAGGAUCCCAUUCAUAUGAUGCAGCACUGCAAUGGGUAAUUAAACUGACUGUUUAAUCCAGUUUCUGUACACUAUGCUUCUUCAAAAUCAUGCCUAGCCGAACUCUCUGACAUUGUGGACCGCAAGCGCACUCAAGGACAUAUUGUUCUUCCCAUCUUUUACCAUGUUGAUCCCUCGGAGGUUCAGCAUCUUAGUGGGAGUAUCAAGACAUACUUUGAUGACCAUGAAUCAAAGAGGCCUGUUGAUGAAGUGAAGCGAUGGAAAACUGCCUUUGUUGAAGUCUGUAAAUUAAUUGGGUGGCAUAUAGGAGGAAAAUUCGACAAGCAAUUAUAUAGUUUCUUUUUCAUUUUCUUAUAUAUUUAACUUUCUUUUUUUUGGUUUAUUUGCUAGGCUUGAAUUCGAGUACAUUAAAGAUAUUGUUGAAUAUGUUAUAAAAAGAAGAUGACAAAUAGAGAGUCCAAAAGUGCUUCUUAAGAAUUUGUUGGAAUAGAUGAUCAAUGAAGGAUGAUUUUGAGGCCAACUGAGGAAGAAGACAAUCCUAUAUUAGGAUGAUUUUGAGGCUGAUUGAUGAAGACGACAUUUGUUUGUGAGUUUUAUGUUUUGUCUUUGGGUUUGUGCUUGUUAAUUGUUGAAUGGAUUCUCGUUCAAUAAGUUUGUAGGCGAUCCAACUUGAAAAUUAGGAUUAACACUGUGUGGUGCACAGAUUCUUGCGUGAUCGUGUCUUGCUUGUUGAUGCUUGAAAGUUGAAAGAUUCUUAUAUGCUUAUGUUAAACUUGAUGCAUUUUUAAGAUUAGGGUAGGAUGUGAUUUUUAUGUGACUAAUCUAUGUUUGAUAUUUUAAAGGUAAACUACCCGUUAGUUACUCUAAAUAAUGGUCGUUUCUAUUUUCUCACCUUAAUGGAAAUCAAUCAAAUUACAACUCAACUUACUUUUAUGCUUAAAAAAAAAUAAUCAUCCAAGAAAAUAAAUAUAUAUAAGUUUUAUAGACUGUUGCAAACUAAUAUACACUCAUAUAAGCUGAUAUUAACUAAAACAAAUCAAAACACAAUGAAAUUUCAACUGAAACGAAACUUAAACUACUUUAUAUUAAUUCAAUAUUGAGAGGAAUUCAAUAUUGAGAGGAUAGCCAAUUAUUAAGAAAAGAAAAAUAAUGAAAAUCAAUCAAAUUAUAGGUCAACUUACUUUCAUGCUUACAAAAAAAAUUGCUAAAAUUAAAAAUUGAAAAAAAAACCCAAAUUUCAAUUAUUAAAAAUCAUCUAUAAUAUAUAUAUAUAAGUAUAAUACUAUAUUAUAUACCUAGUGCUGGACCAUUGAUAGACCUUGCCGGUGCUUGAAAAAAUAAUAACCCCAACCUCUGCAUCACAUGAAAUGGACAAUUCUUUAGCUUUCUUCAACAACCCAUUUUGCCUCUUUGAAAUGUUGAGAAUAAUUCAAAAUAAUAUUGGUGGGAUGUUUAGAAAAUCUUGGUAGUAUCUUGGUAGUUUCAGAUUUUCUAGUUUGACUAAAUAAUUUGUUAGCUAUUUUUAUCUUAAGUUAGUUUUCAUGUAAGCCUAUAAAUAUAGGCAUUUAUUCUUUGUUUUUUACUCAUUCAGAAUUCAUUAAUAAGAGAGCAACUUUCCUACAUAUUAUUCUAUCUUUCUCACGUUUUAUUCUCCAACAACUUUGGCAUCGGAGCCAGGUUGGAUCCUUUAGGCAAUUGAGUGAAAGUGAGGUUUGGGUCCAUUAGGGUCUUUGGGAAACACGAGAGAAAAGAGUGAGUGUUUUUGGAAUGGCAUCAGCUGGUUUUUCUUCCUCUCAACCACUCAUACCCAUUUUCAAUGGUGAGAAAUAUGAGUGGUGGAGCAUCAAGGUGAGGACAUUGCUCAAAUCGCAAGAGCUAUGGGACUUGGUGGAGUACGGGUUCGUUGACAUACUUGAACCUGAUGAAGAAGAAGAUAGGAGGUUGAAAGAAGUCAGGAAAAAUGAUGCUAAGGCAUUGUUCAUUAUCCAGCAAGCAGUUCAUGACUCUAUUUUCUCUCGAAUUGCAGCAGCAACCACAUCGAAUGAAGCAUGGUCAAUCUUGCAGAAAGAAUAUCAAGGUGAUUCAAGAGUCAUAGUAGUGAAAUUACAAUCACUACGACGUGAUUUUGAGACCUUAAUGAUGAAGAAUGGUGAAUCAAUUGCUGAUUUUUUGUCACGAACAAGGACAAUAGUCGGUCAAUUGCGCUCCUAUGGUGAGAAAAUUUCAGACGAGACAAUUGUAGCAAAAGUCUUGCGAAGCUUAACGACAAAAUUUGAUCAUGUUGUGGCUGCUAUAGAAGAGUCCAAAGAUCUGUCAGUUCUUUCCGUUGAUGAACUGAUGGGAUCUCUUCAAUCUCAUGAGGCGAGAAUCAAUAGAUCAGCAGAAAGGAGUGAAGAGAAUAGUGAAGAUAAGGCAUUUCAAGUGAAAGGUGACAAUAACCGUUCAACAAAUAGAGGACGAGGAAGAGGAGGAUUUCGUAGAGGUCGUAGCGGUGGCUAUGGCAGAAGCAGAGGCAAAGGAAGGUAUGAUGGACAAAGGCAAUCGAAUGAGCAAGGUAACACAAAAAAUGGCAUUCAAUGUUACCAUUGCAAUAGAUAUGGGCAUGUAAAAGCUGAUCAUUGGUAUAAAGAUCAAAAAAUGAAUUUUGCAUCAGAAAGUGAGGAAGAAAACAAGCUUUUUAUGGCUUGUAUUGAUACUAACCAUAAGUCAAGUGAUUGGUGGUUUGUGGACAGCGGUUGUUCGAAUCACAUGACGGGUACCAAAUCCUGAUUCAAGGAGCUCGACGAAUCACAAAAGCUAAAGGUGCAACUUGGAAACAAAAGGGAGAUGCAAGUUGAAGGAAAAGGCACUGUGGAAAUCGUUAAUAGCCAUGGAGAAGGAAAAAUGUUGGACAGUGUUCAGUUUGUUCCUGAUUUAGGAUACAAUUUAUUGAGUGUUGGACAACUAAUGGCUGGUGGAUAUGCUGUCGUAUUUUAUGAUGGUGCAUGUAUCAUCAAAAACAAAAAAUCAGGCAAACGAGUCCAUGUCAACAUGACACCAAACAAGAUGUUUCCGUUGGAUGUUUCAAACAUGGAGAACUUUGUUCUUGCUGCAAGUACAAAGGAUGACUCGAAGCUAUGGCAUUUGAGGUAUAGUCAUCUCAAUAUUAAAGGCCUGAAAUUACUGAGUGAUAAAGGUAUGGUUCUUGGACUACCGAAAAUUGUCUCUCUUGAUUUAUGUGAGGGGUGCAUUUAUGGAAAGCAAACUAGGAAGCCAUUUCCUGUUGGAAAAGCAUGGAGAGCUACUGAAUGUUUAGAAUUAAUUCAUGUUGAUCUAUGUGGUCCUAUGCAAACCGAGUCCUUGGGUGGGAGCCGUUACUUCUUGCUGUUUACUGAUGAUUAUAGUCGCAUGAGCUGGGUGUAUUUUUUGGAAAACAAGUCAGAAACUUUUGAAAAGUUCCAGAAAUUCAAGGUUAUGGUGGAGAAUCAAAGUGGCUGCCAUAUCAAAGUUCUUCGCACAGAUCGAGGUGGAGAGUUCAUGUCCAAAGAGUUUAAUAUGUUUUGUGAGGACAGUGGCAUCCAUAGGGAGUUAACAAUUCCUUACACUCCUGAGCAGAACGGUGUCGCUGAGCGGAAGAAUCGAACUGUUGUGGAGAUGACAAGAAGCAUGUUACAAGCGAAGGGACUCUCAAAUCAGUUUUGGGCGGAAGCUGUGGCAACAUCUGUCUAUCUACUGAAUCUCUCACCAACAAGGGCUGUCAUGAAUAAAACUCCAUAUGAAGCUUGGUGUGGUAGGAAACCUAAUGUAAGUCAUUUAAGAAUUUUUGGGUGUGUUGCAUACGCUUUAUUAAAUUCUCAUGCUCGUAAAAAGCUUGAUGAAAAGUCUGAAAAAUGCAUUUUCAUUGGUUAUUGUACUCAAUCCAAAGCAUAUAGAUUGUAUAACCCUCAUAGUGGAAAAUUUACAAGUAGAAGAGAUGUAGUGUUUGAUGAAAAUGCAAGCUGGGAUAUGAGUGUAGAACAGGUACAACAGGAGAUUUCUUUUCCCAUCAAAGAUUCUAUAGAUAAAAAGGAGGAGCCUGCACCAGCAAUAUCUACAACACUUGAAGAAUCUUCUGACGAGCCAAUUCCACUAAGGAGAUCAACAAGGGUCAAAAAGCCAAAUCCGAAAUAUGCUGAUGACACUUAUGCAUCCUGCCAAUUUGCCCUAGCCGUUUCAGAUCCUCAGUAUUAUGAAGAAGCUGCUGAUAAGGAAGAAUGGAAAAAGGCAAUGAUGGAGGAGAUACAAUCCAUCGAAAAGAAUAGAACUUGGGAGAUGGUCGACUUGCCGGAAGAUAAAAAUGCAAUUGGUUUGAAGUGGGUGUUCAAGACAAAAUUCGGUGCAGAUGGAAGCAUUCAAAAGCACAAAGCUCGUCUUGUAGCGAAAGGUUAUGCACAGCAAUAUGGUAUUGAUUUCAAAGAAACUUUCUCUCCAGUAGCUCGGUUCGAAACGGUGAGGCUUGUUCUAGCAAUAGCUGCACAAUUGCAAUGGCCUGUUUACCAGUUUGAUGUCAAAUCAGCGUUCCUCAAUGGAGAUCUACAAGAGGAAGUUUACGUAACACAACCAGAAGGUUUCAUAGAGAAGGGAAAUGAAACAAAAUUUUACAAGCUGAAAAAGGCGUUGUACGGAUUGAAGCAGGCCCCUCGAGCAUGGUACAACAAGAUCGAUGGGUAUUUUUAGAAGAAAGGGUACAUGAGAAGUGAGAACGAGCCCACCUUGUACGUGAAAAAGGAAGGUAAAAAUGAUUUCAUCAUUGUUUGUCUUUACGUUGAUGAUAUCAUUUAUACUAGUUCCUCUAACUUACUUGUUGAUGAAUUUAAGUCUCAAAUGAUGAAUGAAUUUGAGAUGUCCGAUAUGGGUUUAUUGCAUUAUUUCCUUGGUCUUGAAAUUCAUCAAGCUGAUGAUGGAAUUUUUAUCUCACAAAGGAAAUAUGCCAAGGAUCUUCUCAGUAAAUUUAGUAUGCUUAAUUGCAAGCCUGCAGCUACACCCAUGAAUAUCAAUGAAAAAUUGCAGCAAGAGGAUGGAGAAGAAAUGGUAGAUGCAAGGAGGUUUAGAAGCUUGGUUGGAGGUUUAAUCUAUUUGACUCACACUAGACCCGAUAUUGCAUUUCCUGUUGGUGUUAUUUCCAGGUUUAUGCAGCAACCUUCAAAGGUUCAUUAUGGAGCAGCAAAACGAGUCUUGCGAUACAUUGCUGGAACUUCGGAGUAUGGCAUAUGGUUCUGGGGUGAUCACAUGGAGUUCUAAGAAGCAAGCUACAACAGUAUUGUCAACCUCAGAGGCUGAAUAUGUAGCAGCAACUGCAACAGCUUGUCAAGCCAUUUGGCUAAGGAGAAUGUUAACCGAUCUCCAACAAGAACAGAAAUGUGCAACUACCAUAUUUUGUGACAACAAAUCCACUAUCUCUAUGACAAAGAAUCCAACAUUUCAUAGUAGAACAAAGUACAUAGAUAUUCGUUAUCAUUUCAUUCGAGAUUUGGUAGCAAAAGAGGAGAUAUCUUUGGAAUAUUGCAACACUGAAGAGCAGCUGGCAGAUAUGUUAACAAAAGCAUUAUCAAAAGAGAAGUUUUGCUAUUUUAGAAGUUUACUUGGUGUCUGCAACUUUGAAUUAAGGGAGAGUUUUGAGAAUAAUUCAAAAUAAUAUUGGUGGGAUGUUUAGAAAAUCUUGGUAGUAUCUUGGUAGUUUCAGAUUUUCUAGUUUGACUAAAUAAUUUGUUAGCUAUUUUUAUCUUAAGUUAGUUUUCAUGUAAGCCUAUAAAAAUAGGCAUUUAUUCUUUGUUUUUUUACUCAUUCAGAAUUCAUUAAUAAGAGAGCAACUUUCCUAAAUAUUAUUCUAUCUUUCUCACUUUCUGAUGCAAAAUUCAUUUUUUGAUCUUUAUACCAACAAUCAGCUUUUACAUGCCCAUAUCUAUUGCAAUGGUAACAUUGAAUGCCAUUUUUUGUGUUACCUUGCUCAUUCGAUUGCCUUUGUCCAUCAUACCUUCCUUUGCCUCUGCUUCUGCCAUAGCCACCGCUACGACCUCUACGAAAUCCUCCUCUUCCUCGUCCUCUAUUUGUUGAACGGUUAUUGUCACCUUUCACUUGAAAUGCCUUCUCUUCACUAUUCUCUUCACUCCUUUCUGCUGAUCUAUUGAUUCUCGCCUCAUGAGAUUGAAGAGAUCCCAUCAGUUCAUCAACGGAAAGAACUGACAGAUCUUUGGACUCUUCUAUAGCAGCCACAACAUGAUCAAAUUUUGUCGUUAAGCUUCGCAAGACUUUUGCUACAAUUGUCUCGUCUGAAAUUUUCUCACCAUAGGAGCGCAAUUGACCGACUAUUGUCCUUGUUCGUGACAAAAAAUCAGCAAUUGAUUCACCAUUCUUCAUCAUUAAGGUCUCAAAAUCACGUCGUAGUGAUUGUAAUUUCACUACUAUGACUCUUGAAUCACCUUGAUAUUCUUUCUGUAAGAUUGACCAUGCUUCAUUCGAUGUGGUUGCUGCUGCAAUUCGAGAGAAACUAGAGUCAUGAACUGCUUGCUGGAUAAUGAACAAUGCCUUAGCAUCAUUUUUCUGACUUCUUUCAACCUCCUAUCUUCUUCUUCAUCAGGUUCAAGUAUGUCAACGAACCCGUACUCCACCAAGUCCCAUAGCUCUUGCGAUUUGAGCAAUGUCCUCACCUUGAUGCUCCACCACUCAUAUUUCUCACCAUUGAAAAUGGGUAUGAGUGGUUGACAGGAAGAAAACAAGCUUUUUAUGGCUUGUAUUGAUACUAACCAUAAGUCAAGUGAUUGGUGGUUUGUGGACAGCGGUUGUUCGAAUCACAUGACGGGUACCAAAUCCUGAUUCAAGGAGCUCGACGAGUCACAAAAUCUAAAGGUGCAACUUGGAAACAAAAGGGAGAUGCAAGUUGAAGGAAAAGGCACUGUGGAAAUCGUUAAUAGCCAUGGAGAAGGAAAAAUGUUGGACAGUGUUCAGUUUGUUCCUGAUUUAGGAUACAAUUUAUUGAGUGUUGGAAAACUAAUGGCUGGUGGAUAUGCUGUCGUAUUUUAUGAUGGUGCAUGUAUCAUCAAAAACAAAAAAUCAGACAAACGAGUCCAUGUCUACAUGACACCAAACAAGAUGUUUCCGUUGGAUGUUUCAAACAUGGAGAACUUUGUUCUUGCUGCAAGUACCAAGGAUGACUCGAAGCUAUGGCAUUUGAGGUAUGGUCAUCUCAAUAUUAAAGGCCUGAAAUUACUGAGUGAUAAAGGUAUGGUUCUUGGACUACCGAAAAUUGUCUCUCUUGAUUUAUGUGAGGGGUGCAUUUAUGGAAAGCAAACUAGGAAGCCAUUUCCUGUUGGAAAAGGAUGGAGAGCUACUGAAUGUUUAGAAUUAAUUCAUGCUGAUCUAUGUGGUCCUAUGCAAACCGAGUCCUUGGGUGGGAGCCGUUACUUCUUGCUGUUUACUGAUGAUUAUAGUCGCAUGAGCUGGGUGUAUUUUUUGGAAAACAAGUCAUUUAAGAAUUUUUGGGUGUGUUGCAUACGCUUUAUUAAAUUCUCAUGCUCGUAAAAAGCUUGAUGAAAAGUCUGAAAAAUGCAUUUUCAUUGGUUAUUGUACUCAAUCCAAAGCAUAUAGAUUGUAUAACCCUCAUAGUGGAAAAUUUACAAGUAGAAGAGAUGUAGUGUUUGAUGAAAAUGCAAGCUGGGAUAUGAGUGUAGAACAGGUACAACAGGAGAUUUCUUUUCCCAUUAAAGAUUCUAUAGAUAAAAAGGAGGAGCCUGCACCAGCAAUAUCUACAACACUUGAAGAAUCUUCUGACGAGCCAAUUCCACUAAGGAGAUCAACAAGGGUCAAAAAGCCAAAUCCAAAAUAUGCUGAUGACACUUAUGCAUCCUGCCAAUUUGCCCUAGCCGUUUCAGAUCCUCAGUAUUAUGAAGAAGCUGCUGAUAAGAAAGAAUGGAAAAAGGCAAUGAUGGAGGAGAUACAAUCCAUCGAAAAGAAUAGAACUUGGGAGAUGGUCGACUUGCCGGAAGAUAAAAAUGCAAUUGGUUUGAAGUGGGUGUUCAAGACAAAAUUCGGUGCAGAUGGAAGCAUUCAAAAGCACAAAGCUCGUCUUGUAGCGAAAGGUUAUGCACAGCAAUAUGGUAUUGAUUUCGAAGAAACUUUCUCUCCAGUAGCUCGGUUCGAAACGGUGAGGCUUGUUCUAGCAAUAGCUGCACAAUUGCAAUGGCCUGUUUACCAGUUUUAUGUCAAAUCAGCGUUCCUCAAUGGAGAUCUACAAGAGGAAGUUUACGUAACACAACCAGAAGGUUUCAUAGAGAAGGGAAAUGAAACAAAAGUUUACAAGCUGAAAAAGGCGUUGUACGGAUUGAAGCAGGCCCCUCGAGCAUGGUACAACAAGAUCGAUGGGUAUUUUCAGAAGAAAGGGUACAUGAGAAGUGAGAACGAGCCCACCUUGUACGUAAAAAAGGAAGGUAAAAAUGAUUUCAUCAUUGUUUGUCUUUACGUUGAUGAUAUCAUUUAUACUAGUUCCUCUAACUUACUUGUUGAUAAAUUUAAGUCUCAAAUGAUGAAUGAAUUUGAGAUGUCCGAUAUGGGUUUAUUGCAUUAUUUCCUCGGUCUUGAAAUUCAUCAAGCUGAUGAUGGAAUUUUUAUCUCACAAAGGAAAUAUGCCAAGGAUCUUCUCAGUAAAUUUAGUAUGCUUAAUUGCAAGCCUGCAGCUACACCCAUGAAUAUCAAUGAAAAAUUGCAGCAAGAGGAUGGAGAAGAAAUGGUAGAUGCAAGGAGGUUUAGAAGCUUGGUUGGAGGUUUAAUCUAUUUGACUCACACUAGACCCGAUAUUGCAUUUCCUGUUGGUGUUAUUUCCAGGUUUAUGCAGCAACCUUCAAAGGUUCAUUAUGGAGCAGCAAAACGAGUCUUGCGAUACAUUGCUGGAACUUCGGAGUAUGGCAUAUGGUUCUGGGGUGAUCACAUGGAGUUCUAAGAAGCAAGCUACAACAGUAUUGUCAACCUCAGAGGCUGAAUAUGUAGCAGCAACUGCAACAGCUUGUCAAGCCAUUUGGCUAAGGAGAAUGUUAACCGAUCUCCAACAAGAACAGAAAUGUGCAACUACCAUAUUUUGUGACAACAAAUCCACUAUCUCUAUGACAAAGAAUCCAACAUUUCAUAGUAGAGCAAAGCACAUAGAUAUUCGUUAUCAUUUCAUUCGAGAUUUGGUAGCAAAAGAGGAGAUAUAUUUGGAAUAUUGCAACACUGAAGAGCAGCUGGCAGAUAUGUUAACAAAAGCAUUAUCAAAAGUGAAGUUUUGCUAUUUUAGAAGUUUACUUGGUGUCUGCAACUUUGAAUUAAGGGGGAGUGUUGAGAAUAAUUCAAAAUAAUAUUGGUGGGAUGUUUAGAAAAUCUUGGUAGUAUCUUGGUAGUUUCAGAUUUUCUAGUUUGACUAAAUAAUUUGUUAGCUAUUUUUAUCUUAAGUUAGUUUUCAUGUAAGCCUAUAAAUAUAGGUAUUUAUUCUUUGUUUUUUACUCAUUUAGAAUUCAUUAAUAAGAGAGCAACUUUCCUACAUAUUAUUCUAUCUUUCUCACGUUUUAUUCUCCAACAACUUUGGCAUCGGAGCCAGGUUGGAUCCUUUAGGCAAUUGAGUGAAAGUGAGGUUUGGGUCCAUUAGGGUCUUUGGGAAACACGAGAGAAAAGAGUGAGUGUUUUUGGAAUGGCAUCAGCUGGUUUUUCUUCCUCUCAACCACUCAUACCCAUUUUCAAUGGUGAGAAAUAUGAGUGGUGGAGCAUCAAGGUGAGGACAUUGCUCAAAUCGCAAGAGCUAUGGGACUUGGUGGAGUACGGGUCCGUUGACAUACUUGAACCUGAUGAAGAAGAAGAUAGGAGGUUGAAAGAAGUCAGGAAAAAUGAUGCUAAGGCAUUGUUCAUUAUCCAGCAAGCAGUUCAUGACUCUAUUUUCUCUCGAAUUGCAGCAGCAACCACAUCGAAUGAAGCAUGGUCAAUCUUGCAGAAAGAAUAUCAAGGUGAUUCAAGAGUCAUAGUAGUGAAAUUACAAUCACUACGACGUGAUUUUGAAACCUUAAUGAUGAAGAAUGGUGAAUCAAUUGCUGAUUUUUUAUCACGAACAAGGACAAUAGUCGGUCAAUUGCGCUCCUAUGGUGAGAAAAUUUCAGACGAGACAAUUGUAGCAAAAGUCUUGCGAAGCUUAACGACAAAAUUUGAUCAUAUUGUGGCUGCUAUAGAAGAGUCCAAAGAUCUGUCAGUUCUUUCCGUUGAUGAACUGAUGGGAUCUCUUCAAUCUCAUGAGGCGAGAAUCAAUAGAUCAGCAGAAAGGAGUUAAGAGAAUAGUGAAGAGAAGGCAUUUCAAGUGAAAGGUGACAAUAACCGUUCAACAAAUAGAGGACGAGGAAGAGAAGGAUUUCGUAGAGGUCGUAGCGGUGGCUAUGGCAGAAGCAGAGGCAAAGGAAGGUAUGAUGGACAAAGGCAAUCGAAUGAGCAAGGUAACACAAAAAAUGGCAUUAAAUGUUACCAUUGCAAUAGAUAUGGGCAUGUAAAAGCUGAUUGUUGGUAUAAAGAUCAAAAAAUGAAUUUUGCAUCAGAAAGUGAGGAAGAAAACAAGCUUUUUAUGGCUUGUAUUGAUACUAACCAUAAGUCAAGUGAUUGGUGGUUUGUGGACAGCGGUUGUUCGAAUCACAUGACGGGUACCAAAUCCUGAUUCAAGGAGCUCGACGAGUCACAAAAGCUAAAGGUGCAACUUGGAAACAAAAGGGAGAUGCAAGUUGAAGGAAAAGGCACUGUGGAAAUCGUUAAUAGCCAUGGAGAAGGAAAAAUGUUGGACAGUGUUCAGUUUGUUCCUGAUUUAGGAUACAAUUUAUUGAGUGUUGGACAACUAAUGGCUGGUGGAUAUGCUGUCGUAUUUGAUGAUGGUGCAUGUAUCAUCAAAAACAAAAAAUCAAGCAAACGAGUCUAUGUCAACAUGACACCAAACAAGAUGUUUCCGUUGGAUGUUUCAAACAUGGAGAACUUUGUUCUUGCUGCAAGUACAAAGGAUGACUCGAAGCUAUGGCAUUUGAGGUAUGGUCAUCUCAAUAUUAAAGGCCUGAAAUUACUGAGUGAUAAAGGUAUGGUUCUUGGACUACCGAAAAUUGUCUCUCUUGCUUUAUGUGAGGGGUGCAUUUAUGGAAAGCAAACUAGGAAGCCAUUUCCUGUUGGAAAAGCAUGGAGAGCUACUGAAUGUUUAGAAUUAAUUCAUGCUGAUCUAUGUAGUCCUAUGCAAACCGAGUCCUUGGGUGGGAGCCGUUACUUCUUGUUGUUUACUGAUGAUUAUAGUCGCAUGAGCUGGGUGUAUUUUUUGGAAAACAAGUCAGAAACUUUUGAAAAGUUCUAGAAAUUCAAGGUUAUGGUGGAGAAUCAAAGUGGCUGCCAUAUCAAAGUUCUUCGCACAGAUCGAGGUGGAGAGUUCAUGUCCAAAGAGUUUAAUAUGUUUUGUGAGGACAGUGGCAUCCAUAGGGAGUUAACAAUUCCUUACACUCCUGAGCAGAACGGUGUCGCUGAGCGGAAGAAUCGAACUGUUGUGGAGAUGACAAGAAGCAUGUUACAAGCGAAGGGACUCUCAAAUCAGUUUUGGGCGGAAGCUGUGGCAACAUCUGUCUAUCUACUGAAUCUCUCACCAACAAGGGCUGUCAUGAAUAAAACUCCAUAUGAAGCUUGGUGUGGUAGGAAACCUAAUGUAAGUCAUUUAAGAAUUUUUGGGUGUGUUGCAUACGCUUUAUUAAAUUCUCAUGCUCGUAAAAAGCUUGAUGAAAAGUCUGAAAAAUGCAUUUUCAUUGGUUAUUGUACUCAAUCCAAAGCAUAUAGAUUGUAUAACCCUCAUAGUGGAAAAUUUACAAGUAGAAGAGAUGUAGUGUUUGAUGAAAAUGCAAGCUGGGAUAUGAGUGUAGAACAGGUACAACAGGAGAUUUCUUUUCCCAUCAAAGAUUCUAUAGAUAAAAAGGAAGAGCCUGCACCAGCAAUAUCUACAACACUUGAAGAAUCUUCUGACGAGCCAAUUCCACUAAGGAGAUCAACAAGGGUCAAAAAGCCAAAUCCGAAAUAUGCUGAUGACACUUAUGCAUCCUGCCAAUUUGCCCUAGCCGUUUCAGAUCCUCAGUAUUAUGAAGAAGCUGCUGAUAAGGAAGAAUGGAAAAAGGCAAUGAUGGAGGAGAUACAAUCCAUCGAAAAGAAUAGAACUUGGGAGAUGGUCGACUUGCCGGAAGAUAAAAAUGCAAUUGGUUUGAAGUGGGUGUUCAAGACAAAAUUCGGUGCAGAUGGAAGCAUUCAAAAGCACAAAGCUCGUCUUGUAGCGAAAGGUUAUGCACAGCAAUAUGGUAUUGAUUUCGAAGAAACUUUCUCUCCAGUAGCUCGGUUCGAAACGGUGAGGCUUGUUCUAGCAAUAGCUGCACAAUUGCAAUGGCCUGUUUACCAGUUUGAUGUCAAAUCAACGUUCCUCAAUGGAGAUCUACAAGAGGAAGUUUACGUAACACAACCAGAAGGUUUCAUAGAGAAGGGAAAUGAAAUAAAAGUUUACAAGCUGAAAAAGGCGUUGUACGGAUUGAAGCAGGCCCCUCGAGCAUGGUACAACAAGAUCGAUGGGUAUUUUCAGAAGAAAGGGUACAUGAGAAGUGAGAACGAGCCCACCUUGUACGUGAAAAAGGAAGGUAAAAAUGAUUUCAUCAUUGUUUGUCUUUACGUUGAUGAUAUCAUUUAUACUAGUUCCUCUAACUUACUUGUUGAUGAAUUUAAGUCUCAAAUGAUGAAUGAAUUUGAGAUGUCCGAUAUGGGUUUAUUGCAUUAUUUCCUCGGUCUUGAAAUUCAUCAAGCUGAUGAUGGAAUUUUUAUCUCACAAAGGAAAUAUGCCAAGGAUCUUCUCAGUAAAUUUAGUAUGCUUAAUUGCAAGCCUGCAGCUACACCCAUGAAUAUCAAUGAAAAAUUGCAGCAAGAGGAUGGAGAAGAAAUGGUAGAUGCAAGGAGGUUUAGAAGCUUGGUUGGAGGUUUAAUCUAUUUGACUCACACUAGACCCGAUAUUGCAUUUCCUGUUGGUGUUAUUUCCAGGUUUAUGCAACAACCUUCAAAGGUUCAUUAUGGAGCAGCAAAACGAGUCUUGCGAUACAUUGCUGGAACUUCGGAGUAUGGCAUAUGGUACUCAAAAACUUUAGAUUUCAGAUUGUGUGGGUUCACAGACAGUGAUUGGGCAAGUUCUCUAGAUGAUAGAAGAAGUGUAUCAGCAUUUGUUUUUACUCUAGGUUCUGGGGUGAUCACAUGGAGUUCUAAGAAGCAAGCUACAACAGCAUUGUCAACCUCAGAGGCUGAAUAUGUAGCAGCAACUGCAACAGCUUGUCAAGCCAUUUGGCUAAGGAGAAUGUUAACCGAUCUCCAACAAGAACAGAAAUGUGCAACUACCAUAUUUUGUGACAACAAAUCCACUAUCUCUAUGACAAAGAAUCCAACAUUUCAUAGUAGAACAAAGCACAUAGAUAUUCGUUAUCAUUUCAUUCGAGAUUUGGUAGCAAAAGAGGAGAUAUAUUUGGAAUAUUGCAACACUGAAGAGCAGCUGGCAGAUAUGUUAACAAAAGCAUUAUCAAAAGAGAAGUUUUGCUAUUUUAGAAGUUUACUUGGUGUCUGCAACUUUGAGUUAAGGGGGAGUGUUGAGAAUAAUUCAAAAUAAUAUUGGUGGGAUGUUUAGAAAAUCUUGGUAGUAUCUUGGUAGUUUCAGAUUUUCUAGUUUGACUAAAUAAUUUGUUAGCUAUUUUUAUCUUAAGUUAGUUUUCAUGUAAGCCUAUAAAUAUAGGCAUUUAUUCUUUGUUUUUUACUCAUUUAGAAUUCAUUAAUAAGAGAGCAACUUUCCUACAUAUUAUUCUAUCUUUCUCACGUUUUAUUCUCCAACAUGAAAACGUUACUUGCCUGCUAUUCAAAUUUUCAAUAUUUUUUAUUUCAAUUUUCCCUCUACCCAUCUGAAAAUUUUCUUCUUUCCUUUACUUUUCCCGGAAAUUUUUAAAAGAAAAGAUAAACCCCAGAUAUUUUUUUCUUAAAUUUUGAAAAAAACCAAAGGUUUUUAUAACAACAAACAGAUCAAAGAAAAUAAGGCAAAAAAUUUAGGGGAUUGUAAAAGGAUUCUUUUUUUAGGAGAAAAGAAAAUAAGUAAGUAAUGUUUAUAUAUAACAAUUGUUUUCUUAAAUGGAAAUGGAAAAUGAUAUGGAAAAAGAAAAUAUGUGACCAAAAUUAGGGUGAAAUCUUGAAAGGUGACAGAUUUGAUACUAUAUCUAGCAAUUAUCCAACUAUGGAAACUCUAUUUAUUAUACCUUUAGUUUUUUUUUCUAUUUAUCUUAAAUUCUCUACCUUCUUACUCUGCUGUUUUUGGCAUUUCAACUCAAAAUGGAUUUUAUCUUUGCUUUGGGUUUCUUUUUUUAAAUAUAAAAAGUGGUUUUUAAUUAUUUAUAUAUUAUUAAUGUGUUUUAACAAUUUUUGUUAGUGAAUAUUGAUUUUUUUUUUGUGAAUUAUAAUAUGAGGGUAAAGCCCUAACAACACGACUAGAGUGAUUCAAAUUUAGGCCACUCCUGAGACGUUGAACACAAGUAUUUCACGAGGACAUAUAACACAUGUUUUUUAAAUUCAUGGCUAAAAUAAUAAUAAUAACCUCUUUAUUUUAUUGUAUUCAAAUAAUAAAAUAAACCAUGGUUUUAGUCGUACCGGCCGGUGCCGCCGUUCUACUGUUAUAGCGCAACAAGCAACACCCUUUCCAUACUAAUAAAAAUUUUGGUUUGUACCGUUCGCAUUGGCCGGAACAUGGUACACCUGCUACUACAUGGAUAAUGUUAAAAAAUAUAAAACUUUUAACUAUUUUCUAUUAGACUAAAUAUUUAAUUGAAAUGUAUUGACCAAUAAAAAAAUAUUACAUUAGAAAGUAAAGUUUAACAUUUAAAAUUUUUUUUGAAGCAUACUUUUUCAUUUAAAAUAUAACAAUUAAAAUAUAAUAAAAAAACCCCACUCACCUCGUUAUCAUAGAAAAAUCUUCACUCACCCUUCAGCCUUUUUUAUUGAAAAAACACCCUCAUCCUUCGAUUUCUUUUUUUCUUCUUAAUUUUGAAUUUAUUGAAGGGUAAACUACUAAAAUAGUCAUUUUUGUUUACCUCAGGUUACAUUUUAGUCACUUACGUUAUCGUAUUGUAACAUUUUAGUCACUUAGCCGUUAAUUGCCAUUAACAGUAUAACGGUAAGCUGGCGUGGCAUGUUAAAUCAUCAUUUUAAAUAAAAAUUUUAGGUUAAAUUAUACAAUUGAUCCCUAUAUUUUUCAUUUUGAGCAAUUUAAUUUUUUCUUUUUUGUUUUUUAACUUCCUUUUUUUUCCUCAUUUUCCAUUCUCUUUUGUUUCUUCCUCUAUUUUCCUCCCUUUUCUAUUUUUUUAACAUAAAUUUUUUAUUUUUUUCAUUUGUUAAAACUAGUCCCUAUACUUUAAUUUUUUUGAACAAUUUAAUUUUUUUCCUUUUUAUUUUUAUUCACAAUUGUCUAUAAUAAGCAAAAAAAAAUUAAAAAUCUUUAUUUUGGAUUUUCAUUGAAGAUCAAUACAAAAUUUUUAACUUUCCUUUUUUUCUUUAUUUUCUAUUCUCUUCUGUUUCUCCCUCUAUUUUCCUCCUUCUCUGUUUCUUUUAACAUAGUUUUUCUAUAUUUUUCAUUUGUUAAAACUAGUCUCUAUACUUUUAUUUUGGUAUUGGGUAUUUCUUGUACGUUCUGUUUAAUCUUCCUUUUGAUUAGUUUUUAAUAUAUUUUCAACUUAGAGUAAUGAUUUUGUAUUGAUCUUCAAUGAAAACCUAGAAUAAAGAUUUUUUUAAAUCUUUUUUUGCUUGUUGUAAACAAUUGUGAAUUGGAGUUUUUGAUAUUUUAAACUUAUUGUUGAUGCUAUACAAAGGAUCCAAAAAUAGAUUAUUAUGGUGAUUUUAUAGAAUUGCUUGGACCUGAUAUUUCAAUGAAGAUUCUCAUGAUACUGGUUAACACUUCUGAUCCCACUAGAGUUAACUUGAUUUCUAGUUUUCGGCACCGAUUUGGUAAACAAAUUAAUGUCUUUGGUAGAAUUUAGCUUGGUGUUCUAUUAUAUAUUGAAAAAGAAUCGGUAUUGAUUAAUUCAAUAAGAUCGAUUUUAUUCAUCUUGCAAUGAUAAAAAACGGUCUUUGGGUUUACACAUAGAGUAUGUAAUCAAAGAUAAUUUGCUUUAACAAAUAAAGAAAUAAAAAAAAUUAAAUUGUUCAAAAAAAUAAAAGUAUAGGGACUAGUUUUAACAAAUGAAAAAUAUAAAAAAAACAACAUUAAAAGAAAUGGAGAAGGGAGGAAAAUAGAGGGAAAAGAAAAAAAGAAUGGAAAAUAAAGGGAAAAAAAGAAAAGUUAAAAGAACAUAAAAUAAAAGAAUUAAAUUGUUCAAAAUGAAAAAAUAUAGAGACCAAUUUUAUAAUUUAACCUAAAAUUUUCAUUUGAAAUGAUGAUUUAAAGUGCCACAUCAGCUUACUGUUACAGUGUUAACGGAAAUUAAUGGCUUAGUGACUAAAAUAUUACAAUACAAUAAUGUAAGUGACUAAAACGUAACAUUUCAAACAUAAGUGACUAAAAUGUAACUUGAGGCAAACAAAAAUGACUAUUUUAAUAGUUUACCAUUUAUUGAAUGAUGAGUUUUUUAUAUAAUUCAUGAAUAGUUUUAUAUUAAAAAUUUUAUUUAUAAUAAUUUAUUUGAUAUUUAUAUAUUUAUUUAUAUAAAUAUAUUAAAUAUUUUUAAAAAUAUCGAUAUAUUCGAAAUGAUACAUAAAAUAGACUAGUACCAAUACAGACCCGUUGUCAUAGAAAAGUGGUGCUUCCACCAAUGUGAUAAUGGCUACCUUGAAAACAACCAUGUGGCAUAGUUAUUUGCAAAGAAAUGGGUUAAAGCAUGCUGAGUUAGUAUUGUGGGUGACUAUAAUGUUUGAUGCUUUGUUUUCUUUGAAUAUUUUGCUUUGAUGCUUUUUAUCUGUGCUGAUCUUUGAGUGCAACUAUUGAGAUAUAUAUGGCCAUCUGAAAUUUUAUGAUUUGCUAUGCAUUGAUUGUGGUUGUUUUAUUAAUAAAUUUUUGUUUUGGAUUGAGAAAAAGAAUAAGAAAUUCGAAACACAAAAAGGAAAGUAGAGAAAGUGAACACAAUAAUAUACGUGGUUCGGGAAUAUUCCCUACAUCCACGGGCAGGACCAAAAACGAAAUUCACUACUAAAAAUUGGAGAUUACAAUGGAAUUACAUCAUAAAAAUAAAAAACCUUGCCAAUAACUAUCCACAAACUUUGAAUGGAUUCAUGGUCUGAGAAAUUCGGAAAACUAAGAUGGACAUCUUUGAGAUUGGACAGAACAAAAUAUUUUGGAAACUCUAUUGUCUUACAUGUGUUAAAUAUUUUGCUCUCUAAUGCCAUGUUGUAACGUGUACUGUAUCCCUCCAUUAAUCCUGGAAGCAUCAAACUAUCACGUAAAAGACUUGUUCUUCUGAAAAACCAUUGGUUAAUAGUACUACGAAAUGUCAAAUAUUUUUAACUAAAAUCCCAUUCUCAUAUACCAAAAUAGCUUAGAAAUUAGAAGAUGCAAAUGAAAACAGAAUAUUCAAUUUGCUGAAUAAAUGUGGCAGAGAAUUGACUAACCACUUUACUAAAUCAAAUAAGCUGAAGCAGAUGAGUUGAAGUUCACUAUUUUUCGCCAAUUUAGCCUUCAAUGCCUGCAAAAAUUGAAUACAAAAUAUAUAAGACUCAUUUCUGUCAUCAUGUUGUUAAUGAGGACAAUCAGAUAUAUAAAAAAUAAAGCUAUGAAAUUUAUAAAUGUUUAAAAUGCGUUUCACACCUGUGGUUUGAGUGUGGAGAAAUUGAUACUAGAUUUUGCUCGAGAUGUGGGAAAUCUUGGAUGACUGUAUAUAAAUUGAUACCAAAUUUAUAAAUAUAUAAAUUUCAAUACCUCGGGAAGACUGUAUUCUUAUCAAUUUGAACAUAAGGUAUGUGGGAAAUCUUGGACCACUCUCGUCCUUUACUCCUACUGCACCCUUCUUCUAGCAACGGGCAAUGCUGAAUAGAUAGAUGCUCAAGCGAGAGAAGCAUAUCUUUUUCUGGAAGAGAGGCGAGCUUAGGACAAUCAUAGAUGCUCAAUUGUUGAAGAGAGGUUAGGUGUUGUAAGCCCUUGGAGCACAUGAGUUCCAAAUUCUCAAAACUUCCAAUGAAAAUAGAUGUGAGAGAAGGAGGCAGCAUCAUUCCUAUCGCUUCUUCUGGAAAUGACACCACACGUGAGCAUCCUUCACCGCUGAUGUCGAGUUUUUGAAGAGAGGUGAGUCUGUAAAAUCCCCAUUCAACAAUUGAUGUAUAAAUUUUGGGUGCUUUUGAGAUUUCAAGUGAUGUGAGGUUGGUAGGGAAACCCUCUUCUGGAAAGGAUAUGUCAGCCGAACAAUAAGACACCUUUAAUUCUCGAAGGGAGGUGAAGUUGUUGAGGCACUUGGGAAGGGCUCUAAAAUUUUCACAAUCCUUAAUUAAGAGAAAUCUGAGAUUUGUGGUGGGCAACCCACUUUCUUCAAAUGAAACCAUAUUCGGAAACCUAUAUAAUUGAAUCUCCUGAAGAUGGCUGAGCUUGUCUAAUCCCCGCGGUAAUGAUUUAAUUUUUUCAGCACCCCAAAUACGAAUGCUUUCGAGAUCAAUGGUUUCAAGGAAGUCUUGGGCUAUGCAUUCCAACACUGGACAAACCUGAAUAAAUAGCUGUUUAAGCAUUACGGGUAACUUGGCGUUUAAAAAUAACCUACCUAGCUUUGAACAACGGAAAAUAUGGAGAUGUUGAAGCCGAUUGCAUAUAUCGCCCCUUGAUGAUAACCAUUUUAGAGAUGGACAGUUGAUUAUUUCCAAGCGCUCAAGAAGAUAAGUGUUGCUACUCAUAGUCUUAUUAUUAUUUUCUUUUUCAUCAACCAAAUAUUGCAAAUUCACGCAAUUCCCAAUCCUCAGCUCUUUUAAAGCAGGAGGAAAGUUACUCUCUUCAAAACAAACCAAGCCUGGACAGUUUUCAAGUUGUAUUCUUCUAAUGAAUGGGAAAGCACGUAAGGCUUGUGGUAGUCUAUUGAGCCUUUCACAAAAACUUAUAUACAGAGAUUCAACACCUGGAAUCUUGUCAAGUUGCAAUCUCUCCUCCUCUGUUUCCAAAGAGACCAAUUGCGGACAAAUCGAAAUCUCGAUGAAACGAUGCCCGAUUAAUCUUAACCCAAUUUGCGAUAAAGAUCCCAGCUCCUUCCAACCAGAGAUCUUGAAUGUUUCGGAGUUUGCAAAUCUCAACAUUAUCCUCUCUGCUGAAAUAUUAAAAUUUGAAAUAUUUGAAACAGACACAUCUUUCAAGGAGGUAACCUUCUGUACAGACAAAGAACCUUCAUCAACCAAUUCUUCACACCCUUCAACCCUUAAUUCACACAGCAAGGGAAAACUUGAAAUUGAAACUACCAGUCUCUUACACUCAUAGAUUUCAAGUGUCUGCAAGGAUUGAAGGAUGGUUGGCAACCUUCCCAGCAAUAGAGGACAUUCUCUGAUUGAAAGAAAACGAAGGCUGGGGAAUUUCGAUACUUGCUCAUCAUCUUCACAUAGGUCCCACUCCUCCCAAUUCAGCAUAUUGUCAAAACGCAGAGACUCUAAUGAUGCAAAAGCAUUUGAUUGAUUUUCUCCAAACAACUCAGCACCAAUCUUGUGUACUUGAUCCAAACCACUAAUUGAAAGAUCUUUUAACAACAACAGCCUUCCAAUCGAUGGUAGAGAUUUGCAAUUUUUACAGUUGCGAAGCUCCAAUGACAACAUAUUUUUGAAGGAAGAAUCUGCAAUCCAAGUAGAGAAUUUUGCACCACCAUAAUUCUCAAUGACGAGAUGCUCAAGCUUUUUUGGAGGACAAAGAGUGUCCAACACCCUUUCUUCAACUUCUUUAUUCCUUGAAGCCUUUUCACUCCAAUGCAAUACCAAUCGAUGAAUCCCCUGCUUCUCAUAUAACUUGCUUUCCCCUGCAUCUUCACCAUUAACAUUCUCCAACCCAGAAAGACGGAAAUCACCUUCGAGGUUUGACAAAUAUUUCAAAUAUCUAAUAUGACAACCAUCACCUUCCGCUAUGAUAAAAUCAGAUAACCUUUGAAGAUUCGUUAGCUUAUCAAUUCUAAAAGGAAUCCUUUCUAUUGAGUUCGCACCUCUGAUAUCAAGAUAAUGCAAGUUGACAAGAUUUUCCAUCUUUGAAGGUAACCUUUGAAGCCUGUAACACCUUCUUAAUAAUAAAGUUUCCAAAUGGUAAAGAGUGCACAAAGAAUCAGGUAAACAUUUGAUAUGGGUGUUGGAAAAAUUUAAGUAGCGAAGAUGUUUUAAAUUUUCAAAAACAUCAGGCAACUCAGUUAUCCAAUACCCACUCAAAGAAAGCAUCCUUAAGUAGCCAAGUCUUGGUAACAAAUCAACCAAAACAACAUUAGUUAAAAAAGGCUCCCGAUCACCAAUAGACCAAGAAUCACUAGAAAACAUUAAAGGUAAAAAAGUACGUAAAGAAUUCACUUGAUCAAAUGCUUCAAACUUCUUCACUGUGUCAUAUGUUCCAGCAAUAUAAGAAGAAUGUCGAGUGCGAUUUGAGAACUUCCAUUUCUGAUCACCCUCUAAUUUUGAGCAUAUUUCCCCUGCAACUACUUGAGCUAAAUCAUUGAUAAGGUCAUGCAUUACGAAUCGGGACUUACCUUUACUGGAUGUCUGAAAAAAUGACCUUGACACUAGAUCUUGAAAAUAUUGAUUUCCGAGAUCUUUAAUUUGAGGCAUAGCUUUUUGUUGCAAGAGACCUUCUGCUCUCCAUAACAAGAUUAUUUCUUCUUCCCCAAAUUCAUAAUCUUUAGGAAGUAUGGAGCAAUAUGCAAAACAUCGUUUCAAGUAUGACGGAAGAUGAUGGUAGCUUAAUCGCAAAGCUGGAAUUAUGCCACACUGCUCUUCUGGUAAGUUCCAUAUCUCACUCUCAUAUAUUCUUUCCCAUCCUGCACAAUCUUUAACUGUGCGUAGCAAGCUUCCGAUGGCUUUUGCAGCCAAAGGUAAGCCACUGCACCUUCUAACAAUUUUCUCUCCAAUUUCUUUAAACUGGAGAUCUCUAUCGAAAUUUCUUGCUUUUAAUGCAUGCUGUGUAAAUAUGGAUAAACAAUCAUCAUCCGAUAGUUUAUCCAAAUGAAAAGCUUUGAGCGGAUCCACAAUAGAUGAAACAAUUUGAAGACGAGUGGUUACAAUGAUAUGGGUCCCUGUUCCAAACGGAGACCGUAAGAUGGUCCAAUCAUCAUAAUUCUCGUUCCAAAUGUCAUCUAAAACAAGCAAGAAUCUUUUCCCAGACAACUUCUCCUUCAACUUAACUUGAAGUAAAUUCAAGUCAUUCUCGUCACGAGAGUCAGGAUCGAUGGAUUUUAAAAUUGUCCUGGUUAUAUUAACUGCGUCAAAAUUAUCAGAGACGCAUACCCAGGCCUUGUGGUGAAAAGACUGGUUGAUGGUGGCAUCAUUGUAAACAAGCUGAGCAAGAGUUGUUUUACCCAUCCCUCCCAUGCCGACAAUGGAAAGGACUGAAACUCCGUUGGAGUUAUCACCUUUGAGAAACUCAAUCAUUUCUGUCUUCUCCUUGUGUCUGCCAACAUACUCCACAACUCCAUCCGGUACGGAAGUUGGUUGCAGCCUAGGUUGCUUUCCCUUGGAGGUUGGAGCUUGAGACAAGAUCUCACUCAACCCCAAACUACUUCUUCGAGUAGUCAAACUAUUCAGUCUAGCAGUGAUCUCUUUCACCUUUGGAAUCAUGGAAUUCUUAAACAGGAAAGAAGUGGGAGUGAAAUUACUACUGGUACAGCAGGUAGGAAUGAGUUUCCGUACCUUGCUAGUGCUGGCUUGAGCUUGCGAUUUCUUGAGCUUGAGACGUAACUCUUCAUAAGCGAACUCAUCCAAGAUGUCAUCCGCAUCGUAAGCCAAGUCCUGGAGAUCCUCCAACCAUUUCUUCACACCCAUGUUCUUGAUCUGCUUCUCCUCUGCAUCGUCCAACACUGCUUGGAUAUCAGGCAAUAUGGACUGCCACUGCUUGAGCUGCUGGUGGAGUUGGUUGUGAUUAGCAACAAAUUUGAGUGCAGAGUCGAGCGAUUUGCCCACCAACAGGUCCAGGAACCCAGAAAGAGCAGCCUCUCCAAUGACAGACAUGGUGGAAUUAUGAGAAAGAAGAUGAAGAGAGAAAUGAACAAAGCCAAAAUGGAAAGUCAGGGAACAAAAAAGAAAGAAAGGGAAAUGGAAUCUGCACAAUUAGAGAAAGUUGAAGAAAUUGGCACAAUAUCCUUGAAGCAUGUAAGAAUUCAGACAAUUUGGCAAUGAGUUGGAAGUCACUGAGUACAGAUAAAGAAGCAAACACCAGUACGGUAAAUUUUUUAAUCACAAAUAUUUACAGUAUUUAGCAUAUAUAGAUUUGUAAAUUCGUGGUCUAAUUCACUGAAUCAAAUCCCUACUGAAAUUCAAGACUGAUUGUAGUUAUAUUGUUAGUUCACUUACUAUUUUACUAUUUAUACUAUUAUUUUUAAGUUUUUAAUUAAGUUGGUAUUACGAGUUAAAGUUCAAACACGACUUGACCCGUUUUUAAGUUUAAAAUAUUUUAUAUUAUGUUAUGUUUUGCCCAAGUCCAUAUUUUAGGCGGACUAUCGAGCCGGGCCAGGCCACCCGGCCCAUGAGGAGGCAUUUGAUUAUGAUAAAGAAGAUGGACCCCAAGUAGUUGUUGCUGGGAAAAGACAAUGAAAGUGGAAAUUAAAGAGGUCCCAGUCCAUGAAAUUAUUGCACCCUCCCAAGUGGUUGUUGAUGGGAAAAGACAAUGAAAGUGGAAAUUAAAGAGGUCCGAGUCCAUGAAAUUAUUACACCCUCCCAUUUUUUCCGUCCCCGCAGUUAUAUGUAAAGCUUUUCUUUUAGGCAUAAUGAUCACUCCUAAUUUGCAUAAAAAAUAAUUUUAACCCUUAAAUUUAAUUUUUUAUCAAAUCAUUUCAAAAUAGAUUUGACAUAUAUAUGAAUUGUCAUUUAGAAAACACAUCAACAUCUAAUUAAUUUUAAAAUUUUAAAAAUUUAUUUUUUUAUAUUUUUUAACAAUAAAUUUUAAUUUUUAAAAAUAAUUUUUUAAAUUUUAAAAAAUUGAUUAAGUAAUAAUAUAAUAUCCACAUGUAUGUAACGUUAGUAAAGUUAAAAAAAAGUUGCAAAUUUAAGUGCUAAAAAAUAAAAAUCUAAAUAGAGAAUUAAAAUGAUUUUUUUAAGUUAAAAACUCGAAUAAAUUAUUAUGUCUUUCUUUUAUUUGAUCAAAAUAGGUUAAAGUGUCUGCAAUUCUAAAAUGAAUGAACUUACUAUUUGAUGCAUUAUUAUUUUUACUGGAGAUCGGGAAUAGAUGAACUUUCUAUGGGCCUAUUUAACUGAUAGGAUUUAUUACCACUUUAGUAACUUUGGCGAUUUAGUCAAUUACUCGAGAUUCAUGAUUAUUUUAUUUCUUGAUGCUAACAAUAUACCGUGGUCAAAUAGGAUCAUUUAUUCUUGAGAACUUUUACUUUUUUUAUCUUGUGGAAGUUUGAAUUAAUUCUCAUUUAUCUACUUCUAUCCAUGAGGGGGAAGAAACGUCUAUACUCAAUUACAAAAUUUAUUUUGUACUUUGCAGAGGGUUCUGUUUUUCUAUUAAUAGGAGUUUUGCAUCUCAAUUUAUACGGUUCUAAUGAACCAAUAUUAAAUUUUGAAAUAUUAGAUAAUCAAUCAUAUCCUGUUGCACUAGAAAUAAUAUUCUAUAUUGAAUUUCUUAUUACUUUUGCUGUCAAAUCGUUGAUUAUACUCUUACAUACAUGGUAUUAUAUAAAAAAAUUCAAUAAAUAAAAAAUAUAUAAAAUUAUUAAAUAUUAAAAUAAUAUAAUAUAAAUAUUUUUUUAAAAAAAUUAAAAAUAAUAUGGACGGGGCUAAAAUGGGUUUGGAUUAAUCUUUUAUAAAUAUAGACGGGUUUGAGCAACAUUUUAAGCCCAAAUUUUGGGCUAAAUCGAAUUUAGAUAAAUAUAAAAUAGAUUAAUAUCAUACUUAAACCCGACCAAUACAUCUAUAUCUUUACUACCGGGAUACCUUUGUUUUUGAAUUUUGUCAUAGCUUUUGUCCAUUGUCUUGAUUUCCAAGUAAAUGAACGUUGAGCUCCAUGCCAAUGGCAUCAAAAUAAUUAUUUCCAUUAAUAUCAAAAUAUAGUCCAACAUAAGAAGGGAGUACCAAAGAACAUAUUCUCCAGCUCAUAAACAUUUGAUAACAUCACUGUUGAAGCCUUUCAAAACAGGGGAAAUCCAUAUAAAGUGUGAUAGAAAGCCCACUGUGACACAUUUAGCUUUCAAGCUUCAGAUUCCCUGUCUUACAAAAAUGACCAAAUAAUAUAUUACAUUUACCAUAUUAUCUGUCUUACAAAAACCAACUAUCAGUGAAUCACCAUCUUUGCCCAUCUUUUAAAGGGUUUCAUACAUGUGGUCUGAGCAUGACAAAAUAAGGGAUGCUCUGAAAUUUUGAUGAUGCAUCCAUCCAUGAUCACAGCAGUUGUGUAAGAAAAUGACAAACAACAUACUUUCUUUUGAAUGCAAAAAACUUGAUUAUAUUGAUAUGAAGCAGUAACCAAAAUGGUUAAAUGAAGUUUUUCAGUCAGUCACUUAGACACUGAGUUCAUUAGUGUCGUUCAAUCCACAUGAUCGAAAAAGCAAUUCCUCAUCAAGUGAAUUAAUGCAGCUCGAAAGUAGCUUUCAAACGGAUGUAUCAUCUGAGAAUUUCCAAGAACUAGGAUGGCCAACUUUGAGAUCAGCAGACAAUAGUUUGUGGCAACACGGAGGCUGCAAGUUCAAAAGAAGUAUAAUCUCAAUGUCAUCAGUGUUUUACAAGUGAGAAAACCCCAAAUUGCAGGUCAGUGAACUCUCUUGUGUUAAUGCUUAAAUCUAGCUCUUUAACUACUUGCCGUACUGCGUAGUGUAUCCCUCCCUUAUCCUGAGAGGAUCAAUAAUAGACAGUGGUGACGACUCGUAUCCUUACACAAUAACAGGAAUCUAUCCACAAAGAUCGUGAAACUAUCAAGUAAAGACUUAUUCUUUUGAAAUACCAUUGGUCAAUAUUACAAUGGAAUGUCAAAUAUUUCAACUAAAAUCCCAUUCCCAUGUACAAAGGUUAUAACAAUUGCAAUUGAACACAUUGUCUUCAAAGAAGGAUCGACUAUACGGCAUAUUCCAAGUCAAUUCCAAAAUUAGUCUGUGCCAACCCAUAUUCUGAGAGAUAAGCAAACAUAUACACAAAGGAAGCUUAGAAAUCAGAACAUGCAGAUGAAAACUGAACAUUCAAUUUGCUGAACAUCAAAUCAAAUAAGCUAAAGGAAGGCUAGUUGAAUUCAUCAACCAUUUUUGCCAAUUUAAUUUUCAAUGCCUGAAAAAUUGAAUACAAAUUAUAUAAGACUGAUUGCUAUUAUCUUGUUAUUCUGAGGACAAUCACAUAUAUGGAACUAUGGAACUAAAAAUGUGUUUAAAAUGGUUUCACACCUGUGGUUUAAGUGUGGAGAAAUCAGUGCCAGGUUUUGCUGCUUUACUUUCAAUCUAAUUCCCUUGGGAUGCUGUUUUAUACUGAAAACGGACAUAAGGGAUGUGGGCAAUCUUGGACCACUGUCAACCUUUACCCCUACUGCACCCUUCUUCUAGCAACGGGCAAUUGAAAAUAUGUAGCUGCUCAAGUGAGAGAAGCAUAUAUUUUUCUGGAAGAGAUGUGAGUUUUGGACAAUUACUUAUUUCCAAUUCGUGAAGCGAAGUGAGGUGUUGAAAGCCCUUGGAGCACAUGAAUUCCAAAUUCUCAAAAUUUUCAAUGCAGAUAGAUGUGAGAGAAGGAGGCAGCAUUCUUCCUAUCCCUUCUUCUGGAAAUGACACCACACGUGAGCAUCCCUCACCGCCGAUAUUGAGCUCUUGAGUAGAGGUGAGUCUAUUUAAUCCCCAUUCAACAAGUGAUGUAUACAUUUUGGGUCCAUUUGAGAUUUCAAGUGAUGUGAGAUUCGUAGGGAAAUCCCCUACACUCUUAUGGGAAGGACAUAUCAGCUGAACACUAUAUAAAUACUUAAAUGAAAAGACAAAAAACAAACUCGUAAUAUUAUUUGUUAUCUUUUAAAUAAAAAUCUUUAUUUAAAAUUAUUUUUCAACUAAAUUGAUCUUUAGUUAAACUCGUGGCUUCAACUCAGUUAGAUAACUAUAUAUAGUAUAACUAACAAACAAUAGAAUUGAAAUUGGCAUACAUAUAUGCUGUGUGUAGCCUUAAAUACUCCUCUUUCAUGGUGUUCACCUCAAUUCCUUGCAACUUCUGUUUUUUUAAUUCCAAAAAAAAAAAAACACACACACACAAUAUUAGAAACGUAAUUAUUAUUGUCGAUCGAAUCUUAAUUCAAUUGGCAUUGAUAUUAUUAUCCAUGCAAAGAGGACAUCAAUAUAUAUAUAUACACCUCAGCUUGUUGCUCAUAAAAAGGGUGUUCUUGAGAAUGGUCUUCUUCCAUUCCUUUGUUGUAUCUUGAAAGAGUGUUCCAUGCUACAUUAAUAAAAUGUCAUGUUUAAAAAAAUAACAAUAAAUUAAAAAUAAAAUUCUAACUCAUUAUCAGGGUUUAGGUUUUGGUCUUGAGCCGAUCAAAUUUAUGACAAGUUAUUCUUAACGUAUCGUAACUAUUUAUGUAUCAUUUUUGUUUUGAUAUGAGUAUGUGUUGUUGUGUUUUAGUAUAUAGUUUCGUAUUUAUCAUUUUUAAAAAUAAUAUAUAUGAUAUACUUCCAAAUAUUUCUUAAUUAUAAUAUGUAAAUAUAAAUUUUAAAAUUAUUAAUUAAGUUCAAUAAUUUAAUGAAUGGUUAUAUAUUAUUUUUAAAAGCAAUUAUAUAAAAAAGUCGUUAAGAAAGAAAUGGGAAAUAUUAAAAAUCCCUUUAUAGGAAUUAAUACUCAGCGAUACAAGCAUAUAUUAAUUGAAAUGAGUCAAAAACUCAAUGAAAUUUUAAUUGAAAUGAAACUUAAACUAUUUUAUUCUAGUUCAAUAUCGAGACGAUUCAUAACGAUUGAUACAACCAGUAUCGAAACUACCGAUCCCAUACUACAAAGUGAAAAGAAAAAUAAUGGAAAUCAAUCAAAUUACAACUCAACUUACUUUUAUGCUUAGAAAAAAAAAUAGUUCUAAAAAAUAAUCAUCCAAGAAUAUAAAUAUAUAUAAGUUUUAUAGACCGUUACAAACUAAUAUACACUCAUAUAAGCAGAUAUUAACUAAAACAAAUCAAAACACAAUAAAAUUUUAACUGUAACAAAACUUAAACUACUUUAUAUUAAUUCAAUAUUGAGACUAUAGCCAAUUAUUAAGAAAAGAAAAAUAAUGGAAAUCAAUCAAAUUAUAGGUCAACUUACUUUCAUGCUUACAAAAAAAUAAAGCUAAAAUUGAAAAUUGAAAAAAACCCAGAUUUCGAUUAUUAAAAAUCAUCUAUAAUAUAUAUAUAUAAGUACUAUACUAUAUUAUAUACCUAGUGCUGGACCAUUGAUAGACCUUGCCGGUGCUUGAAAAAAUAAUAACCCCAACCUCUGCAUCACAUAAAAUGGACAAUUCUUUAGCUUUCUUCAACAACCCAUUUCGCCUCUUUGAAAACAUUACUUGCCUGCUAUUCAAAUUUUCAAUCUUUUUUAUUUCAAUUUUCCCUCUACCCAUCUGAAAAUUUUCUUCUUUCCUUUACUUUUUCCCGGAAAAUUUUUAAAAGAUAAGAUAAACCCCAGAUUUUUUUUUUCUUAAAUUUUGAAAAGAACCAAAGGUUUUUAUAACAACAAACAGAUCAAAGAAAAUAAGGCAAAAAAUUUAGGGGAUUCUAAAAGGAUUCUUUUUUUAAGAGAAAAGAAAAUAAGUAAGUAAUGUUUAUAUAUAAUAAUUGUUUUCUCAAAUGGAAAUGGAAAAUGAUAUGGAAAAAGAAAAUAUGUGACCAAAAUUAGGGUCGAAAUCUUGAAAGGUGACAGAUUUGAUACUAUAUCUACCAAUUAUCCAACUAUGGAAACUCUAUUUAUUAUAGGUUUAGUUUAUUUUUUUCUAUUUUUCUUAAUUUCUCUACCUUUUUACUCUGCUGUUUUUGGCAUUUCAAUUCAAAAUGGAUUUUAUUUUUGCUUUGGGUUUCUUUUUUUUAAAUAUAAAAAGUGGUUUUUAAUUAUUUAUAUGUUUUUAAUGUGUUUUAACAAUUUUUGUUAGUGAAUAUUGAUUUUUUUUUUUGUGAAUUACAAUAUGAGGGCAAAGCCCUAACAACAACACGGCUAGAGCGAUUCGAAUUUAGGCCACACCUGAGACGUUGAACACAAGUAUUUCAUGAGGACAUAUAACACAUGUUUUUUAAAUUCAUGGCUAAAAUAAUAAAAAAACCUCUUUAUUUUAUUGUAUUAAAAUAAUAAUAAAAAACCAUGGUUUUAGUCGUACUGGCCGGUGCCGCCGUUCUACUAUUAUAGCGCAACAAGCAUCACCCUUUUCCAUACUAAUGAAAAUUUUGGUUUGUGCCAUUCGCAUUGGCCAGAACAUGGUACACCUACUGCAUGAAUAAUGUUAAAAAAUAUAAAACUUUUAACUAUUUUCUAUUAGACUAAAUAUUUAAUUGAAAUGUAUUGACCAAUAAAAAAAUAUUACACUAGAAAGUAAAGUUUAACAUUUAAAAAUUUUUUUGGAGCAUACUUUUUCAUUUAAAAUAUAAAAAUUAAAAUUAAUAAAAAAAAACUCACUCACCUCGUUAUUAUAGAAAAAUAUUCACUCGCCCUUCAGCUUUUUUUAUUGAAAAAACCCCCUCAUCCUUCGAUUUAAAUUUUUCUUCUUAAUUUUGAAUUUAUUGAAUGAUGAUUUUUUACUUGUGGAGUUUAUUAAACAAUAUUUUAUAUAAUUGAUGAAUAGUUUUAUAUUAAAAAUUUAUUUAUAAUAAUUUAUUUGAUAUUUGUAUAUUUAUUUAUAUAAAUAUAUUAAAUAUUUUAAAAAAUAUCUAUAAAUUCAAAGUGGUACAUAAAAUAGACUAGUACAUAAAAGUGGUACUUACACCAAUGUGGUAAUGGCUACCUUGAAAGCAAGUACGUGGGUGGCUAUAAUGUUUGAUGCUUUGUUUUUUUUUUUGAAUAUUUUGCUUUGAUGCUUUUGAUCUGUGUUGAUCUUUGAGUGUAACCAUUAGGAUAUAUAUGGUUAUCUGAAUUUUUAUGAUUUGCUAUGCAUUGAUUGUGAUUUUUUUAUUAAUAAAUAUAUGUUUUGGAAUGAGAAAAAAAAUAAGAAAUUCGAAACACAAAAAGGAAAGUAGAGAAAGUGAACACAAUAUAUAUAGAUGGUUCGGAAAUAUUUCCUACAUCCACAGGCAGAACCAAAGACGAAAUUCAUUACUAAAAAUUAGAGAUUACAGAGGAAUUACAUCGUAAAAUAAAAUACCUCGCCAAUAACUAUCCACAAACUUUGAAUGGAUUCAUGGUCUCAGAAAUUCGGAGAACUAAGAUGGACAUCUUUGAGAUUGGACAGAACAAUAUUUUGGGAACUCUGUUGUCUUACAUGUGUUAAAUUGAGCUCUCUAAUGUCAUGUUGUAACGUGUAAUGUAUCCCUCCAUUAAUCCUGGAAGGAUCAAACUAUCACGUAAAAGACUUGUUCUUCUGAAAAACCAUUGGUUAAUAGGACUAUGAAAUGUCAAAUAUUUUUAACUAAAACCCCAUUCUCAUAUACCAAAAUAGCUUAGAAAUUAGAAGAUGCAAAUGAAAACAGAACAUUCAAUUUGCUGAAUAAAUGUUGCAGAGAAUUGACUAACCGAUUUACUAAAUCAAAUAAGCUGAAGCAGAUGAGUUGAAGUUCACUAUUUUUUGCCAAUUUAGCCUUCAAUGCCUGCAAAAAUUGAAUACAAAAUAUAUAAGACUCAUUUCUGUUAUCAUGUUGUUCAUGAGGACAAUCAGAUAUGUAAAAAAUUUUUUGAAGUUGGUCAGCAUGCAGCAACCUCAACCAGCAAGCAGGCCAUGCAGACCAAGCCGUGCAGGAGCUGCUGGAACAAGUUAUUUUUUGUUUAUUUUGUAACCAUUAGUUGAUGAAAUGAGUUCUAGUUCAUUUCAAACUAAGUUAGGCCUAUGAUUGAUGUAAUUAGCUAGUGAGUGAGCUGUAAACACAACCUUGUACAAGCUUACAAGUUUAGUUUUUCAAGUUUCCAUGUAAUUAGUGGUGGUAGAUAAUGUUUAGGUGAUUGCUUACUGUUUUUGACAAGCUUAGUGCUUGAUUUAUGUAUUGGCAUUAUGCCAUUGUUUAUGUUUUGAAUGAAAUCAGUGUUUUGUUCAUCAAUUUUCUUUGUUUUUCUUCCUUAUUUUCUGCUUUGAUUCUGGUAGUUUGUUAAGCAAGCAACGAGGCUUGCUGCUCAAGACAUAGGCUGAGCUUGUCUGUUUCUGUUACUAAAACCAACAAUUGGUAUCUAGAGCCUUAAUCUUAAGGGACUUGGUAUACAAACCUAUAGCCUCAUCAAGCUUUUCACUAGCUGCACCACAAGUCUUCAAUGGGGAAGGCUACCACAUAUGGGUGGUCAAAAUGAAGACCUACCUGCGGGCCUUUGAUCUGUGGGAGGUGGUCAACUCUGAUGUUGAACCAGAACCACUCAAAGUCAAUCCAACAGUGGCUCAAAUCAGGCAGCAUGCUGAUGAGAGGAAUAAAAGGCACAAGGCCAUGUAUUGCAUCCAGAACUCAGUGUCAGAUGUGAUUUUCACAAGGAUUAUGGCCUGUGAAUCACCAAUGCAGGCCUGAGACAAGUUGCAAGAGGAGUUUCAAGGGACAGAGAGGACAAGGCAGCAACAACUGUUGAACUUGAGGAGAGACUUCGAGAAUUUGAAGAUGAAGGAAGAAGAAACUGUCAAGUAGUACUCUGAUAGGAUCAUGGUUGUGGUAAACAGUAUAAGGCUCCUUGGUGAGCAGUUCAUUGAAGCAAGGAUAGUGGAGAAGGUGAUUUCAACCUUGCCAGAGAGGUAUGAGGCAAAGAUCUCAUCCCUUGAAGACUCAAGGGACCUGAUUAGCAUUCCUCUUACAGAGCUAAUCAAUGCUCUAUAUGCACAAGAGCAGAGAAGAGCUAGCAGACUGGACAAGCACUAAGAAGGUGCCUUUCAGGCAAAGACCAACACUGCCUACAAAGGCAAGAAAACCUGGAAAAACAGGCCUAAGCCUGAUGCUGCAAAAUGCAGUGAUCAACCUUACAGAUAUUGCAAAAGGAUUGGUCAUCCAGAAGAAAAAUGUUGGUUCAAACCAGAUGCCUUGUGUCAACGCUGCAAAAGGAGGGGACAUGUUGAGAGAGUCUACAAGAACAAAGGCAAACCAAGACAGAAUCAACCUCAACAGGUGAAGGCAGAGGCUCAAGUAGCUAAGGAAGACAGUGACCAAGAGGAACAAGUCUUUGUUGUGUCAUGCUCAGCUCCUCAAGACAGGUUUUCAUCUGGUUGGCUCCUUGAUAGUGGAUGCACCAACCACAAGCAAGCAUCCUUCACCGCUGAUGUUGAGUUCUUGAAGAGAUGUGAGUCUGUUAAAUCCCCAAUCAACAAGUGAUGUAUAAAUUUUGGGUGCGUUUGAGAUUGCAAGUGAUGUGAGGUUGGUAGGGAAACCCUCUUCUGGAAAGGAUAUGUCAGCCGAACACUCCCACACUGAUAAUUCUCGAACGAAGGUGAAGUUGUUGAUGCACUUGGGAAGGGCUUUAAAAUUUUCACAAGCCUCAACUGAGAGAACUCUGAGAUUUGUGGUGGGCAACCCACUUUCUUCAAAUGAAACCAGAUUUGGACACCUAGAUAAUUUAAUAUCCUGAAGAUGGCAGAGCUUGUCUAAUCCCCACGGUAAUGAUUUAAUUUUUUCAGCACCACGAAUGCCAAUGCUUUCGAGAUCAAUGGUUUCAAGGAAGUCUUGGGCUAUGCAUUCCAACAAUAGACAAUUCCAAAUAAAUAGCUGUUUAAGCAUUACAGGUAACUUGGCGUUUAAAAAUAACCUACUUAGCUUUGAACAACUUUUAAUUUCGAGAUGUUGAAGUCAAGUGCAUAUAUCGCUCCUUGAUGAUAGCCAUAUUAGAGAUGGACAGUUGCUUAUUUCCAAGUGCUCAAGAAGACAAGUGUUGCUACACAUACGCUUAUUAUUAUUUUCUUUUUCAUCAACCAAAUAUUGCAAAUUCACGCAAUACUCAAUCCACAACUCUUUUAAAGCAGGAGGAAAGUUACUGUCUGCAAAACAAACCAAGCCUCGACAGUUUUGAAGUUGUAUUCUUGUAAUUAAUGGGAAGGCAUGUAAGGCUUCUAGUAGUCUAUUGAGCCUUUCACAAUCUCUUAUAAACAGAGAUUCAACACCUGGAAUCUUGUCAAGUUGCAAUCUCUCCUCCUCUGUUUCCAAGGAGACCAAUUGGGGACAACUGACAAUCUCAAUGAAUCGGUGCCCGACUAAUCUUAACCCAAUUUGCGAUAAAGAUCCCAACUCCUUCCAACCAGAGAUGCAGAACGUUUCGAAGUUCGCAAAUCUCAACAUUAUCCUCUCUGCUGAAAUAUUAAAAUUUGAAAUAUUUGAAACAAACACAUCUUUCAAGGAGGUAACCUUCUGUACAGACAAAGGACCUUCAUCCACCAAUUCUUCACACCCUUCAACCCAUAUUUUACGCAGCAAGGGAAAACAAGAAAUUGAAACUACCAGUCUCUUACACUCAUAGAUUUCAAGUGUCUGCAAGGAUUGAAUGAUGGUUGGUAACCUUCCCAACAAUAGAGGACAUCUUUUAAUUGAAAGCUUACGAAGGCUGGGAAAUCUCGAAACUUGCUGAUCGUCUUCACAUAGGUUCCACUUCUCCCAAUUCAGCAUAUUGUCAAAACACAGAGACUCUAAUGAUGCAAAAGCAUUUGAUUGAUUUUCUCCAAACAACUCAGCACCAAUCUUGUGUACUUGAUCCAAACCACUAAUUGAAAGAUCUUUUAACCACAACAACCUUCCAAUCGAUGGUAGAGAUUUGCAAUUUUUACAAUUGCGAAGCUCCAAUGACAACAUAUUUUUGAAGGAAGAAUCUGCAAUCCAAGUAGAGGAUUUCGCACCACCAUAAUUCUCAAUAAAGAGUUGCUCAAGCUGUUUUGGAGGACGAAGAGUGUCCAACACCCAUUCUUCAACUUCUUUAUUCCUUGAAGCCUUUUCUAAUUUUUCACUCCAAUGCAAUACCAAUCGACGAAUCCCCCGCUUCUCAUUUAACUUGGCUUCCCCUGCAUCUUCACCAUUAACAUUCUCCAACCCAGAAAGACGGAAAUCACCUUUGAGGUUUGACAAAUAUUUCAAACCUCUAAUAUAACAACCAUCACCUUCCCCUAUUAUAAAAUGGGUUAGGCUUAGCCAUUUUAAUUUUGGAGUCCAAGCAUGGCUUAUUUUAAACAAGCUUAUUUUUUUUUGUCUAAACUUAUAUUUCAAGCCUCAUUCUUUUUAUCUAAACUUUUUUAUAUUUUAAGUUCAUUUAGAACGAGUCUAUCUACAAAAGAAAAGUUUGUGAAAAGCGCAUAAUUAAUAAUUAGAAAUUGUCACACAUGUAAAAAUAUAAUAUAUUAUAUAUAAAUUUAAAUUUUAAAAAUACUAUUUCAUAUAUAAAUUUUAUAUUUUUGAGAAAUAAUAAUAUUUUAAAAAAGAUGGAUAGAUUUUUUUCUAAUAAUUAGAAAUUAGUGAAUAAUAAUGAGUAGUUUAGUUUUUGAGAAAAAAAAAGAAAUAGUUUUAAUUGAGAAAAUGAUUUUUUAAGAAGUUAGUUAAGAGUAGUGAAAUAAUUUAUUUUAUUUUAUAAAAAUGUUGAAAUGAUAUAAUCAUCCCUAUAUUUAAUAAAAUAAUAACAUUAGAUUUUUUAUACUUUUACCAAUUGAGUUUGUGUCACUCGAUUUGAUGUACCAAAUUUAAUUAGACAUUUUGUCGUAGUAUAAAUAAUUAUCUUGUAAUUAUAUGUAUUCAAACUAACUUCAUUUUUAAAUCUGUCACCAAUCUUUAUAUUUUUUCUCUCUUAUAAUUUUAUUUUUACAUAAUGUUUUCAUAAUAUAUAAUAUGAUCAUAAAUUAAACCCUUAAUUAUAGUUAUUAAGCUUGCAUUUUUUUCACUAAAGUCAAGAAAUUAAUUUGGUAACACCUAAUCGCAUUGAAGAAUGAAUCAUAAAUAUAAUGUGGUAAGUGAGAAGGUUAAUUUGGAAAUUAAAUAAUUAGCUCAAAAACUUAUUUCAUCAAUUAUUUAAGUAAAUCAUGUCUCAUUUGUUAAAAAUUCUGGUUCACAGUACAAAUGACAAUAUGAUUAUUUUAAUAUAUUGAAACACUCACUUAAAAUUAUAACUUAAAUCUUUGAAAUAUGUGGGAGAUUAUUGGAAGUUUUUAUGUAUUUCAAAGAACUACAAAAAUCUCACAUUGCUAAAAAAAGAUAUUGAGUCAUUAUUUAUAAGCCAGAACUACAAAAAUCUCACAUUGCUAAAAAAAGAUAUUGAGUCAUUAUUUAUAAGUCAUUAUACUUCUUUGAACUUAAUAAGAACCAAAUUGAGAGAGUAGACUCCUGCACAUUCGAGCCUUUUUGUUUUUGGACUUAUUUUUAUUAAAGUUUUGAAAGUCAAAUAAAAGUGAACUUGUAACACUUCUAUUUAGUCACGCUAAAUAUAAUUUAAUUGAUUGAAGCUAUUUUUAAUUAAGUCCAAAUUCAUUGAACCAUUUUCAAACUAGUGUUAGCUAAUUCAAUCAACUUACCUUUGCUAUAUUAAGCAAAUGAAAUCCCUAUAAAUACCAUGCAUGGUAGUUUUCAAAGUUACUCAUUAGCUUUCAUGUUCUCAUCUAAAUUUCUUCUAUAUUCUCUUUAGAAAAACCUUCCUCCUACAAUCUCAAUUGAGUGUUUAAUUGGUCGGCUCUUUAGAAAAGCCUUCAAGGAUAAUGAUAUUCACGCCUCAAGUCGUGAUUCUAAUUUUCUAAACCUCCGAUUUCUUAAGAGAACGUCAAGGGCAACAACCAGUCAAAUUUUAAGUUCAAUUAAAUGAAUUCACAAACUUAUAGAGUUUAUUAUUAUUAUUUUAAUUAGUAUCAAAAGUUUUCAAUUCAAAUUUUAAUUUUGUUAUUCAAGCUUUUAUCUCAAAUCAAGCUCAAGCUUUAAAAGUGAAAUUUGAUUGAACUUGAGCUAAAUUUUGAGUAUCGAAUUUUAAGUUAGCUCAAAAUUUUCAAGUUAAGCUUUGACUUGAUUACACGGUUAGUGUAAAUCGUACAAAUGUAAAGUAUAAUAUAAUUAUAUAAAUUUUGAUACUAUAAUAAUUUCAAUUUUAAAAUGUUAACACAACUAUGGUCUAAAAUGUCCCAUUAUCAAGAAGCUUAGAAAUUAGAAGAUGCAGAUGAAAACAGAGCAUUCAAUUUGCUGAAUAAAUGUUGCAGAGAAUUAAGCUAUAGCAAAUCAGUUGAAAAUAGCUUUCAGUGCCUGCAAAAUUAAAUGCAAAGUAUAUACGAUUGAUUGCUAUUAUCAUCUUGUUCCUGAGGACAGUCAGAUACAUGGAACUAAAACAGCCAAUGUUUAAAACGGUUUCAUACCAGUGAUACAACAUAAGGUAUGUGGGAAAUCUUGGACCACUCUCGUCCUUUACCCCGAAAAGUGGACAUAAUUAAAAAGGAAAACUUGUCUGUGAUAGAAAAUGAGGGGCUUUAAUUAAAUUACAACCAACCAGGAUGAACUCUGUUUCUGUAUUGAAAUAUUGGAAUUGGUAAUCAGCGACUUAUUCACUAAGAACUAACUAUUCUGUCACCUUAUAUUCUUCCUAUAAUUUCAGGUUUAAUCCUUUUGAUUUAUACAUUCAGUCCACUGCAAUAUGAACCCGUGAAAACCACACUAAACGAAACUGACUGUUUAAGGAUCCCAUUCAUAUGAUGCAGCACUGCAAUGGGUAAUUAAACUGACUGUUUAAUCCUGUUUCUGUACACUAUGCUUCUUCAAAAUCAUGCCUAGCCGAACUCUCUGACAUUGUGGACCGCAAGCGCACUCAAGGACAUAUUGUUUCUGCCAUCUUUUACCAUGUUGAUCCCCCUGAGGUUCAGCAUCUUAGUGGGAGUAUCAAGUCAUACUUUGAUGACCAUGAAUCAAAGAGGCCUGUUGAUGGAGUGAAGCGAUGGAAAAUUGCCUUUGUUGAAGUCUGUAAAUUAAUUGGGUGGCAUAUAGGAGGAAAAUUCGACAAGCAACUAUAUGGUUUCUUUUUCAUUUUCUUAUAUAUUUAACUUUCUUUUAUUUGGUUUAUUUGCUAGGCUUGAAUUCAAGUACAUUAAAGAUAUUGGUGAAUAUGUUAUAAAAAGAAGAUGACAAAUAGCGAGUCUAAAAGUGCUUCUUAAGAAUUUGUUGGAACAGAUAAUCAAUGAAGGAUGAUUUUGAGGCCAACUGAGGAAGAAGACAAUCCUAUAUUAGGAUGAUUUUGAGGCUGAUUGAUGAAGACGAAAUUUGUUUGUGAGUUUUGUGUUUUGUCUUUGGGUUUGUGCUUGUUAAUUGUUGAAUGGUUUCUCGCUCAAUAAGCUUGUAGGCGAUCCAACUUGAAAAUUAGGAUUAACAGUGUGUGGUGCACAAAUUAUUGGGUGAUGGUGUCUUGCUUGUUGAUGCUUGAAAGUUGAAAGAAUCUUAUAUGCUUAUGUUAAACUGGAUGCAUUUUUAAGAUUAGGGUAGGAUGUGAUUUUUAUGUGACUAAUCUAUUUUAAAGGUAAACUAACCGUUAGUUACUCUAAAUAAUGGUUGUUUUUAUUUUCUCACCCUAAGGCUUUUUUUUUUUUUUUAAAUUUGGUCUCUCUAAAAGGAAAUUGAUUAAAUUGAUCACCCCAUCAUUAAAUGGUAAAGGAAAGACUAAUAAUACAUUUCAUGUAUUGUUUUAGGUGACUAAAAUAAGAAAAAAAAAUCUCUAUUUAAAGUGACUAACAGGUAGUUUACCCUAUUUUUAAAGUGACUAUAAUUUUUUAUGAUUUUUAUAAAAUUUUACAAUUUCUUAUAUUUUUUCUAGUUUUUAAUAAUUUUUUAAUAUUUGAAUUUUUUAUUAAAAUUUAAUAAUAUUUAUAAGUUUUAUUAAUUUUAUUUUUUUCUAAUUAUUAAUAAAAACAAGGGCUUAAUUGUUUUUCUUGAAAAAGUUUGAGGGUGUAAAUUUUGAAAGUUCAAGUAUCCAAUUGAGUAUAAAAAAAAAGUAAGGGCUUAAUUGUUUUUUUAAAGGUUUAAAGGCCCUUUUGAUGCAUUUUGAAAGUUCAAGUGCUCAAUUGAGUACAAAAAUAAUAAGUAAAGAAUAGAGAUUAUAAUGAACUCAUAUCGUAAAAUAAAAUACCUCAACAUGAUAACUAUCCACAAACUUCGAGCAAGGUUGUAAAUGCAUCAACUAUAUACUUUCCACAUUUCGGAAAAGACCCAACCAUAAUAAAUAACAUAUGAGCAACAUUUUCUCAAUCUCAAAAUGUAAAAAGCAAUACUGUAAUUGUUGCGCGGAAGCGUGUGAAAGAGUAAAAUUAUUGUACUGAAAAAUCACACUAAGUUCAAUUCCCAGGAAAGAGAGGUGGAUCACGAGGAUCGCUUACAUACCAGAUCUUUCCUAGCCAGAAUAUCCCUCUAUCGUAAUUUAAUAGCACAAUAAAUCACUACAAUGACACUUGCAAAAUAUGCAGAACAAAAAUAAAGAACACUAGAAUUUUAACGAGGUUCAGCAAAUUUUGCCUACGUCCUCGGGCACUACCAAAUAUAUUUCACUCCAAAAAAUACAAGUGAAAGUUUACAAAUAGGGAGAGAGAACAAUUGCCUUAAGUAGAGAAUGGCAAGUGUGGGAUGAAGAAAGUAAGAAAUGGUUAGGCCUAUUUAUAGUUGAGGUUCAAGGAUCAACUUGCAAUGUCCCUAUACAAUUAGGGACCAAAAUUGCAAUUAUCCCAUGCCAACUUUUAACCCAACUUGCCAACCAAUUUUACUUUCUACUUUCGGUGCCCACCCUUUUUGACUUUUCAAACAAUGGGUGGGUUCCAAUAAUCUCCACCUUGAAGAUUUGAUUAGGAUAAUCUUAUCUUCACACAAUUCUUUCUGCCUUUGACAACAAUACUUGAUAGUGCCUUCUUCAACUGUUAAACUUGCAGGAUAUUAAUCAAGUUCAAACAAUGUUCGAACUUGGUUGCUGUUACCACCUUGGUCAUCAUAUCUGCGGGAUUAUUUGCAGUCUUGAUCUUCUGAAGACAAAUUUUCCCCUCUUCAAUAAUUUCCCGCACAAAAUGGAAUCGUACGUCGAUAUGUUUUGUACGUGCAUGAUAGACUUGAUUCUUUGCUAAAUGAAUAGCACUUUGACUAUCACAAUACACGUUAAUAUGCUCCUGAACCAACCCCAAGGUUUUAGCCAUACCUUGUAACCAAAUAGCCUCCUUUACAGCCUCUGUUACAGCCAUGUACUCGGCUUCUGUGGUUGACAAUGCAACUGUAGACUGUAGUGUAGACUUCCAACUUAUUGGUCCUCCAGCAAGUGUAAACACAUAACCGGUGGUUGAUCUUCGCUUGUCCAAAUCACCGGCAUAGUCAGAAUCAACGUACCCAAUAACACCUUUACCAAGUGUAUUAUCCUGCUUGAACAGUAAUCCAACAUCCACGGUCUUCUGAAUAUACCGUAGAAUCCAUUUCACAGCUUGCCAAUGUCCUUUUCCAGGAUUAUGCAUAUACCUGCUCACUAUACUAACUGCCUGUGAAAUGUCGGGUCUUGUACACACCAUUGCAUACAUCAAGCUACCCACUGCAUUAGAAUACGGAACUUGCAACAUGUAUUCUCGUUCCGUAUUCGUCGAAGGAGAUAGUUGUGCAGAAAGCUUGAAAUGAGAAGCCAACGGGAUACUUACAGGUUUGGUCUGCUCGUUCAUGCCAAACUGCUGUAGUACUUUCUUCAAAUACUGCUUCUGAGACAAGCUAACUCUGCCAUGAGCUCUAUCUCUACAUAUUUCCAUGCCAAGAAUCUUCUUAGCUUCACCUAGAUCUUUCAUCUCAAACUCGAGAUUGAGUUGAGUCUUCAAUCUCUCAAUCUCAACUUUGCUCUUAGAUGCUAUCAGCAUAUCAUCAACAUAUAAGAGCAAGUAUAUGAAAGUUCCUUCUUGUAGCUUCUGAAAAUAUACGCAAUGAUCAUAUUUACUUCUUGUGUACCUUUGCCCUUUCAUGAACUGAUCAAAUCGCUUGUACCACUGCCUCGGAGAUUGUUUCAAUCCAUAAAGUGACUUUGUCAGUUUGCAAACCCAAUUUUCUUUAUCAGCAACAUUGAAUCCAUCAGGCUGAGUCAUAUAGAUUUCCUCUUCCAAAUCACCGUGUAAAAAUGCUGUCUUCACAUCAAGUUGAACUAGUUCAAGAUCGUAUUGCGCAACCAAGGCUAGCAAAAUUCGAAUAGACGAAUGCUUCACAACUGGAGAAAACACUUCAUUGUAGUCUAUUCCUUCUUUCUGAGCGUAACCCUUUGCUACCAAUCUAGCCUUGUAUCGAAUUUCAUUUUUACCAGGAAAUCUUUCCUUCUUUGCAUAUACCCAUUUGCAUCCAAUUGCCUUCUUUCCCUUGGGCAGUCUCACCAACUCCCAAGUCCUAUUUUUAUGAAGAGACUGCAUUUCUUCAUUCAUAGCUUGCUUCCACUUUACACCAUCAGAGUUACUUAUUGCUUCUGUGUAAGUGGAAGGAACAUCAUCAUCUGCAAUUGGAAGUGCAUAGGCCACCAUAUCGUCAAAGCGAGCAGGCUUACGAAUCUCUCUUCUUGGCCUCCUAUAUGCAAUUGAAUCUUGUUGCUGUAGAAGUUCUUGGGUCGAAACUUCUUCAUCAUUUGUUCUUUCAAUAUUAGCUGGAUCAUCAUUAACCUUUUCAAACUCCACCUGCUGCAAAGUACUACUGGUUUUGUCAUCCUUUUGUGAAUCCUCGUUUUUCAUCAUGGUUGAUUCAUCAAAAGUUACAUCUCUACUGAAAACAAUCUUCCUUGUAUCAGGACACCAGAGACGGUAUCCUUUUACACCACCAGUUAUACCCAUGAAUAAUGCUUUCUUUGCUCUUGGGUCUAACUUAGAUUCUUUUACAUGAUAAUAUGCAGUGGAACCAAAAACAUGUAAAGAAUCAUAAUCAGUAGCAGGUUUACCAGUCCACAUCUCCAUAGGAGUUUUUCCAUUUAUUGCAGCUGAUGGCAAUCGGUUAAUUAGAUGGCACGCAUAUGUAACUGCCUCAGCCCAAAAUUCCUUGCCCAAUCCAGCAUUGGACAACAUACAUCGAACUUUCUCCAGUAUAGUCCGAUUCAUGCGUUCUGCCACCCCAUUCUGCUGUGGUGUAUCUCGAACAGUGAAGUGUCGCACAAUGCCCUCAUCUUGACAUACUUGUAGAAAUGGAUCAUUUUUAUACUCAGUACCAUUAUCUGAUCGAAGUCGUUUGACCUUUCGACCUGUCUGAGUCUCCAUCAUCUUCUUCCACUUCAGAAAUGUAUCCAAAACUUCAUUUUUUCUUUUCAUUAGAUACACCCAUACUUUUCUUGAAUAAUCAUCAAGAAAAGUGACAAAAUAGUGCAUACCUCCCAAAGAAGCUACUUUGGUAGGUCCCCACACAUCACUGUGAACAUAGUCCAGAAUUCCUUUCGUAUUGUGAAUUGCUGAACCAAAUUUUACCCUCGUCUGCUUGCCCAGAACACAAUGUUCACAGAAUUCCAAUUUGCAAGAAUUUGCACCUUUCAACAAGCCUUGCUUCGCCAAAGUCUGCAAAGCUUUUUCACCAGCAUGUCCCAAUCGCCUAUGCCAUAACCUGGUAGCCUCUGAAUCUGCAUCUUUCGCAGAAACUGUUGAUGUUGAUCCAAUAACUGUACUUCCAUUUAAAUAGUACAAGUUAUUUCUUCUAGUGCCUUUCAUCACCGUCAAUACCCCAGCUACUACCUUUAGUAAUCCAUCUCUCAAAGUGAUUGUGAGCCCUUUAGAUUCUAGGGCCCCUAACGAGAUGAGAUUUUUCUUCAAGCUGGGUACAUAGCGAACAUCUGUCAGAACUUGGAUUGAGCCGUCAUGGUUCUUCAAUUUGAUUGUACCUACACCCAUUGUUUUACAGGCACUAUCAUUGCCCAUAAAAACAACUCCACCUUCUAGUUCUUCAAGACUAGAAAACCAGUCCUUAUUAGGACACAUAUGGUAAGUACAUCCCGAAUCCAAUAUCCACUCAUCCGUUUGACAUGCCAUUGCCAUGCCAACCAAGCUAAAGUCUGACUCCUCAUCAUGCUCCGCUACACAUGCAUUAGAAAUAGACUUGCCCUUUUGUAACUUAGGACAAUUCUUUUUCCAAUGCCCUUUCUCACGACAAAAGGCACAUUCAUCUUUGGCGGGUCUCCCUUUGGACUUACCCCUUCUACCAGGUUUGCUGCUGUGUGAACGACCUCUUACUGUUAAGACUUCUGCAGUUGUAUCUCUGUGAUCUCUUUUAUCUUUCUUUCGAGUCUCAGAUCUAUACAACGCACUACAGACUGCAUCAAAUGUGAUUGAAUCUUUCCCAUGAAGCAAUGUGGUGGUAAGAUGAUCAUAUUCAUCAGGAAGGGAAUUCAACAACAAUAAUGCCUUGUCUUCAUCUUCAAAUUUCUCAUCCAAAUUUAGCAAGUCUGCUAAAAUUUUAUUGAAUGAGUUCACAUGGUCAUUCAUCGACAUACCGGGUGCAUACGUGAACCGAAAAAGUUUCUUUUUCAUAUAAAGCCUAUUUUCAAGACUUUUCGUUAGAAACUUUUCUUCCAAUGUAUCCCACAGCUUCUUCGCUGAUGUCUCCCUCAUGACGGAGUACUUCUGCUCUUUGGCCAAACAUAGGCGGAUUGUACCACACGCCUGUCUAUUGAUCUUGGCCCACUCCUUGUCAUCCAUCUUGUCAGGUUUUUCUUCAAGGGCUAUAUCCAGCUCUUGCUGACAUAAGACAUCCAGGAUCUCACACUGCCACAUACCAAAAUUAUUGGUACCGUCAAAUUUCUCUACUUCAAAUUUUGCAUUUGUCACAGUAGUCCUUGCUGAUGACGAUGCUGCUGCCAUUUUUCUCCUCAGUCCCAGCUACUGUAUACGUGAAUAGUAUCGUAUACGUGAAUAGUACUAUAUACGUGAAUAGUGCCGUAUACGUGAAUAGUACCGUAACGGUCGUAUUCCCCAAGUACGAACCUGGCUCUGGUACCAAUUGUUGCGCGGAAGCGUGUGAAAGAGUAAAAUUAUUGUACUGAAAAAUCACACUAAGUUCAAUUCCCAGGAAAGAGAGGUGGAUCACGAGGAUCGCUUACAUACCAGAUCUUUCCUAGCCAGAAUAUCCCUCUAUCGUAAUUUAAUAGCACAAUAAAUCACUACAAUGACACUUGCAAAAUAUGCAGAACAAAAAUAAAGAACACUAGAAUUUUAACGAGGUUCAGCAAAUUUUGCCUACGUCCUCGGGCACUACCAAAUAUAUUUCACUCCAAAAAAUACAAGUGAAAGUUUACAAAUAGGGAGAGAGAACAAUUGCCUUAAGUAGAGAAUGGCAAGUGUGGGAUGAAGAAAGUAAGAAAUGGUUAGGCCUAUUUAUAGUUGAGGUUCAAGGAUCAACUUGCAAUGUCCCUAUACAAUUAGGGACCAAAAUUGCAAUUAUCCCAUGCCAACUUUUAACCCAACUUGCCAACCAAUUUUACUUUCUACUUUCGGUGCCCACCCUUUUUGACUUUUCAAACAAUGGGUGGGUUCCAAUAGUAAUAUCCUUUGAAGUUUGUUCUAAGAACAUUAGAAUGCUAAUCAUUAGAGUUUCAACUUAAGAUUAAACACAAAAAAUAUUGAAAAGUUUCAAGUACUAGGUGUAUUUUGAAAGAGUUGCUCCUAGGGCAUUUUCUCACCAUUCUUUUUCUUCCAUGGAUUCAAAUGCCUGUAAAAGAAAACCAAGGAAUAAAAAAUCAUAUCUACAACUCCAACAGAAGAGGGGAAUACCGGAAGAACAACCUCUACUUACCCUAUCAUAAACACUGGUAACAUCACUGUUGAAGCCUUUCAUAGCAGGGAAUCUUCAUAUAAAGAAUGAUUGAAGACCCACUGUGACACAUUUAGCUUUGAAGCUUCAGAUAGCUAGCCUGUCAAAAUGAUCAAAUAACAUAUCACAACUACCAUACUUGUGGUCUGAGCUUGAGAAAAUAAGGGAUGCUCUGAAAAAUUGGUGAUGAUCCAUCCAUCCAUAAUCACAACGAUUGCGCUCAAGCGAUGCAUCAACAAGAGAAGUGCACACAUAAACGUACAAAAUACCGAGGAAAGCCAACCAAACAUCCUUCAAUAGUACAAUGAAAUGUCAAAUGUUUUUAACAAAAAUCCCAUUCCCAUAUACAUAGGCAUAACAAUUGCAGUUGAGCGAUUGCUCCAAGCCCAUGCCAUAUAGUACAAAGCAAAGGAUCCUUAAGGACGAGGACGAUAUAAGAGUUAACCAAACAUAUAUGCAAAAAAAGCUUAGAAAUCAGAAGCUGCCGAUGAAAACAGAACAUUCAAAUUGCUUAAUAAAUGUUCCCGAUGAAAAAUAUAUGAAUAUACGCAUAAAUUUAGUAUUGCUAUUAAAUAUCAUGAGCACUGCACAAAUUUAGCCCAAUUUAAAGGAAAUUUUUUUUUCUAAAUUUCCAUUUUAUUUGACAUAUCUAGAUUUGUAAUUUGAAACUUUGUUCUUAUUCACAUGAAUUAAAAUUUGAUCUAAUCUGAUUUUAUCAUUAAAAAUGAGCCAACAGCCUAAAUCUUAAUUCAGACGAAUAAAAGCCUAAUCAUGUGGUUUUGUGAGAAAUUAACACUAGGGUAAUCUAAAAUUAAACGCCUGAUGAUAUCUCGACUCUCUUAGCUUCUUGCUAGGGAAUUAGAUUACUCUCACACACUAACACACACAUUUCCCCUAAGGUAGCUACGCUAAUUUUCUUGAAUUCCCUUCUUAAUCACAGCUCUUAUUUCUAGUGAUUUUAUCCCUACAGAUUGAUCGACCAAUCAUGCUAAAUCGCUAAAUAAAAUACCAUGCUGGCUAUGUGAAAUGCUGCCAUCGGGGGCAUCCUUAGCGAUCAUAAUAGAACUUCUUUGCUGACUUUUUCUAAGGCCAUUAGAAAAGAAAAUAUAACAAGAGAACACAAUGUGGCUCGGGAAUAUUAUUCCUUAGAACAACAGGCAGAACCAAGAAUGAAAAUUACAUCAUAAAAUAAAAUACCUCACCACAAUAACCAUUCACAAACUUUGAGCAAGGUUCUUAACGGUCAUCGUCGGUAGACUUUGCAACUCUGGUACCAUUUGGCUUUUAACCCCCAUCAAAUUUUGUGGUUCUCAAAACUGAGUGAAUGUAGAAGGCUAAAUAAAUAACAUAUUUGGCUCCUCCACUUCUUUUUAUGAAGGUUUCCUUGAAGUGCCCUAUAAGAGUAUGAUAAUGCUAAUCAUUAGAGUUUCGGUUUAUAGAUUAGACAAAAAAUGAAAAGUUUCAAGUAGCAUUGGUAUUUUGAAAGGGUUAAUUCAAGGCCAUUUUCUCACCAAUUUUUCUACCUUGAUUCCACACAAUCCACAUGAUCAAAAAUGUAAAUUCUCAUCAAGUGAAUUGAUGCAGCUCAAAAGUAGCCUUCUAAUGAUUUCUGUUGUGUUAAUGCCUAAAUUGAGCUCUCUAAUGCCAUGCCCUAGUGUGUAGUGUAUCCUUCCUGUAUGGAUCAAUACCAUGUUCAUAGUUGUAAUAAAAUCUGUUGACACUGAUAUCCUUACUCAAUAACCACAAAGAUCUGUAAACUAUUACGUAAAGACUUGUUCUUCUAUGUGAAAAAUAUAAUGUCGGUAAUGACAAUAUAUCGCAAAGAAAAAAUAGAAAUAGAAAAAUAAAGAACACACAAAUUUUACGUGGAAACCCUUUCGGGAAAAAAAAACCAUAGGCAGAGGAGAAGAAAAUUUACUAUGUCGAAAACUUAAUUACAAGAGGAGUAGACUAUGCCUAUUUAUAGGCUUGUAAACCAUAUUCUAAUAGGAGUGAAACUCCUUAUUCAAAUAAUAUCAAAUAGAUGGAGUUUAAUAAGGUUUAGAAACCUUAUUCUAAAAUAAAAUAAAAGAAGUAUAAUUCUAUAGGGAUUUUACUUUUAUUUUAUUUUACCACAGUAUUUUAUUUAAAUAAGGAUUUGGGUCACUUAAUUCUAACAAUCUCCACCUUGACACAAAUUCUUAAUGAACAAGUUCUUCAUCGCGAACUCUCAACGAACAAGUUUCUCCACCUCUUCCAUAAAACCCCUUAAGGGUUUAUUUGCAACAAUGAACACCAACCAAGUCUAAGCAAUACUCAAACUUGGUUAUAGGAAGUGACUUAGUCAUCAUAUCUGCAGGAUUUUCAUGGGUACUAAUUUUGCUCACAACAAUAUCACCACGAGCAAUAAUAUCACAAACAAAAUGAUACCGAACAUCAAUGUGUUUUGUUCUCUCAUGAAACAUUUGAUCUUUUGUAAGGAAGAUGGCACUCUGACUGUCACAAAAUACUGUAUUGAUUUGAAGGUCUUCAUUGAGUUCACUAAAGAGUCCCUUCAACCAUAUAGCUUCUUUACAAGCCUCAGUAAUUGCCAUGUACUCAGCUUCAGUGGUAGACAAAGCGACUGUAGUUUGCAAAGUGGCUUUCCAACUGAUUGCACAACCUCCGAUUGUAAAGACAUAACUGGUGAGAGAUCUUCUUCUAUCGAGGUCCCCAGCAAAAUCAGCAUCAACAUACCCAAUGACUCCAUCUCUAGUUCUUCCAAACUGUAAGCAAACAUCGGUAGUACCUCGUAAGUAUCUUAAAACCCACUGAACUGCUUUCCAAUGUUCUUUACCAGGAUUCGCCAUGUAUCUGCUAACUGCACUAACUGCAUAUGAUAAAUUUGGACGUGAACAAACCAUGGCAUACAUGAGAGAUCCCACUGCACUAGAGUAUGGAACAUGUGACAUGUACUCAAUCUCAUCAUCUGAUUGUGGAGACAAAGCCGAUGAAAGUCUGAAAUGGGCUGCUAAAGGAGUACUAACAGGCUUAGCAUUCUGCAUAUUGAAUCUGGAAAGAACUUUCUCAAUGUACCCUUUCUGACUUAGAUACAAUUUACUUGCUUUUCUAUCCCUGAGAAUCUUCAUACCAAGUAUCUUCAUUGCUGGUCCCAAGUCUUUCAUCUCAAAUUCUUCACUUAGUUGGGCUUUGACCUUUUUUAUCUCUCAUUUAUCUUUUGCUGCUAUCAACAUGUCAUCAACAUAAAGGAGUAGAUACACAAAAGAACCAUCACUGUUUUUCUUAAAGUAAACACAACUGUCAAAGCUACUUCUUUUAAAAUCAUGAGAAGUCAUAAAGGAAUCAAACCUCUUAUACCACUGUCUUGGUGACUGUUUCAAACCGUAAAGGGUCUUUUUCAGCAAGCAAACAUAGUCCUCUUUUUCUGAAACUGUAAAACCUUCUGGUUGUUGUAUGUAAAUAUCCUCCUCAAGUUCUUCAUGCAAAAAUGCAGUUUUUACAUCUAACUGCUCAAGCUCCAAAUCAUGCAUGGCCAUAAUACCAAGCAAAGCUCGAAUCGAACUAUGCUUCACAACUGGAGAGAACACAUCUGUGAAGUCCACUCCGGGAAUUUGACUGUAACCCUUUGCAACAAGCCUUGCUUUAUAUCUGGGUUCUUCAACUCUUGGAGUCCCUUCUUUCUUUUUAAACACCCAUUUACAACAAACAACUUUUUUACCUUUAGGAAGUUUCACAAGAUCCCAUGUUUGAUUUUUGUGUAGUGAUUCCAUCUCCUCUUGCAUAGCAUACUCCACUUUUCUGAGUCUUCACAACUAACCGCCUCAGAAUAAUUAGAUGGCUCUUGAUUUGCAUCUAUAUCUUCAGCCACAUUUAAUGCAUAAGCAACUAGAUCAGCCUCGGCAUACUUCUUUGGAGGUUUAAUUUCUCUUCUAGUUCUGUUUUUGGCGAUAGAGUAUUGUGGUGAAGAAGCAACUCUAUUUUGAAUUUUUGUACUGGCUUUAGUAGUCGACUCUGUUGUAGAUUCUAGAUCAAUCUGAUGCUCCACCUACUUUUGAUUUUCUUUAUUUGAAGAGUCUUUAAGAGAUAAGUUAGGUAGCAUAGCAGUUUCAUCAAAAACAACAUCUCUGCUAAUCACAACUUUUCUAUUUUUAGGACACCAUAACUUAUACCCUUUUACACCAGCUUUAUAACCAAGAAAAACACAUUUAAUAGAUAUUGGUUCCAAUUUUCCAUUAUCAACAUGAGCAUACGCAGGACAACCAAAGAUAUUUAAAUCAGAAUAGUCAGCAGGAUUACCAGACUAACCUCUUGUGGAGUCUUUUUCUCAAUGGCAAUGGAUGGAGAUCGGUUGAUCAAAAAACAUGCAGUAGAGGCUGCUUCUGCCCAAAAUGACUUUGAUAAGUUGGCAUUUGACAACAUACAUCGAACCUUCUCCAUGAUUGUUCUGUUCAUUCGUUCUGUAACGCCGUUUUGCUGUGGAGUAUGACGAACUGUCAAGUGUCUCAUGAUCCUUUCUGACUGGCACAGUUUAUUAAAUUCAUCAGAACAAAACUCUAAGCCAUUGUCUGUGCGGAGAUAUUUUAUUUGCUUCCCCGUCUGUUUUUCAAUCAUGGUUUUCCAAGACUUAAAUGCGGAAAACACAUCGCUUUUCUGCUUCAAGAAGAACGCCCACACUUUUCUGGAAAAAUCAUCAAUAAAAGUUAGCAUAUAAUUAGCUCUACCUCUCGAAGGCACUCUGAAUGGCCCCCACAGAUCAGAAUGAAUAUACUCUAAUGUUCCUUUCGUGUUAUGGAUUCCUUUGGUGAAUCGAACUCUCUUUUGCUUCCCAAAAAUACAGUGCUCAUAGAACUUCAGUUUGCAAAUUCCUUGCCCAUUAAGAAGUCCUCUUUUGCUCAAUUCUGCCAUGCCAUUCUCACUCAUAUGCCCUAGACGCAUAUGCCAAAGUUUAGUAAUAUCAUCAUCUGACAAGGAAGAGGAUGAGACAGCUACAUCACCAGUAACAGUAGAACCCUGCAAAACAUAUAACUUAGCAGUCUUUCUCUGCCCUUUCAUCACAAUGAGGGAACCUUUGGAAAUCUUCAAAACCCCACUUUCAGCUGUGUAUUUGUACCCUUUUGAAUCAAGAGUACUCAACGAAAUUAAAUUUCUUUUUAAUUCUGGAACAUGUCGUACGUCACUGAGUGUUCUGACAACUCCAUCAAACAUCUUAACUUUGAUUGUUCCAACACCUGCAAUUCUACAUAAAGCAUUAUUUCCCAUCAACACAAUACCUUCAGACACUAUUUCGUAAGUUGCAAACAAAUCUCGAUUGGGAUUCAUGUGGAAGGUGCAACCCGAAUCAAGAAUCCACUCGUCGCUCACUUUGGAAUUGUCGACAAAAGCGACUAGAAGUUCACCAUCGCUGUAAUCUUCUACAACAUCAGCUUUACCAGAAUUUUCUAGUUGUUUUCCAUUUUGAUUUGCAGCCUCCCUUUUGAUCUUAUUCUGUAGCUUAUAGCAUUCAGAUUUAAUGUGCCCUUUCUUCUUGCAAAAGUUACAAGUUUUACCUCUGUUUGAAGACUUCAAUCUACCUUUAGAUUUACUGCGAGGAUUCCGUUCCUGUAUCCUUCCAUGAUCAUCAUCAGCAUUCCGAUCUUGCCUCCCACGAACAAUAAGACCCUCUCUCUGAGAGUCAGUUUUAACCACAAGAUGCUUCAUCUUAUCAUACGAGGUUAAAGAAUCAUAAACCUCAUCAACUGUGAGAGACUCGCGGCUAUAUAAAAUCGUAUCUCUAAAGGUUGAAUAAGACGGGGGCAACGAACAAAGUAGAAUCAGCCCUAGAUCUUCCUUAUCAUACUGAACCUCCAUGGCCUCCAAGUUUGAGAGAAUUUCUUUGAACACUGUUAAGUGUUCGUGCACAGAUGCACCUUCCUCCAAACGAUGAGCAUAAAGACGCUGCUUCAUAUGUAGCUUGCUAGUUAGAGUUUUCGACAUACAAAUCUGUUCCAACCUCUUCCAUAAUCCAGCGGCAGUCUUUUCCUUCAUCACAUCCUACAAAAUUUCGUUAGACAAAUGCAAAUGUAACUGUGUUAACGCCUUUCGAUCCUUGCGCUUCUUCUCUUCUUCCGUCAAAGUUGAAGGCAUCUUAUCUACCCCUAGUAGGGCUUCCUCUAAGUCCAUCUGUGCAAGAACUGCUUGCAUCUUUAUCUGCCACAAUGCAAAUCUAGUGUUGCGAUCCAACAGCGGAAUUUCGUACUUCAAAGACGUCAUUACCGUGAUUGAGAUGAACAACCCGGAAGCUCUGAUACCAAUUUGUGAAAAAUAUAAUGUCGGUAAUGACAAUAUAUCGCAAAGAAAAAAUAGAAAUAGAAAAAUAAAGAACACACAAAUUUUACGUGGAAACCCUUUCGGGAAAAAAAACCACGGGCAGAGGAGAAGAAAAUUCACUAUGUCGAAAACUUAAUUACAAGAGGAGUAGACUAUGCCUAUUUAUAGGCUUGUAAACCUUAUUCUAAUAGGAGUGAAACUCCUUAUUCAAAUAAUAUCAAAUAGAUGGAGUUUAAUAAGGUUUAGAAACCUUAUUCUAAAAUAAAAUAAAAGAAGUAUAAUUCUAUAGGGAUUUUACUUUUAUUUUAUUUUACCACAGUAUUUUAUUUAAAUAAGGAUUUGGGUCACUUAAUUCUAACAUUCUAGAAAUCCUUUGGGUAAUAUUUGACAUAGAUAUGUAAAACAGUUUAUAAAAUUUUGCAUGUAUUUAAAAGAUCAUAUCUUUUAUACUCGUCAAGGUGAAACUAAGAGACAUAUUUAAAAUAGUUCACUCGCACUCACUUUUAAGGGUGGAUUCUUGAGGUUUUAGCUAAAGUUAAAAAAAGCUUGAGUUCAAUUUAACAACUAGGACUCGAAGCUUGACUCAAUUUAGAUUGAGUUUCAGUUUUAAUGUAGAGCUCGAUUUUGAUAUAAAAAUUUACUUAAGUUCGUUAUAUUAGAUUCGUUUACCAAAUAAAAUGAAAAAAAAGGGGUCAAAUUCUAUUAUUAAUUCUUACACUAUGUAUAAGUCAUGGAUUUAGUUUAUGUAUUUUAAUUUGGUUAUUUUUAGUCACUAUACUUUUCAAAAUUUAAAAUUUCAAUCUUCAUCAAAUAGUAACUGUUAAAUUUAUUAAGUUAAAUUAUACUAUUUUAAAAAAUAUGUAUAAAAAUAUAUUAUCAUACUAGCUUGUUAUUUUCAUAUAAUACUCAUAAAAAAGUCACAUUAUUUUAGUUAAUGAAUUUAACUGCUAUCAUUUGAGUUAAGAUUGAAAUAUCAAAUUCGAAAAGCAUAAAGACUAAAAACAAUUAAAUUGACGAACAAAUUAAAGUACAUGAACUAAACUUACAACUUACGCGUAAUAUAAGGACUAAUAGUGAAAUUUGACCAAAAGAAAACAUGAAAACAAACAUGCAUACAUACAUACCCUAAGUGCAAGGAAGUGUCUGAGAGAUGGUUGUCAUCAUCUGAUAUUGCACUAUUAUUAUCAUCAGCCUUUGAAUUAUUUGGUGAAUGAUCAAGUCUUCUUUCCAGCAAUGGAUUCAAUUCUAGUAUAUUCGAGUUCGAGCUCCUUUUUUGUCUCAAUUCCUCAACCGUAAAACUACAUUCAAUAAUCAACAAAAUGCAAUAUUACAAACUCCAAAAUCUUAAUAUCAUAUAUAAGCUAAACUACACUGCUAAUCACCCAAUUAUUGGUAAGUUUAUUUUUUGAUUACCCAAUUAUAAAAAGUUACAAAAUUGUCAUGAUUUUGUCCUUUUUGUCAUCCGUUAUUAAAUGGCUCAUGGAAAGAUUACGUGGCAGGUUUUAAAAUUGGCACUAUAGCAAUUUUAACCCUCAACAUUUAUACAUUGUGUCAAUUUAGUCUUGACUCUAAAAAGUUUAUCUCUCAACAUUUACAUGUAGUGUAAUUUAGUGUUUUUUUUGUGUGACCUUUUAACAGCUUAAAAAGCUAAAAAAAUAAAUUUAUCAGCUAAAUUUUAUCGAAAAUAUAUUAAAUUAACACUCAAUGUCACAAAGAAAAGCAAAACUGCAAAAAAAGACUAAAUUAUAGAAUGUAUAAAUGUUGAGGGUUAAAUUUUUUAGAAUGAAGACUAAAUUGACACAGUAUAAAUAUUGAGAGUUAAAAUUACUAUUAUACCAAUUUUAAAAGCCAUCAAAUUACCUUUCUAUUAGUGAUUUAAUUGUUGGUGACAAAAAAAUUUGAACAGUUGGGUGAUUAACAAUAUAGUUUACUCUUAUAUAUAUAUAUAUAUAUACAUGUGUGUAUGUGUGUAGCAGUUGAUUAUACGUAUGACCUACGUACCUGUUUGCGUCGAUCUUCAUUCUCCAUUAUAGUCUUCUGUUCCUGAAAAUAUACAAAUAUUAAACCAGAAAUCAUUAAUAUUAAAUGUUAAUUACAAUUAUUUGAUUGCUAAACAUAUAUGAUUCCUUAUUCUCUUUCAAAAGUAAAUAUUUAUACUCUAAUUUGUAUCUAUAAUUUUAUCUUUUAAGUCGAGGUUUUUAGAUAUUCAGAUAUAUAUAGUGGGUAAUUAAGCAUUGGAUUGACAUAUAACCUUUUAUGUCAAAUGUUCGAAUCUGGACUUGAACUAAGAAUAAGUGUCGAAUAUCGAUAUAUGUUAAUAUAGAUGUGAUGAAUUUUUUAAAAUCGAGAAACAUUCCUCUUAUAUAAAUAUUCAAAUUUGUGUCAAACACGUAUAUAAAACAUAAUUACUUUAGAAAAAAUUGGAUUAAUAUAGGGGUAUAAUUUGAUGAGAAUAGUUUAUUUAAAAAAUUUACUAAAUUUGAUGAGAAUAGUUUAUAAUUAUAAUUUAUUUUUUCUAUUUGGUUUUUAAAUAAACUAUUCUCAUUAAAUUACCAAAAUAAUACAUAAAAUGCGAAUUAGUUUAUACUUUUUUAAAUAGUUUUACUUUAGGUAAAAUAUAUUUACUUUAAUAAUAAAAUAAAGGGCUUUUAUGAGUAAAAAUCAUAAAUUAAGAGCUUAUUUAACUACAAAAAUAGGUUGAGGGCUUGUUUAUUAAAUAAAAAAAUGAGUUGAAGGGGAAUAAAAAGAAAAUAAUAAAUAAGGAGGGCUUAGAAGGCAAUUAGCCAUAUUUCAAUUUUAGUGCGCCCCACACGCACACAGCAAUUAACUUUCAAAAUUUAAAAUGGUAAAUUUGCAUGUCAGGUCCUUGAAACUACAAAUAGUUACAUUUUAGUCCUUUGGCACCAUUGGUGCCGCCAAUCACUUUGGCACCUUUGGUGCCGCCAAUGUGAUUGGCCUGAUCAGGCUGUUGUCAGGUUUUUUUUUCUGUUUUUUGUUUUUUUUGGUAUAUUUUGGUAAAUAAAAAAUUUUAUAAUAUUUUGGUAAAUAAAAAAAAGUUAUAAUAUUUUGAUUAUUUUUUAUUUUUUUUAUAAUAAUUUUGUAAAAAACCCUUUAUUAUAGGUUUAUUUUUUUUUCUAUUUAUCUUAAUUUCUCUACCUUUUUACUCUGCUGUUUUUGGCAUUUCAACUCAAAAUGGAUUUUAUUUUUGCUUUGGGUUUCUUUUUUUUAAUAUAAAAAGUGGUUUUUAAUUAUUUAUAUAUUAUUAAUGUGUUUUAACAAUUUUUGUGAGUAAAUAUUGAUUUUUUUUGUGAAUUACAAUAGGAGGGCAAAGCCCUAACAACAAUACGACUAGAGCGAUUCGAAUUUAGGCCACACUUGAGACGUUGAACACAAGUAUUUCACGAUGACAUAUAACACAUGUUUUUUUAAAUUCAUGGCUAAAAUAAUAAAAAAAAACCUCUUUAUUUUAUUGUAUUCAAAUAAUAAAAAAACCAUGGUUUUAGUCGUACCGGCCUGUAGGGCUGUGCAUUAUUCGGUUAAAACCAAAUUUUUUCGGUUAACCGACCGAGUUCGGUUAAUCGGUCGGUUAACCGAAAAAUUUUGGUCGGGGGUCAGUUAAAUUUUUUUAGUUUGUUCGGUUAACGGUUAAAUAGGUUCGAAAUGGGUCGGUUAACUGAAAAAAAUUCGGGUAAACCGAAAUUUACAGGGUAGGCCUACUCCCUCCCAAUUUAAACUCAGCCCAAUAUAAACCCAACCCAAUUUUUUCUUAGGCUCACCAAAUAGGACAGCCAAAUUCAACACCCCUAGCCCAGUAGCCUUAGAACCUGCUCAUGCUGCCCAUUUCUGAUUUCUCAGUAGCCUUAGAACCUGCUCAUGCUGCCCAUUUCUGAUUUCACUUUCACUUUCACUCACACACACAGUCACACUUAAGCUGCUGCUGAAACUUAUUGGUCUACUUGUAUUCCGAUAGCUGGCAUAAUCCCAUCAAAUUAAUAUUUAGAUUGGAAUUAGUAAUUCCAAUUAAACUAUGGUUGAACUUUGCGUAACCAUAUUUAAUAUUUAAGAUGAGAAAGUCAGCAAUGGAGCUAUUGUUUAUAAUGGUAUUUGCCAAAGGCAGAAGCUGGUUUAAAAUAAAGAGCAAAUGGGUCCAAGAAUGAAAAAGAGCUGUUUGAAUGCAAAUACCUGGAAAAAUUUCCAUUUCCCCCUCUUUAAUGUUCAAAGUUCAAACAUUUCCAUGUCUUAUUCUUACAUGUAAUUUUUAGUCUUUUAACGUAAUAACUAAGUUUUCAAAUUGUCAAUUCGGGUAAUUCGGAUAAUUUUCGGUUAAUUCGGGUAAUUCGGAUAAUUUGGGUAAUUCGGGUAAUUUUAAACCAAAAAUGAACAACACAUAUUUUUCGAUUAAUUCAGUUAACCGACCUUAUUAACUGAAAAAAUUUCGGUUCGGUUAAUUUUUUUAAAAAAAAUUCGGUUCGGUUAACGGUUAAAAAUUUUGGGAGGUCGGUUAAUUCGGUUAUAACAAUUUCGGGUAGGUUAACCGGUCGGUUAACCGAAUGAACACCCCUACCGGCCGGUGCCGCCGUUCUACUGCUAUAGCGCAACAAGCAACACCCUUUUUCCAUACUAAUGAAAAUUUUGGUUUGUACCGUUCGCAUUGGCCAAAACAUGGUACACCUGCUGCUGCAUAAAUAAAGUUAAAAAAUAUAAAACUUUUAACUAUUUUCUAUUAGACUUAAAUAUUUAAUUGAAAUGUAUUGACCAAUAAAAAAAUAUCACACUAAAAAGUAAAGUUUAACAUUUAAAAAUUUUUUUGGAGCAUACUUUUUCAUUUAAAAUAUAAAAAUUAAAAUAUAAUAAAAAAACCCACUCACCUCGUUAUCAUAGAAAAAGCUUCACUCGCCCUUCAGCUUUUUUUAUUGAAAAAACCCCCUCAUCCUUCAAUUUCUUUUUUCUUCUUAAUUUUGAAUUUAUUGGAUGAUGAGUUUUUACUUGUGGGUUUAUUAAUCAAUAUAUUAUAUAAUUGAUGAAUAGUUUUAUAUUAGAAAUUUAUUUAUAGUAAUUUAUUUGAUAUUUGUAUAUUUAUUUAUAUAAAUAUAUUAAAUAUUUUAAAAAAUAUCGAUAAAUUCAAAGUGGUACAUAAAAUAGACUAGUACCAAUACAUGCCGAUUCUCAUAGAAAAGUGGUACUUACACCAAUGUGGUAAUGGCUACCUUGAAAGCAAGUAUGUGGGUGGCUAUAAUGUUUGAUGCUUUGUUUUCUUUGAAUAUUUUGCUUUGAUGUUUUUGAUUUGUGCUGAUCUUUGAGUGUAAUCAUUGGAAAAUAUAUGACAAUCUAAAUUUUUAUGAUUUGCUAUGUAUUCAUUGUGGUUGUUUUAUUAAUAAAUUUAUAUUUUGGAUUGAGAAAAAAAGGAAAGUAGAGAAAGUGAACACAAUAAUAUACGUGGUUAAGGAAUAUUCCCUACAUCCACAGGCAGAACUGAAAAUGAAAUUCAGUACUAAAAAUUGGAGAUUACAAUGAAAUUAAAGCAUAAAAAUAAAAUACCUUGCCACUAACUAUCUACAAACUUUGAAUGGAUUCAUGGUCUGAGAAAUUCCGAAAACUAAGAUGGACAUCUUUGAGAUUGGACAGAACAAUAUUUUGGAAACUCUGUUGUCUUACAUGUGUUAAAUUGAGCUCUCUAAUGCCAUGUUGUAACGUGUACUGUAUCCCUCCAUUCAUCCUGCAAGGAUCAAUAUCAUGUCUACAGUGAUGACAAAAUCUGUUGGCACUGAUAUCCUUACGCAAUAACAGAAAUCUAUCCACAAAGAUCAACAAACUAUCACGUAAAAGACUUGUUCUUCUGAAACACCAUUGGUUAAUAGUACAAUGAAAUCUCAAAUACUUUUAACUAAAAUCCCAUUCCCAUAUACCAAUUUCAUAGCAGCUGCAUAGAAACUAGAAGAUGCAGAUGAAAACAGAACAUUCAAUUUGCUGAAUAAAUGUUGCAGAGAAUUGACUAACCGCUUUACUAAAUCAAAUAAGCUGAAGCAAACCAGUUGAAGGUCUCCUCUAUUUUUCAUGUUGUUCAUGAGGACAAUCAGAUAUAUAUAAAGUCAUGAGGACAACCAGAUAUAUAUAAAGAAAAGGUAUGAAAUUGAUAAAUGUUUAAAAUGCGUUUGUUUGAGUGUGGAGAAAUCGAUGCCAGAUUUUGCUACUUCAAUUAAAUUUAAUGCCCUCGGAGAGAUGACUUUUCAUAUCAAUUCGAACAUAAGGUAUGUGGGCAAUCUUGAACCACUCUCGUCCUUUACCCCUUCUGCACCCUUCUUCUACCAACGGGCAACGCUGAAUACAUAGAUGCUCAAGCGAGAGAAGCAUAUCUUUUUCCGGAAGAGAUGUGAGCUUAGGACAUUCAUAGAUUCGCAAUUUUUGAAGAGAGGUCAGGUAUUGAAAGCCCUUGGAGCACAUGAAUUCCAAAUUCUCAAACUUUUCAAUGGAAAUAAAUGUGAGAGAAGGAGGCAGCGUCAUUCCUAUCCCUUCUUCUGGAAACGACACCACAUUUGAGCAUCCUUCACCGCUGAUGUUGAGUCGCUGAAGAGAGGUGAGUCUGUUAAAUCCCCAUUGAACAAGUGAUGUAUAAAUUUUGGGUGCGUUUGAGAUUGCAAGUGAUGUGAGGUUGGCAGGGAAACCCUCUUCAGGAAAGGAUAUGUCAGCCGAACAAUAAGACACCUUUAAUUCUCGAAGGGAGGUGAAGUUGUUGAUGCACUUGGGAAGGACUCCAAAAUUUUCACAAUUCUCAAUUGCGAAAACUCUGAGAUUUGUGGUGGGCAACCCACUUUCUUCAAAUGAAACCAGAUUUGGACACCAAGAUAAUUUAAUCUCCUGAAGAUGGCUGAGCUUGUCUAAUCCCCGCGGUAAUGAUUUAAUUUUUUCAGCACCACGAAUGCCAAUGCUUUCGAGAUCCGUGGUUUCAAAGAAGUCUUGGGCUAUGCAUUCCAACACUGGACAAUCCCAAAUAAAUAGCUGUUUAAGCAUUACGGGUAACUUGGCGUUUAAAAAUAACCUACUUAGCUUUGAACAACUUUCAAUUUCGAGAUGUUGAAGUCGAUUGCAUAUAUCGCCCCUUGAUGAUAACCAUAUUAGAGAUGGACAGCUUCUUAUUACUAAGUGCUCAAGAAGACAAGUGUUGCUACUCAUACUCUUAUUAUUAUUUUCAUUUUCAUCAACCAAAUAUUGCAAAUUCACGCAAUUCCCAAUCCUCAGCUCUUUUAAAGCAGGAGGAAAGUUACUCUCUGCCAAACAAACCAAGCCUGGACAGUUUUCAAGUUGUAUGCUUGUAAUCAAUGGGAAAGCAUGUAAGGCUUCUGGUAGUCUUUUGAGCCUUUCACAGUUCCUUAUGUUCAGAGAUUCAACACCUGGAAUCUUGUCAAGUUGCAAUCUCUCCUCCUCUGUUUCCAAAGAGACCAAUUGGGGACAAUCCGCAAUACUAAUAAAACGAUGCCCGACUAAUCUUAACCCAAUUUGCGAUAAAGAUCCCAACUCCUUCCAACCAGAGAUGUUGAAUCUUUCGGAGUUUGCAAAUCUCAACAUUAUCCUCUCUGCUGAAAUGUUAAAUUUUGAAAUAUUUGACACAGACAAAAUUUUCAAGGAGGUAACCUUCUGUACAGACAAAGAACCUUCAUCCACCAAUUCUUCACACCCUUCAACCCAUAUUUUACGCAGCAAGGGAAAACUUGAAAUUGAAACUACCAGUCUCUUACAGUUGUAGAUUUCAAGUGUCUGCAAGGAUUGAAGGAUGGUUGGCAACGUUCCCAGCAAUAGAGGACAUUUUCUGAUUGAAAGAAAACGAAGGCUGGGGAAUUUCGAUGCUUGCUCAUCAUCUUCACAUAGGUCCCACUCCUCCCAAUUCAGCAUGUUGUCAAAACGCAGAGACUCUAAUGAUGCAAAAGCAUUUGAUUGAUUUUCUCCAAACAACUCAGCACCAAUCUUGUGUACUUGAUCCAAACCACUAAUUGAAAGAUCUUUUAACAACAACAACCUUCCAAUCGAUGGUAGAGAUUUGCAAUUUUUACAAUUGCGAAGCUCCAAUGACAACAUAUUUUUGAAGGAAGGAUCUGCAAUCCAAGUAGAGAAUUUUGCACCACCAUAAUUCUCAAUGACGAGUUGCUCAAGCUUUUUUGGAGGACAAAGAGAGUCCAACACCCAUUCUUCAACUUCUUUAUUCCUUGAAGCAUUUUCAAACUUUUUCCUCCAAUGCAAUUCCAGUCGAUCAAUCCCCUGCUUCUCAUAUAACUUGCUUUCCCCUGCAUCUUCACCAUUAACAUUCUCCAACCCAGAAAGACGGAAAUCACCUUCGAGGUUUGACAAAUAUUUCAAAUAUCUAAUAUGACAACCAUCACCUUCCGCUAUGAUAAAAUCAGAUAACCUUUGAAGAUUCCUUAGCUUAUCAAUUCUAAAAGGAAUCCUUUCUAUUGAGUUCGCACCUCUGAUAUCAAGAUAAUGCAAGUUGACAAGAUUUCCCAUCUUUGAAGGUAACCUUUGAAGCUUGUAACACCUUCUUAAUAAUAAGGUUUCUAAAUGGUAAAGAGUGCACAAAGAAUCUGGUAGGCAUUUGAUUUGUGUGCUCGAAAAAUUUAAGUAGCGAAGAUGUUUUAAAUUUUCAAAAACAUCAGGCAACUCAGUGAUUUUAUACCCACUCAAAGAAAGCAUCCUUAGGUAGCCAAGUCUUGGUAACAAAUCAUCCAAAACAACAUUAGUUAAAAAAGGGACCCGAUAAUCACACAUUAAGGGUAAAAAAGUACGUAAAGAAUUCACUUGAUCAAAUGGUUCAAACUUCUUCACUGUGUCAUAAUCACUGACAAUAUAAGAAGAAUGUCGAGUGCGAUUUGAGAACUUCCAUUUCUUAUCACCCUCUAAUUUUGAGCAUAUUUCCCCUGCAACUACUUGAGCUAAAUCAUUGAUAAGGUCAUGCAUUACGAAUCGGGACUUAUCGUUACUGGAUGUCUGAAAGAAUCGGGACUUAUCUUUACUGGAUGUCUGAAAAAAUGACCUGGACACUAGAUCUUGAAAAUAUUGAUUUCCGAGAUCUUUAAUUUGGGGCUUAGCUUUUUGUUGCAAGAGACCUUCUGCUCUCCAUAACAAGAUAAUUUCUUCUUCCUCAAAUUCAUAGUCUUUAGGAAGUAUGGAGCAAUGUGCAAAACAUCGUUUCAAGUAUGACGGAAGAUGAUGGUAGCUUAACCGCAAAGCUGGAAUUAUGCCACACUGCUCUUCUGGUAAGUUCCAUAUCUCACUCUCAUAUAUUCUUUCCCAUUUUCCAUGAUAUUUAACCGUGCGAAGCAAGCUUCCAAUGGCUUUUGCAGCCAAAGGUAAGCCAUUGCACCUUCUAACAAUUUUCUCUCCAAUUUCUUUAAACUGGAGAUGUCCAUCGAAAUUUCUUGCUUUUAAUGCAUGCUGUGUAAAUAUGGAUAAACAAUCAUCAUCCGAUAGUUUAUCCAAAUGAAAAGCUUUGAGCGGAUCCACAAUAGAUGAAACAAUUUGAAGACGAGUGGUUACAAUGAUAUGGGUCCCUGCUCCAAACGGAGACCGUAAGAUGGUCCAAUCAUUAUAAUUUUCGUUCCAAAUGUCAUCUAAAACAAGCAAGAAUCUUUUCCCAGACAACUUCUCCUUCAACUUAACUUGAAGUAAAUUCAAGUCAUUCUCGUCACGAGAGUCAGGAUCGAUGGAUUUUAAAAUUGUCCUGGUUAUAUUAACUGCGUCAAAAUGAUCAGAAACGCAUACCCAGGCCUUGUGGUGAAAAGACUGGUUGAUGGUGGCAUCAUUAUAAACAAGCUGAGCAAGAGUUGUUUUACCCAUCCCUCCCAUGCCGACGAUGGAAAGGACUGAAACUCCGUUGGAGUUAUCACCUUUGAGAAACUCAAUCAUUUCUGUCUUCUCCUUGUGUCUGCCAACAUACUCCACAACUCCAUCCAGUACGGAAGUUGGUUGCAGCCUAGGCUGCUUUCCCUUGGAGGUUGGAGCUUGAGACAAGAUCUCACUCAACCCCAAACUACUUCUUCGAGUAGUCAAACUAUUCAGUCUAGUAGUGAUCUCUCUCACCUUCGGAAUCAUGGAAUUCUUAAACAGGAAAGAAGUGGGAGCGAAACUAGUACCAGUAAAGCAGGUAGGAAUGAGUUUCCGUACCUUGCUAGUGCUGGCUUGAGCUUGCGAUUUGUUGAGCUUGAGACGUAACUCUUCAUAAGCGAACUCAUCCAAGAUGUCAUCCACAUCGUAAGCCAAGUCCUGGAGAUCCUCCAACCAUUUCUUCACACCCAUGUUCUUGAUCUGCUUCUCCUCUGCAUCGUCCAACACUGCUUGGAUAUCAGACAAUAUGGACUGCCACUGCUUGAGCUGCUGGUGGAGUUGCUUAUGAUCAGCAACAAAGUUGAGCGCAGAGUCGAGCGAUUUGCCCACCAACAGGUCCAGGAACCCAGAAAGAGCAGCCUCUCCAAUGACAGAAAUGGUGGAAUUAUG
rnacentral:lncRNA from 1 species